rnacentral:lncRNA from 1 species
GAUUUGGUGGUCAAUCAAGUGAUGAAGGAAUGGGAUGUCAGGAACCCUGCCAUGAUCGGGUAUUGCAAUGCAGUAAGAAAGCUGGAGAAGAAGUUUGAAGGUUUGGAACUUCAUCAUAUUCUUCGAGUGAAAAAUCAAGCCGCUGACGACCUAGCCAAGAUUGGAUCCACUCGGAAACCUGUACCCAACAACGUGUUUCUGGAACACUUAUAUUCUCCUUCCGUACAGGAAGAUCCCUUCGCUGAAGAGCCCCCACAAGCGAUAAGCACUUCCAACCCGACUGAGGUUGAUGUUCGAGCAGUUUUUGAUCUGGUCAUGGAGAUUCUAGUCAUUACACCCGAUUGGACAGUUCCAUACAUUCCAUAUAUAUUGACGCAAGAAGUCCCAGAAGAUGAGGUUGAAGCUCGAAAGGUUGUCCACAGAUCCAAAGCAUUUAUUGUAAUGAACGAACAACUUUUCAAAGAAAGUGUGACUGGUGUAGCUCAGCGGUGCAUCUCUCCUGAAGAAGGUUGAUUGAUUCUGGAUGAAAUCCACUCGGUGACCUGUGGUCAUCAUGCGCCCUCUCGGACAAUUGUUGCCAAAGCAUACCGAGCUAGUUUUUUCCUGGCAACGUGCUAAUGAGAUGGCCAAGGAAAUCGUGGAUCGCUAUGAAGGAUGCCAGCCUUACUCCAAUUUGUCACAUAAACCCGCGUCUGCUCUGAAGACUAUUCCACUCGUCUGGCCAUUUUCUAUGUGGGGUCUGGAUAUGGUCGGUCCUCUCCGAACAUGCUAGAGUGGAUUCACUCAUUUACUUGUGGCAGUCGACAAGUUCACCAAGGGGAUCGAAGCCAAACCCGUAAAAAGCUGGAUUCUCGCACUGCUAUCUAGUUCAUAAAGGAAAUAACAUUCUGGUAUGGAGUGCCCCACAAUAUUAUUACAGACAAUGGUUCUAACUUCGACUCAGAAGAAUUCAGAUACUUUUGCUCCGCCCAAGGCACCCGAGUCGAUUACGCGUCUGUCGCGCACCCCCAAACUAAUGGUCAAGCGGAGCAGGCGAAUGGCCUUAUCCUUCAAGGGUUGAAGCCUCGACUCAUGCGAGACUUGGAACAUGCAGCCCGAGCUUGGGUUACCGAACUACCAUCGGUUCUGUUGGGCUUGAGGACAACACCCAAUCGGUCGACUGGAUGCACUCCUUUCUUCUUGGUUUAUGGAGCCGAAGCUGUUUUACCUAUUGACCUCCUUCACAGUUCUCCCCGAGUGGAACAUUAUUCUGAGGCUGAAGCAGAACAGGCAUGACAGGACGACAUAGACCUUCUGGAAGAAGAACGCGAACUAGCUCUAACUAGGUCGAUAGUCUACCAACUGGAUCUGCGCCGUUUUCAUGCAAGACAUGUUAGGAGCCGGUCGUUUCACGAAGGUGAUUUGGUGCUCCGAGUGGAUCAGCAACGGCCACACAAGCUCGCCCCCGCACGAGAAGGACCGUUCAUCAUUACCAAGGUGCUGAACAAUGGAGCCGACCACUUCUUCAAUCUCAAGAAAAGAAUCGACGAACCAUGUGCAUGGAACACAUAUUUGUUGUGACGAUUUUACCCUUGACGAUCGUGUGAUUUGAUGUAAUAAGAGUGUACUAGGCAAUGUUCUUAUAAAAGCUAUGACUCCUGCAGUCUUUUCUGAUUCCGAUUGUGCAAUCCCAAAUUCAAACCUACUCCGAGUGGCGAGCAAUCCUCUCACUUGGGGGCUUAGCUGCGAAAAAUAUUUCGCCUAAGUAUCGAAACAUACUCUGAGUGGCGAGCAAUGCUCUCACUCGAAGGAUUAGCUGUGAAUCAAUCGCCUAAGUUAAAACCUACUCCGAGUAGCGAGCAAUCCUCUCACUUGGAGGCUUAGCUGUGAAUCAAUCGCCUAAGUUAAAACCUACUCCGAGUGAAGAGCAGUCCUCUCACUCGGGGGCUUAGCUGCGAAUGAGAUUUUGUCUAAGUGUCGAAACAUACUCAGAGUGGCGAGCAAUCCUCUCACUCGGAGGCUUAGCUGCAAAUCAAUCGCCUAAGUUAAAACCUACUCCGAGUGGCGAGCAAUCCUCUCACUCAGAGGCUUAGCUGCGAAUCAAUCGCCUAAGUUAAAACCUACUCCGAGUGGCGAGAAAUCCUCUCGCUCGGGGGCUUAGCUGCGAACAAGAUUUCUCCUAAGUGUCGAAACAUACUCCGAGUGGUGAGCAAUCCUCUCACUCGGGGGCUUAGCUGCGAACAAGAUUUUGCCUAAGUUUCUAAACAUACUCCGAGUGGUGAUCAAUCCUCUCACUUGGGGGCUUAGCUGCGAAUCAAUCGCCUAAGUUAAAAUAUACUCUGAGUGGCGAGCAAUCCUUUCACUCAGAGACUUAGCUGCGAACAAAAUUUAGCCUAAGUUUCUAAAAACAUUCCGAGUGGCGAGCAACCCUCUCACUUCGGAAUUUAGCUGCGAGUCAGUCGCCUAAGUUAAACAUACUCCGAGUGCAGGGCAAUCCUUUCACUCGAAGACUUAGUCGCGAACCAGUCUUCGUCUAAGUGAAGUUCCCCCGAGCAAUGAACGUGUUGGAUUUCAGGCUCCGCAAACCCUAAGGAUUCAAACUUAGGGGCGUGUACAAAGAUCUCUCUCGGGCUCACCUCACCUAGCUUGCUACUCGCUGGGGAUGGCAGAGAACUCACUCGAUGGUGAGGAAGACACAAAACACGGCAGUUUACACAGGUUCGGGCCGCUGAGAAGCGUAAUACCCUACUCCUUCUUUGGUGGAUUGCCUCUCAAGGAGGUUGGUGGAUGAACUAGUACAAUGUUCGAGGGCCUUCGGAGGCUGGGUGGCCUUUGUGUGGUGUGCGUGCGAAUGUGAGUUGAUCAGAUCAGGGCGGAUGGGAUGGGAUCCCCCUCUACAAAGUAACCUAUCCUCUAUAUAUAGCGGCGGCCCGGGUCCUCUUCCCUUAUCGCAUGGGCGGGAAGGGAUCCCACAAUGGCCAAUUUUGAAGGGGAACAUGGGAACAUGCUCCCCCUGCCCAAAGGUGAUCUUCGCGUGCAAAAGUGGCUGUUAACGCAGCAGGGACGGGUCGAGGGGUGACGUCCGUCCUGCUGGCGGGCGGUGGUGGCCUUGUUGCACCAGAAUGGAAACCUUUGGGAGAUGCCUUGGGAACCCGCAUAUGUCCUUCCCUCCUUUGCCCGAAAGGGGAACUGCACCUUCCCGCAAUCUGCUGCCUGCCCGUCCUUUCCCUGCGUCAUCCUUGACUCCCGAGGCCGGGCCUUGCCUCGGAAUAUCCGCCGCUCCGGAGGGGUCCUGAGGAGGCCCCCUGCAGGUCUUGAAGCGGUUCCUCCUCGCGAGGCUUGGCCCCUCGCGAGGAACUUGCCUUGAGUGGUGUCGGGCCUGUUGGUUUUUGGUCGAUGAAGUGGGCCAACCCUGGGCCGCAGGCAGGCAGGUCUGGGUACCCCCAUUCCCAGAAUGCCGACAGAACGCCAGAUUCAUUCAGAAACCAAAUAAAUUCAAUCAAGCAAAAGAUUGGAAAGCCAAAUGCAGAUAAAACUCAAGAUCUCCAGCUCGGAGUAAAACUGUCUUCCCGAACGUAAGUACUCGGACUUAAGGCCCGAACGAACUUUAAAUCGGUUACACAAUCUCUUGGCAUACCGAGUCAAAAUUUAAUCAUAAUCAAAGUUUUUUAAGGCGCGCGAGGACUCGCAGGCUCGACGAAGGUGUCCAAGUCGAUCCCAUCAACAAUACGGGUAGUCGCAUUGAUGAAGGUCUCCAUGAAGUUCUCAAACUAAAGCUUCUUCGUGUUGGCCACCUGGAGCACCUUCAACUUUUCUUAUUUAGCCUCCUUAACAUGGACCCGAACGAGUGAAAGAGCCACAUUGCUCCACAACACGAAACAUAUUUCUUCCAAGCCUGCACUCAAUCCGGGAUCUGGUUAAGGUGACCCAUCAUCGAGUCAAGAUCGAUUUGGAGAGUGUCUUCUGGCCACAGCUCCUUAUCAAUCCUCUCUAGGGUGGUUCUCAGUCGGGCAAUGUAUUCUUGGACUUCCCUAAGGCGAGCGUCGAUGCGGAACAUAUUCAUGGACACUACAUCUCCAACGGGUGACUUGACAGGGUCCAGAUUCGGCUCGAGUUCUUCGGUCUCCUUGUCGAAGUCCUGGCAGAAGUCUAAACAAAGGGAAAAGACGAGCCACCUCGUGAGGACCCAUGCAAGAAGAAGAAGGAGCUCCUCCCCAUGAAGCGCCCUCGGGCUUCGGGCUCCGUGUCAGGGGACGGGGCCAUGCGUCCCAUCGCAUAGGAAGGCGCGUUCAGUGCCCCCCUUGGGUCAGGGCUGGGGGCUCCCACCGGGGAGGUUCCGGGCCUGACUAGUGAGGCGAGGGUGGCGCUCGAGCACAACCCGAGGGCGAGCUCUAGCGCUCGUCCGCCCAACUAUCAUGAGUCCGUUAUUAGAGCAAUCCGAGAACUUCGAGAGGCCCAGGCCGUGGGAGGCGAGGACUGCCGUGCACCACCAAUCGAAGUCGCUGUCGUCGGCACGGUCGACCGGCCCUGCAUCCGCAUCAACGCACUCGCAACCGAUAGAGCCGCGGCUCAAGGCCCCCUCUGGCCCACGUUGGCUGACCAUCGGUUGGUGUACCCGGGCACCGGCGCCCUCAUGCCCUUCGGGCUCGGGAACGCGGCUGCCACCUACCGACGGCUCCAGCGGGCCAUGCUCAUGCCGUGCCUGCUGGGGCGUGGCGAGUAAGAGGAGGAGAUGCUCGGGCCGAGCGAAGGUCCCGAGCCUUGGGAGACGGCGAACUCGUGAGGGUCGCGAUCAUCGAAGCAGGAGAUCUGGCAACGACGGCGCCUUCGGCACUCCAGCGGCAUGGCUGCCAGGUGACUUUUUGUUGGCUGCUGCGAGGUAACUUUUUGGGUCACCCUGUCUGAGGGCGCCCACAGGGCCAUGCGGCCUCCGGGGGCUCAGGGCACUCCCGAGCCGCUAUUUUCAUUUAAGCAUCCUUCAGUUGUUUCUAUCUCACCCAUUUCGAACCCUAACGUUCUACUUUGCUUGCGUCUUUGGGCGGUCGACCCCCCGCUUGGGGGCUACGGUCGAAGCUUAUCCUUGCACGCUUCCUGAGGCAGCAGACACCCUGUCUCACUCUCGAAGAAGAAUAAGUUAACAGGGUUUACCAAUGGCCCAAAAGAAGCUGAGUCCACCAACGACUCGGGGGUAGGGACACUCGCGAGGCCAAAGCAUCCUCGCGACCUCCCAGAUACACCCCCACCGUCUUUGAUUUCAUCAUCUCGACGACGGUGGCAAAGACCGAUCUAAGUGAAGCUCGAGCGACAGAGGAGAUGGAGAAAAAGGGGAGAUUGAGAAGGGGCAUUGUUCCAACCCUAGCGCUGGUUCGUUUAUAACUGCCCGAGUGAGUCACUGACCUAUGGGCCCGCAUAUAUCUGUAUAUCUCGAUAUCAUAGGAAGCACGAUAUGCGGCGACAAGGGAGGCGCGAUAAUCGAGGAGUCGGGCUCCCAUUUACCCCCGUUGUUGCGUCAUCACCAUUCAGCGCACGCUUACCAAAUUUUUGUAUCAUGUGAAAUGCGGGCCUAACGAAGCGAUCCGUCACAUCAAAAGAUCCUGUUGAUCACUUGGACUAGUUUUCACUUUCCAAUCCACUCGAAAGUGUUUUAAGACAGAAUCGAUUGGGGCGAAUGGCAAAUAUUUCAAUCGACGCCCGUUUCUGCCAAGCCUUGGUAUGCGUUUGGAGUUAGGCAUGUUCGACGGAAUCUCCAUUGACCCCUUUCCACUCGAAUCCCGAUCCAUUCAGGGGCUAAUGAUGGGGAUAUGUACCUAGGUUAGGGUCAUAGGCCUGACCUACAGGUCCUACCCAAGGGCACAAUAUUAAGGACUUAAAGAUUUCAAAGAAGAUUCCGACUGAUUCGCCAUGAGUCACUCGGUAGAGCAUCCGCUCGAAGAUUUGAUAUAUCCACUCGACAGAAGACUUCUACUCGAAAGAAUAUGAAGCCAGUCGACCGCAGAAGUUUAGAAGUCACUCCAGAGAGGCCAAAGGGCAGACAUUCGACUGGUCAUCAUAAGUAACAUUUAUUACGUUAUUAGUAACGCACACUUUUCUCUUCAUUACUUGAACCCUUGGUUGCCUGGGCCUUGAUGAGGGGUAGCGCACUCUAUAUAAGCCACCCUCCCCUCUGGCACAAGGGCUCACACCACCUGUAACACACACUCCACUCUGCAAGAGCUCUCGAGCACUAAGACGUAGGGCUGUUACCUCCAUGAGAGGGGCCUGAACUCAUACAUCAUGUGUACAAGCUUGUCGUAGCUAGGAAUCUGCCCUCUCCUUUCGUACCCCUCACGUCUACUGCCACGUUCAUUCCCAUGACACCGUCCACGGAGGACUAGCCUUACUCACGGUAGAUCUUCACAAAGUAGGCGAUCUCCUUUCCCUUACAAACAUCUUGGUUAGACUCCACAACACGAAGUAGGAGGCUCCCAAGCGACACCUAACCAAUCUAGGAGGCACCACCCUCCAAAAGGUAAUAGAUGGGGUAGAUCAAUGAACUCCUUGCUCUUGUGCUUCUAAAGAUAGUCUCCUCAACUCAAAUCACUUUCUCACAUAAUAUGCAUGGGUAGGAUAGGUUGAUUUGGUGGACAGCAGUUUGGGGAGGCUAGAGAUCAAGUUUCAAAUGACCGGAUUGGAAUAUCUUGGUCUCAACACAUGAGUAGGUGCCCCCCCCCCCCCCCCCAAUGGAUCUGGAAAUGAAGUAUGUGUUUUGAGUGCUUCUCCUAUGAAUGAGAGGUGGGUGAAGGGGUAUAUAUAUAUGCAACAGCCAAAAUCCAACCAUUACACACAAAAGAACAAACUCGGUGACACCGAAGUGGACAACUGGGUGGUACCGACUAGUACUAAAAGUGUGAACUUUUGAAUCUCGGUGAGAACGACAUAUAGAACUCGGCGGCACCGAAAAGGUGACUAAUGGUUAGAUGGCCAAACUCGGUGGCACCGAUACUCAAACUCGGAAAUUCUGAUUUUGUGUAUCUUGGCAACAGAAUGUUGGUCACGGUGAACUUGGUAGCACCGAUUUUUUGGGAAUGGCUAGGGUUCUGUCUGAGUUUCAAACUCGAUGGGUCCGAUAUGGGAAUGUUGGUGACACCCAUUUUGUGAAUGUGUAACUUGACAGAGUGGAUAUGUGGGAAAAAUGACCGAGUGUUUUGGUGGCUGACUUUGAGCAUUUGAGCAAUCACUUCAUUUUACUACCUCACCCCCUUUUAAUACAAUUAGCUUUCCUAUGGACUCAAAAGUGAUUUCUCACAAAUAUAAAAUGAAUAGUGUCCUAUCUUGAAGCUUGAGCCAAUAUUAUUCCUUUCUUGCAUCUAGGUGUAUCUCCACAUAAACCUUAAGCCAUAUCAUCUUUUGAACUUUUCUGAAAUACACUUGGAGAACACAUUACUCCAAUGAUGCAUAUGUUGUGAUCAAUUAUCAAAACCACCCUAGGGAGCAAUUGUGAUUUCAAUCUCCCCCUUUUUGGUAAUUGAUGACAACAUAUAGAUCAAAGCUUCAAAAACGAUAUAAUCAAUGAUUAUCAUCGACACUUUGAGAAGUAUGUGAAAAGCAAGAGCUCCCCCUAAAUUUGUGCAUUAUUUAAAAUUUGCGUUUGAAUGCGAAUGCAAAAUCGUUUAGGAUCAUGGGUUACUCUUCCAUGUGACAUACAUCUUGGUGGUGCAUAAAAAUAAUAGCAAUGCACAUGACACCAACAAGAUAAGUGAGUGAUUGUCACAAGGAUAGCUAAAAGAUGACAUCGUAGCAUCACACAUGAUAAAGCGUAUGAUCAAACACACAAAUAGGAUAAAGUCAUCCAACGAACUAAAGUUUUUAAACCAAAUGAGAGCAAAUAAAGAAAAAGCUCUCUCUCACACGAAGUCUAUGAUCUAUACAUUUCCCCCCUUUGGCAACAAGUUACCAAAAAGUUCAAAAGUAUAGAACUACUCGUCUCUCUGGGAGCUGAUGAUGUAGUUGAUAGAACAACAUCUGCGAAGGCUUCUGCUGACGUCCCUGGAGCUGGAGGAGUUGAUACUGAAGGAGCUUGAGCUAGAGCUGGUGCUGAAGGUGCCAAAGCUUGUGCUGAAGAUGUCUGUCUUGUCUCCUGAGCAGGAACAACAACUGACGAGGGCUUGGUGUUGAACUAUGUAGUAGUGGCAGGAGGAGACUAGUCCUCAUCAUCGUCAUCUUUAUCUUCAUCUUCUUCCUCUAAGCAUGGAAGCUCCAUAGAGUCAACUUCUUGUUGAAGCUGUCUAACAAUGGUGGUCAACUCAGUUACCUUCACAUCCAUGUUGUGGAAUUUUGUCUCCACAACUCCCUCAAGACUCUUCUGACUUUGCAUGGUCUCCUGGAUGUUCUUCUCCAUGCCUUUGACAAUGCUCACUAGAAAUGCCAUUUUCUCAGCUUGAGUUCUGAGUUGUGGGACUGGAGGAGGCAUGUUUCUAGCAGCUUCAGCCUCUGCUGCCAUUCUUGUUGGAGCUGAGUUGGGAUCAUUUUCAUCCAUCACAACCUCAUUAUCUUCAAAUUCAGACUAAAGAGGUAGAUGGGGAUGAUCAAGUAGAUAUGCAUGCUUCCUAGCUUGGCAUUGAUGAUCAUCUGAAUGUAUGGUGCAUAGCCACAUGAUCUCUUUUGAUCCGCUGCAGUUCUCCAGAUAGUCUCAACUAUCAAAUCCAUCACUCUAAAUAUGGUAUGUGUGUCUACCAGGUGAAGCAGGUUGAUAGAAUAUCCUCUAAUCAUCUUCUCAUCUCCUGACUUAGGCACGAGAGUGUAUCGCAGUAUAGUGAUCGUCGUUGGAAUGCCAUCUUGAAGAAAAUAUACUGAACCAAACUUGUGACCGGCCAAGUACUGAUGUUGAAUGAUCUUGUACAUAUUGGCCAUGGAGUUGUGAUUCUUCUUUCUUCUUUCAUACACAUCUACAUAUGAUUCUUCCUUCUUGGGAGCACCAAUGAUAGCAGCCCAUUCAGCAAUUGUAGCAUCAUACUUGUGUCCAUCGAUCAUCCAGACUAAAGCGUCAUCAUAGAAAUGAACCGUUUCAUAGAAUUGCAUGAUCAACUCGUCAUUCCAUGGGGUCAUCUUCUUCCCAACAAACUUUGCAAUGUCCACUGCCUUGAACUUCUCUCAGACAUGUGGAAAGUAAUCUUCAUUAUCCUUAAUGUAUGCCCAAUCGACAUACCUCAUAUCACUGACAGCAGGACUAUUGUCAAAUAAGACAGUCUCAUAAAAAUCUUGUUGUUCCUUGGUGUGAAACCUUGGAUCAACAGCAGUCCGUCUUCUGACAGCAUAUGGAUCAUUUGCUCUCCACUUCCUUAGUCCGUCAUCCUUCCUGUUCUUCAUAUGCUCUCCUAUUGGACGAGUAGCAUAGUGGAGUGGAAGGAAUGGUCUGAUCUUCGUGAGAACUGAAACAUCCUCAUCUGCUUCUUCCUGUGUAGAAGGGGCACCGAAUGCAAGGCCUUUUGCUUUGGCAGCUGCAGGUAUGUCUUUGGUGGUCUUCCUGGAUGUAACAUCCCAAAUUUUGGAAUGUUAAAAUAAUUAUUAGAUUGUUUGUUUGUUUGAUUGAGUGAUUGAAACUUGAGUGGAAUUUGAAACUUUUCAAAACUUUUGAAUGAGAGGGAAUAAAAUGACUUUGCCCUUCUCCGGUAAAUUCAAAUUCAUCCAAUUAAAAGCAAUGAGAGAAGAUGACAUGACCUCUUCAACUAUAAAGAAUUUGUACGGAGUUUUGCAUUUGAAUUCUUUCAAAUAUUUGCCCUUGCUUCUAUAUUUUUCUUCCCCGAGAAAUACCCCGAAAAUAAUUCUUGCCAAGCAAGAAAGAGAGGAGGAACAUGACCCUCCAAACCGGGGUAUUCCUUUGAAAUAUUUGGACCAUAAAACCCAAGGUUUAUUUGAAAAAUAUUUGCAAAAAGAAAAUAAACCAAUUUAGGCAUUUUCUAAUUUUUUUUGAAGUAUUUAUUUUGGUAGCGGAAAAAUGCCCAUCUUUUUGGAUUUAUUUUUUCUCAAAAUUUUAAUAUAUUAUACCCCUAUAUUCCGAGGAACAUUCCAUUUAAUUUUAAUAGUUUUAAUUCCUGUUUUAAUAAAUAUGGAAAGAGAUCUUUAUUUUAGGAAAGUCCUUGGGCCAUAUUAGGAAUGUCAUGUGGCCCAUAUCCCCACCUUCUUCUUCCUCUCAACGUUUCCUUCUGUAGCCAUGGCAGAAGCUUCCGAGGAAGCUUCCCCUCUGGGAUUCACGAGCUAUACUCCCUCCCGGCGCCUCCCGUCACCACUAUAAGAACGCCCCGUCUCUCCUCUUUCCAUCCCCCUAAAGAAAUCCUCGUUUCCCCUGCCCGUAGCAUAUCCCCAUCACCUCCCCUUUUCCCUGUCAAGAACGCACCACGGAGCUCUCCCCUGUCGCCCCAGCAUCACCUCCCCAUCGCCCCACCCUCGCUGCACCCCACCCCUGCGCNNNNNNNNNNNNNNNNNNNNNNNNNNNNNNNNNNNNNNNNNNNNNNNNNNNNNNNNNNNNNNNNNNNNNNNNNNNNNNNNNNNNNNNNNNNNNNNNNNNNNNNNNNNNNNNNNNNNNNNNNNNNNNNNNNNNNNNNNNNNNNNNNNNNNNNNNNNNNNNNNNNNNNNNNNNNNNNNNNNNNNNNNNNNNNNNNNNNNNNNNNNNNNNNNNNNNNNNNNNNNNNNNNNNNNNNNNNNNNNNNNNNNNNNNNNNNUUUUGAUCAAGAACUCCAAUGGAGUUGAAUCUUUUUCCAGUAGAUCAUAAUGUUUCUGUAGUUUUCAAAAACAUAUUAUGUGCCUAUGUGUGAAAUUUGUUGAAUUAGAUCAGAUUUAGUUUAAACCUUGUUUUGCUUAUUCUGGGAGUUUAAAAAUAGAUUUUUAAUUAAUUCUUUUUGCUACUGAUCACUAGUGAUCUUAUUUACGAGUGGGAAAAAGUUCAGAAUUGUUUGAGUAUUGUAGCUCAUUAUUUCUUGUGAAACACUUUCUGUUUCACUUCUUUUAGGAUUAUGACUAUAUUUAUUUCUUUAGUUGUUUUUAAAUUAUUUUUUCUUUUAUAUUUCAGAAAGAUUAUGUUUUGUUUCUGUUAGUUAAUAGUAGGUUUGCAACAAGUUUUGAUUUUAUUUUUAUAUGUUAUCAUGAAAUCAAUCCUAGUUUUGUAAUAACUUGCAAUUGGUUUCUCUACUGUUUCAAAUCCCAUUUGGAAAUACUUUCAAAUAGUUUUGUGUAAAAUACUUUAUUUUAUCUUAGUUAAAUUUAUAUCUUAGUUCCCUGUUAUUUAAGUAUUUUAUUUUCUGUUAGACAAAAACUAUUUAGUGUUUGAUGUAGUAGAAGACUCCCUAGUCUUAUUUGAAGUUUCCUUCGGAUUCUUAUUCGCUCUCUCCUUUGUUUUGAUUGCUAGAAUGAUUGCUAGUAUGAGUGCUUACGUGAAUGAUAUGGUUGUUAUAUAUAUUUCAUCGGAGAGUGACGAAUAGUCUAUUAAGUUAUUCCUCGAGAACGAAAAUUCUUCUUCGUCAACAUCACCAGGCAAGUUAUUUGAUCAUGUAUCACCUACAUUUUAUGCAUCGUAGUUCUACCAUCCUAUGCCCAAUUGCAUGCUGAGUAGGUACUUGGAAAUUAUGGUUACAUAUUGUAGUAUCAUGUGGUAGGCACCCAACAACCCCGUUACUUGGCCCGGGACGACAAAUUUCAUAUUGCUAUGCUUGAGUAGACGGGAUUCUGGUUGAGAGUUUAUCACGAGUGAUGCGAGAAUAAUUUAAUAACCAAGACCGGUUAAGUCAAGACUUUUCAAGACCUCGUGAUGCAAUGCAACUCUGGGUGAAGGACGGUUGAUCGGCUCCCUGGAGAAACCAGUGGAUGACCCGGGAUGCUGGAGACGUGCCAUGACAUCUUGCAGAAAGCUUCACCCAGGCUCAAAGAGACGGACGAAUAUUUUCAAGACCCAAGGCUUACCGCACAACCACAAGCCAUUAUGGGUCCUAGCUUGGUUGGACAACGCGGCAACUUUGGACAGGCGGUGCUAGCAGAUGUAGAAGAACGCUAGGAUUGGAUGGGCACCGACAGGGAUUCAGAGGGACCCGUUGAAAGACCAUGUUUUGAUCAUCCGGUCUUCAAACACCCUAAAGUGCGAGGACAUACACGGAGGCGAUCAAAUCUUGUGGGGAACGUGUGCAAUACUCUGCAGAGUACUCAAACCUAAUCGAUUAGCCGUGCCCACGGUCAUGGACAACUUGAGCCAAAGGAACUGAAGUUAUCUGGAAUUCUCAACACCAUUAUAUAUAUUUGAUGAGGGUAAUAUUGAUAACUUGGGUAUGAGAACUGGUUGGCGGAACCAUCUCAUUAACAACCAACAACGUAGUAAUAUUUUGCUUUUAGCCUCUCUUGUUGUAGGAGAAAAUUUGCUUUACGCUAAAACUUACAACACCACCUGCCAUAUAUGCAUAUAGUAUAGAUGAUAUUUUACCCCCUCUCAUAUGUGACUUGCCGGCAUAUUCAAUAUGCUGACCUACACGGCUGCAACGUCUUAUGUUGCAGAUAUUUUUCUUCGACGAGUAAGAUUACGAUUCAGGGUUACGGUCUACACUCAACUUGCUGUUGGUGUUUAUUGGGACUCCACUCCCUUGACUGCUUCCGCUGAGAUAUUUAAGGUAUAUAUCAGUUUUACGCUAUUUCCAUGUGAUUGCACUUUGAUAUAUACAUUGAUGUACUGUGUGUGCCAGCAUACUGAUCCAGGGAUGGCACAGAUACACAGAGGCUUGACUCGUUUUGAAUCUGGUCGCUACAGAAAUGGUAUCAGAGCACAUGUUGACUGUAGGACGUGACCCUAGAAACUGGAAAUUUCUUAGUAAAGGAUCUCUCGAAAUUUUUAUUUUCAAAGAACUCCUUUUACUUCUCAUCUCUUCUGAUUUCAAAUGUUCUCUCUCACCUCAAAUAGUUAGACAAUGCCUUUCCCCUUUGACCACAUGAAGGAUCAACCGACUCCCACGUCAAAGUAAAGAGGAUUUCAUCAUGCAGUUGAAGCUACACCAAUUGAAGACUCUCAAGACCCAAAGAACUCGAAGACCCCGAAACUUUCCAAUGUUUAUAUGACAAUUAGAAGUCCAAACCUUGUUAUAUAUCCAUGUUAGUUACGAUGAUUUGUGAGCUGCCAUUGGUGUGUGUUUUUCGACAGCCACAAAUAAAACCCAUUCUCAAAAAUAUUGCUUGUAUUGUGUGUAUCUCCCUCUCUCUUACCCGUCUCAUCCCCAAAACCUCAACCCUACCAGAUGGAGUAUGAAGCUGGACUUGUAGUCUCUAGACCAAUGACCCAGCUGGAGGCUGAUAUAUGGAUUCAAAACAUGGAGAACCACUUCGGGAGCAACUUGAUCUCAAGGAAGUAUGAAGUGGAACACGCUCUUUAGUACUUUACACAAAGUGCUGCAAUCUGGUGGAAAAUGCACCAUGCCAUACAAGGAUUUAGUGGAGCAGAAACCUGGGACGAAUUCAAGAAGACUCUGUUAAGAUCCCGUCUUAUUCAGAAAUGCUAUGGAAGUCUGAUGAAGUAGACUUGUGCAUCCAAGAUCUGUGGAGAAAUAGGACACACCCAGGAAGAACACAAGGAUGGAUGCACUCAUUGUGAAGAAAAUCACCCAGCUGAGGAGUGCCCAAGUAGUCAGGUGACUUGUUUCCUUUGUGAAGGAACCACCCACUACCCAGCUCACUGUCACAUUUACCCCAAGGUGCAACAAGUUGUCAAGCAGCAGAAAGAUGCAGUGAAGGAAACCCUCAAGAAGAAGAUUCUAGAAGAACCUGUGAUGAUUGAAAAUAUAGAAGACCCUCAUGAACAAGGUCUGACCAGAUUUUUCUCCAAUGCAUGCUACUCAUGUGGAGAAGAAGGACAUUAUUCACAGGAUUGCAUGAAGGGAAGCCAAGAGUAUGUGGGAAACAUCCCGACGGAAAAAGUGGAGUUUGAUCCACUUGAAAUAGAAGAACUGGCCAAAAUAAAGGAGUCCGGAAAGAAAAAAGGUACCCUCGAAAGAGCCAAAUAUCUGCAGAUAUAGACCUGAGUCAUGUCAGAUGUUACAAGUGUAUGGAAUUUGGCCACCACAAAUACAUGUGCUCACGAAGGAAGCCGGAAACCCAAGGAGCAAAAGCAAACACUAAGACGCCUCGAGACUUGUCAGAACUCAUUUGCUUUCAUUGCAAGGAAGCACGACAUUUUGCUAAUGAUUGUCCACAAAGGAAGAAAGCUAAAAAGGAGUAGUUAAGUUUUGACCGCGACAAUUAGUGUAAUCUGAAGCACUCUUGAUUUUCAUGAGAUCAUGGAGUUGAAUUUUUGUAAGAAGUCCCUGAGAUUGUAAUAACUACAUGAAUAAAUGGAAUUUAUUGUCCCAUGAUUGCCUAUGUUGAAACAGUAUGCAUUGUUUAUCUAGGAACAAAGGUAUCUUAACAUUUAUGAGGAUGCUCUAUGCAGGCAUGAGUAUAUUUCAUUUUUAGUGUGGUAGUAAUCGGUAAACCCACAUGAUCCACUGAGUAGGAAUGUACCAUAACUACCAAGGAGACAUAUACAUUCCUCUGAGUACCUAUUUACUGACACCUGCAGAUGACAACUCUCUACGAGUCAUUCCUCAAGGGACCAGAAACGAUCAUGACCCUGACCAGUGACUAUGAUUACCCGAAAAUCCUGAAGGACAUGAUGAAGCACAUUCAUCUUGAAGGAGAUGCAGUCUACAAAGGCUACCCAUUCAUGGAGAAUGGAGUGAAACUUUGGUAUGUGGAAGUACAUCUCCAUCGUUUGAAAGGAAUUUGUCCAAAGACUAUGGGGCAAUACUUUUUCAUUUCACGUGUACCAUGAGCAACCUUCUUUGAUGCUGUUCGUGAAGCUGCCAUGGAAGCCAUACGUCAGAUUGGAGAAAUACUUGAAGCAAGACUCCGUCAUAUCCAGGAAUACGUGAGUGAGGUACGUGCGGAGAUGAUGGAGAUGAAGCUCAUGGCCACCAUGAUGAAGCAAAAGAUGGAUGAUUUCAAGGAGCACCUCGGAAAGUUCCAGUGGGACUAAAAUAUCUCCAAGGGAGACGAAUGAAUAAUGUUGGCAGAAAUGCUCGACCAUACCGAACAAUGUGGAUGGCAACAUUGUAAUAGAGUAGUUUUGAAUUGGAGUUUUUGAGAAGAAUUUAAGGAUGUAAUAAAGGAUUGAAUAUGAAAUAAAAUAUGAAUUAUCGAUGAGCAAUAUCUUCUUAUGGUAUCCCACAGAGUGGCGUGUGAACCAAAAAUAAAUCCGAGGAUUAUUAUUAUAUGAUGGUUACCCCAAGAGUAUGAUGGAAUGAAACACUAUGGAAAUUUAAAGGCGGAGUAAUUCCAAGUAUGCCUGAAAACCCACAGACCCCGGGACUAAUAAGGAUCAAGUACUAUCUUUUUGGAGAAGGAAACUUGUUUCAGCAAACGUUUUCUUAGGAGCAUACGAAAACCUGAGAGCUGUGAAGAUACGAUAGAUGUUUUGUUUAGCUUGCAGAACCAAUGGAUUAUUCGAACUUCGUUCGUGGACAAGAGGAAUUCUGCAACACUUGUGAGGAUGUCCAAGUGUUAGAAUACGAGAUUCACUAAGCCUUAUACAAGGUAAUGAUUUCAGUGCGACAUGGCUUGGCCACCAUGACGACUUACUAUUAUCAUCCUCUUGCUAUUCGGAAUGGUAAAUCUGAGAGGCUUACCCAUAGUGAGAGACGAUGUUCUUUGAAGCUUUUGUUUAAGCCUUAGAAUGGUAUGAUGAAAGCCCCAUGUACAUGGCACUUGUUGUCACGCGUAGGAAAUUUUACGAUGAGGAUGAAACCAAGACCUCUCUACCUGCAGGAUAACCACAAAUGGUAGACCACCAUGAGAAUCAUCGAUAGGUUAUAUAUAAUUGAUCACAAGACUGUUAGUUAAGAAGACCCAGUAACGGAAGAAGCUUGUAUCAACAGAAGAACCCUCGAUUUUGAUGGGAACGUUAUGAGUAUAAUGGAAGAGCAUCACCAGAGGAGUUAGUAUGAAGACUGUGAGGAGUCAGAUGCCAAAACCCGAGAGGAUUUCUAAAAUUCUGAGAGACCAGUAGCUUUCAUUUUAAGUGUGGUAGCAUCCCACUUUGCCGGAGGUUGCAUUUGUUCGAAGACCCCCAAACCCUAACCUUUUCUUUCUAGCCCUUCCGAAUCUUGAGGAUGAGAUUCAUUUUAAGUGUGGUAGGUUUGUAACAUCCCAAAUUUUGGAAUGUUAAAAUAAUUAUUAGAUUGUUUGUUUGUUUGAUUGAGUGAUUGAAACUUGAGUGGAAUUUGAAACUUUUAAAAACUUUUGAAUGAGAGGGAAUAAAAUGACUUCCCCUUCUCCGGUAAAUUCAAAUUCAUCCAAUUAAAAGCAAUGAGAGAAGAUGACAUGACCUCUUCAACUAUAAAGAAUUUGAACGGAGUUUUGCAUUUGAAUUGUUUCAAAUAUUUGCCCUUGCUUCUAUAUUUUUCUUCCCCGAGAAAUACCCCGAAAAUAAUUCUUGCCAAGCAAGAAAGAGAGGAGGAACAUGACCCUCCAAACCGGGGGUAUUCCUUUGAAAUAUUUGGAUCAUAAAACCCAAGGUUUAUUUGAAAAAUAUUUGCAAAAAGAAAAUAAACCAAUUUAGGCAUUUUCUAAAAAAAACAUUUUUUUGAAGUAUUUAUUUUGGUAGCAGAAAAAUGCCCAUCUUUUUGGAUUUAUUUUUCUCAAAAUUUUAAUAUAUUAUACCCCUAUAUUCCGAGAAAUAUUCCAUUUACAAUUAAUAGUUCUAAUUCCUGUUUUAAUAAAUAUGGAAAGGGAUCUUUAUUUUAGGAAAGUCCUUGGGCCAUAUUAGGAAUGUCAUCUCGCCCAUAUCCCCACCUUCUUCUUCCUCUCAACGUUUCCUUCUGUAGGCAUGGGAGAAGCUUCCGAGGAAGCUUCCCCUCCGGGAUUCGGGAGCUAUACUCCCUCCCGGCGCCUCCCGUCACCACUAUAAGAACGCCCCGUCUCUCCUCUUUCCAUUCCCCUAGAGAAAUCCUCGUUUCCCCUGCCCGUAGCAUCUCCCCAUCACCUCCCCUUUUCCCUGUCAAGAACGCACCAGGGGGCUCUCCCGUGUAGCCCCAACAUCACCUCCCCAUCGCCCCACCCUCACUGCACCCCACCCCUGCGCACCCCCACCCCACGCUACNNNNNNNNNNNNNNNNNNNNNNNNNNNNNNNNNNNNNNNNNNNNNNNNNNNNNNUUAGCCGAAGCGGUUUCUUAUGUAGCGGUCAUCCGCUGUUUAGCCUAUGCAACGCACACCCUAGAGCCAAUCACAACACGCCACGUGGACCCUCGCUCACUAAUUAGCUAUUCAGUUUUUUUAGUUUUAAUUCAAAAACAGAGAGAGUUCCAAUCUUGUUUCCUCCAUAACUUUUGAUCCAGAACUCGAAUGGAGUUGAAUCUUUUUCCAGUAGAUCAAAAUUUUUCUGUAGUUUUCAAAAAAAUAUAAUUUGCCUAUGUUUGAAAUUUGCGAAGUUGAAUUAGAUCAGAUUUAGUUUAAACCUUGUUUUGCUUAUUCUGGGAGUUUAAAAAUAGAUUUUUAAUUAAUUCUUUUUGCUACUGAUCACUAGUGAUCUUAUUUAUCAGUGGGAAAAAGUUCAGAAUUGUUUGAGUAUUGUAGCUCAUUAUUUCUUGUUAAACACUUUCUGUUUCACUUCUUUUAGUAUUAUGACUAUAUUUCUUUCUUUAGUUGUUUUUAAAUUAUUUUUUCUUUUAUAUUUCAGAAAGAUUAUGUUUUGUUUCUGUUAGUUAAUAGUAGGUUUGCAACAAGUUUUGAUUUUAUUUUUAUAUGUUAUCAUGAAAUCAAUUCUAGUUCUCUAAUAACUUGCAAUUGGUUUCUCUACUGUUUCAAAUCCCGUUUGGAAAUUCUUUCAAAUAGUUUUGUGAAAAAUACAUUAUUUUAUCUUAGUUAAAUUUAUAUCUUAGUUCCCUGUUAUUUAAGUAUUUUAUUUUCUGUUAGACAAAAACUAUUUAGUGUUUGAUGUAGUAAAAGACUCCCUAGUCUUAUUUGAAGUUUCCUUUGGAUUCUUAUUCGCUCUCUCCUUUGUUUAGAUUGCUAGAAUGAGUGCUUACGUGAAUGAUAUGGUUGUUAUAUAGAUUUCAUCGGAGAGUGACGAGUAGUCUAUCAAGUUAUUCCUCGAGAACGAAAAUUCUUCUUCGUCAACAUCACCAGGAAAGUCAUUUGAUCAUGUAUCACCUACGUUUUAUGCAUCGUAGUUCUACCAUCCUAUGCCCAAUUGCAUGCUUAGUAGGUACUUGGAAAUUAUGGUUACAUAUUGUAGUAUCAUGUGGUAGGCACCCAACAACCCCGUUACUUGGCCCGGGACGCCAAAUUUCAUAUUGCUAUGCUUGAGUAGACGAGAUUCUGGUUGAGAGUUUAUCACGAGUGAUGCGAGAAUAAUUUAAUAACCAAGACCGGUUAAGUCAAGACUUUUCAAGACCUUGUGAUGCAAUGCAACUCUGGGUGAAGGACGGUUGAUCGGUUCCCUGGAGAAACCAUUGGAUGACCCGGGAUGCUGGAGACGUGCCAUGACAUCUUGCGGAAAGCUUCACCCAGGCUCAAAGAGACGGACGGAUAUUUUCAAGACCCAAGGCUUACCUGCACAACCACAAGUCAUUAUGGGCUCUGGCUUGGUUGGACAACACGGCGACUCUGGACAGGCGGUGCUAGCAGAUGUAGUAGAACGGUAGGAUUGGAUGGGCACCGACAGGGAUUCAGAGGGACCCGUUGAAAGACCAUGUUUUGAUCAUCCGGUCUUCAAACACCCUGAAGUGCGAGGACAUACACGGAGGCGAUCAAAUCUUGUGGGGAACGUGUGCAAAACUCUGCAGAGUAGUCAAACCUAAUCGAUUAGCCGUGUCCACGGUCAUUGACAACUUGAGCCAAAGGAACUGAAGUUAUCUGGAAUUCUCAACACCAUUAUAUAUAUUUGAUGUGGGUAAUAUUGAUAACUUGGGUAUGAGAACUGGUUGGCGGAACCAUCUCAUUAACAACCAACAGCGUAGUAAUAUUUUGCUUUUAGCCCCUCUUGUUGUAGGAGAAAAUUUGCUUUACGCUAAAACUUACAACACCACCUGCCAUAUAUGCACCCCCCCCGUAUAUAUGAUAUUUUACCCCCUCUCAAAUGUGAAUUGCCGGCAUAUUCAAUAUGCUGACCUACACGACUGCAACGUCUUAUGUUGCAGAUAUUUUUCUUCGACGAGUAAGAGUACGAUUCAGGGUUACGGUCUACACUCAACUUGCUGUUGGUGUUUAUUGGGACUCCACUCCCUUGACUGCUUCCGCUGAGAUAUUUAAGGUAUAUAUCAGUUUUACGCUAUUUCCAUGUGAUUGCACUUUGAUAUAUACAUUGAUGUACUGUGUGUGUCAGCAUACUGAUCCAGGGAUGGUACAGAUACACAGAGGCUUGACUCGUUUUGAGUCUGGUCGCUACACUGGAAGCUGGAGCAUUCUUUGCUUUAGCAGCAGGCUUAGGAGUAGACUUCAUGGCAUCAACCAUUAACCUUUUCUUCUUGGGGGGAACUGGGAUCUCCUCAGGAGCUUCUUCCUCAACACAUUCUUGGUCUUCAAACAUGGAAGUUUUUCUGCCAACAAGAUGGAUAGUUCUCUUCCUGGGCCACUUCACACUAGCCUUCUUUGCAGGUGCAUCCUUGGAAAGCUCAGUGCUCUUCCUGAUGUACUUGGGUGCUCUCAGGUCAGCUGAAUUAGCAGUAACUUUCCUGUCUGUUUUCCUUGGAGGGGCGUUUGAAGGAGCUAAAGACUCUUCAAGCACAAAGUCUGAAUCCUCCUCAUCAGAAUUGAGCUUCCUGCUGUGCCUGGUGGCUGCCUUGGGCAAGCCAUGGGAGCUGGGAGAACUUGGAUCUGAAGCAGACUUUUCUGGGCUAGUGCCAGAGUCCAUCUCAACACUCUGCUCUCUCAAGUCAUUCUGACUAUCAUCUAAACGUGACAUGCUGACAGACACGCUCAACAAAAAACAACAGAACCUGUGAAGUGGAUAUAGGAAAUACACAAUGGAUGAGCAUCACAAAAUUCAGGUGUUUUUGAAAAUUUGAAGUUUGAAACUUAGGGUAUGAUCUUUUGCAGGAUGUAAAUCGGUGGCACCGAGUUGGAAAUUUUGGAGUCACCGAGAAAGCUCACUCGCUUAACAGAAACUUGACAGUCAUUUUCAGUGGCACCGAAAGGAGCUCCUCGGUCUCAUCAAUAUGCUUCUCAAGAACCCUAAAACAAGAAUCGGUGGAACCAAUUUUACAAACUCGGUCUUACCGAGUUGCAUACUGGGGUAGAUCAGGUCCAAAAUUUCUACUUAUUCUACACUACGAGAUUCAUCUGGUGGAAGGAAGGGUUUGCACAUUGUGGUUGGAAUAAAAAAUUUCCCAAUGCAUAAGAAUCAGAUAGGGGAACGCAAAGGAAAUCAGAUUCGUACCCUAACUUGGCGACAGACUGGCUACGACGACGACGGGAGAGCAGAUUGCAUCGACGGUGGCGAAUCCCGGAGGCGGCGGUGCUCGAGGAGAGAAAGGUGAUGUCCUAGGGUCUCGGGGGCAGCGAGGGUUUGGCGAACGAAAUGGUUUUGACAAAGUGAAGUCAAAAGAUUCGGUCCAUGGAUAUAUAUACACAUGCGCUCUCGGUGUCACCGAGAUGGCAAAAUCAGUGUCACCGAGUUCCUCAACUAUGAGUAGAAAGGGAAACUCGGUGUAACCGAGUUGGCGAUUUCGGUGGUACCAAGAUUAAAAACCUGAUCAACUUUGAAAAUCGGUGACACCGAGUUUGUGGAGUUGGUCACACCGAAUUUUUACAAAGAGGUUUUGGAAGACAGCCUUUGACGAUACGGAACUCCGAGUGCACCUUCACACAGAGGGAUCGACAAGUGCUUGUUCAAGUUUUGUGAUGAAUCAUGUAUAGAACUUGAGAUGAGAUAGUAUAGAUAGCUAGAGAAGGGUCCUAGGCAUUCUUGUCCAACUAAUUGGCAAAAGAUAAAUCAAAAGCCAAAUAACAAUAAUUGGAUGCCCUCGAAUGAUCAAACACAUGCAGACCAACAUGCUCACAAAAUAAGAAUGAUGAAUAAAACAUGGUGAACACUGAUGACCCACAAGUAUAGGAGAUCUAUCGUAGUCCUUUCGAUAAGUAAGAGUGUCGAACCCAACGAGGAGCAGAAGGAUCUGACAAGUGGUUUUCAACAAGGUAAUAUCUGCAGGCACUGAAAUUAUUGGUAACAAGUAGUUGUGUGGUGAGAUGAUUCAUAGCAAGCAACAAGAAACAAAAGUAACAAUGGUGCAACAAAGUGGCCCAAUCCCUUUGUAGCAAGGGACUAGCCUGGACAAAGUCUUAUAGGAGGAAAAACGCUCCCGAUGACACACGGGAACUUCUGUCAUGCUAGUUUUCAUCAUGUUCAUAUGAUUCGCGUUCGUUACUUUGAUAGUUUGAUAUGUGGGUGGACCGACGCUUAUGUACUGCCCUUACUUGGACAAGCAUCCCACUUAUGAUUAACCCCUCUCGCAAGCAUCUGCUACUACGAAAGAAGAAUUAAGACAAAGUCUAACCAUAGCAUUAAACGAGUGGAUCCAAAUCAGCCCCUUACAAAGCAACACAUAAACUAGGGUUUAAGCUUCGGUCACUCUAGCAACCCAUCAUCUACUUACUACUUCCCAAUGCCUUCCUCUAGGCCCAAAUAAUGGUGAAGUGUUAUGUAGUCGACGUUCACAUAACACCACUAGAGGAAAAACAACAUACAACACAUCAAAUAUCGAACGAAUACCAAAUUCACAUGACUACUAUUAGCAUGACUUAUCCCAUGUCCUCAGGAACAAAAGUAACUACUCACAAAGCAUAAUCAUAUUCAUGACCAGAGAGGUAAUGAGUAGCAUCAAGGAUCCGAACAUACACUCUUCCACCAAGUAAUCCAAUUAGCAUCAACUACAAAGAGUAAUUAACACUACUAGCAACCUUACAAGUACCAAUCGGAGUCGCGAGACGGAGGUUGGUUACAAGUGAUGGACUAGGGUUUGGAGAUGAGAUGGUGCUGAUGAAGAUGUUGAUGGUGAUGAGUCCCCUUUGUUGAGAGGAGUGUUGGUGAUGACGAUGUCGACGAUUUCCCCCUCCGGGAGGGAAGUUUCUCCGGCAGGAUCGUCCUGCCGGAGCUCUAGAUUGAUUCUGCUCAAGUUCCGCCUCGUGGCGGCGGCGAAUCCUCCGAAAAGCCUCCUCCUGAUUUUUUUCGGAACGAAACCCUUCAUAUAGCAGAAGAGGGGGGCUCGUGGGCCAGCAGGGAGCCCACACGCCCCCUAGGCGCGACCAGGGGGGGGGGGGUGGCCACGCCUACCACGCUUGUGGCCCCCUGGUUGCACUCCUGUGGCACUUCUUCGGCCCAGUAUUUUUUAUAUAUUCCCAAAAAAAUCCACGUUGAUUUUCACGGCUUUUGGAGUUGCGCAGAAUAGGCAUAUCAAACUUGCUCCUUUUCCAAGCCAAAAUUCCAGCUGCCGGCAUUCUCCCUCUUCAUGUAAAGCUUGCAAAAUAAGAGAGAAAAGACAUAAGUAUUGUACCGUGAAGUGAAAUAACAGCCCAAAAAGCAAUAAAUAUCAACAUGAAAGCAUGAUGCAAAAUGGACGUAUCAACUCCCCCAAGCUUAGACCUCGCUUGUCCUCAAGCGAAAGCCGAGCUCAAUAAAAAUGCCCACAUGUUUAGGGAGAGAGGUGUCGACAAAACAAGAUACGAACAUACAUGCAUCAUGAUCAUGAUCAAAACAUCAAUACUAACAUAUAAUCUCUCAUGCUAAAGUGACAAUUCCUUCACAAAGUAAAGUAUGGAUCAAGAACCUUACCGAGAAUUAGCAACUGAUAGCCUUUAGUCAUUGAAGCAAUUGCAAUUUAUCACAACAUCGAAAAGAGUCAAAUAAGAGCUUGUAAAGCAAAUCCACAUACUCAAUCAUCUUUUCGUUCUCUACAAUUGCUACAACUCACGUGGUACUCAUGAGAUCAAAGUUUCAGCUGAACACUGAGAAAGAUAGGGGCUUACAGUUUUGCCUCCCAACUGCUUACCUCAAGGGUAAUGUCAACAAUAAUAAUUCAUGAAUACUUACCUCCAAGUUUACAUAUGAAUAUAGAUCUUUCCCAAGCAUAUGACGUUAGCCAAGAUAAAGGCGAAAUAAGGAAUUGGUGAAGAUCACCAUGACUCUUUCAAGGAAAAAAAAGUAAAGGUACAAGAAAGGCCCUUCGCAGAGGGAAGCAGAGGCUGUCAUGCGCUUUUGAGGUUGGGAUGCAUGUCCUCUUAGUGCGGAGGAACGUCACUUUAUAUUGCCUCCUGUGAUAAAGAACUUUAUUAUGCAGUCUGCCGCUUUUAUGUCUUCCUCAUCACAGGUUCGUACAAAGCUUAUUUUUCCACACACUAAUAGAUCAUACAUAUUAGGUAGAAAUUUUUAUUGCUUGCACCGGUGACAACUUACUUGAGGGAUCAUAUUCAAUCCAUAGGUAGGUAUGGUGGACUCUCAUGGCAAAACUGGGUUGAAGGUUUAUGGAUGCACAAGUAGUAUCUCUACUUGGUGCGGGAGUUUUGUCUAAUAUAAGGUGGAAGCAAUUGUCACAUGCUAAGGGAUCUCUAAUCAUAUAACAUUGUUCGGAACCAAGCAAACACAAUUCAUUAUGUUGUCUUCCUUGUCCAAUGUGUACUUCUAAGCAUGCAAUAGUUUAGUGAGUGUUCAUAAUCAUAGAUGGUGUCAAAGAUGGUAUAUUUAUAUGUGAACCUCUCCUUCUUUAUCACUUCCUGUUAAUUGCAACAAUGACCAAGGUCUAUGUUUGUCUACCCUCAACAAGUUUCAAUCAACAUUGUUUUUAUAUGUGAAGCCAUCACUUCCCAUAAGAUCAUUACAUGAUCUUUCAUGCUUUUGUUCCUUUCUCACUCUUUUGAUCAUGGCAAGAGGCAAAGCCCUCAUCUAAGACACUCUUUAUUAUAUGGAUCACGAGCUCGAAUACAUCGGGGGUGACACAAAGCAAAACUCAAGACUAAAACACUAAGACUUUUAAUCUACUAGAGAAAAAGAAAACUGAAAAGGAACAAACUAAAACAAAGGUAAAGGCAAAAGAUGUGAUGGUGAUACGAUACCGGGGCAACUCCCCCAAGUUUGGCACAAGCCAAGGGGAUUGCCCAUACCCAUGCUUAGCUGUCUUCCUUUGGAGGUGAUGGUGGUGGAGUUGUUGCAGUGGUCCUGAGCUUGUUUAAUUUCCACUUGAGCAUAAAAUUCUGCUCCCUCAGAUCAUCAUUUUCCUCUUCAAGCUUCAACACCCUUUGGCAUAAUUCCUGCUUACUCUCCUGCAAGAAACGAGAAGGGAUAAACAAAGUCUUAGGCUUCUUCCUUGAGUCAAGGAGGCUCGACUUCUUUAACUCCACAUGCGUGUGUCUAGGUUGAGGUAGAGGAGCCUCCUCUUCAUCGGAACUUGUUUGUUCCUUCCCCUUGGGAUUAUAAUCUUCUUCCUCAUUAGUGGUCCAGCCAUAAGGAUCCAAGUCCCCAUAGACCUUGGGGUCAGCAAGGUAAUCUGCCACAUAGCUCACCCCUUCUGAAUCUUGAGAAGACAUCUUACCCUAAAUCUGCGGGAGAAAACAUGCUCGAAACGAAAACAGAGGAAAUUUGCGUGAUACGAGGGUCAAACCUUUCGGGAGAAUAUAUAACGAUUUUUUUCGACCAAAAGGAGUACUCUGCAAGAAAAUGGAGUCCGGGAGGCACACGAGGUGGCCACAAGGCCCCCAGGCGCGGCCAGGGGGUGGGCCCACGCCUGGCAGGCUUGUCGCCUCCUCGCGCGCUUUCCGGACUACUUCCAAUUUUUCUAUUUUUUCAAAAAUUCCAAAACGGAGAAAAAUUUCUACUGGAAAAGUUUUGGAGUCUGUUCUCUUACCGAAUCACAUACCUCUUCAUUUUCGGAGUCUGAAACAGGCUGAUAAAUAUCCCUUAGGUAUUCCUCCGGAGUUAUGGUAUUGAUAGUAUUGCUUUCAACAUUUAUGGGAGUACCUGAGAUAUAAUGCUUGAUUCUCUGCCCAUUGACCACUCUCGGACAAUUACCUUCCGUGUUGUUGAUCUUGAUAGCACCGGAACGAUAUACUUCCUCAACAAUAUAGGGACCUUCCCAUUUAGAGAGAAGCUUGCCUGCAAAAAAUCUUAAACAAGAAUUAUAUAGCAAGACAUAAUCACCUACAUUGAACUCACGGUUUUGUAUCGUCUUAUCAUGCCACCUCUUAAACUUUUCUUUGAACAACUUGGCAUUUUCAUAUGCCUGAGCUCUCCAUUCAUCAAGCGAGCUAAUGUCAAAUAACCUCUUCUCACCAGCAAGUUUGAAAUCAAAGUUGAGCAAUUUGAUUGCCCAAUAGGCUUUAUGCUCUAGCUCAAGAGGUAAAUGACAUGCUUUACCGUACACCAUUUUGUACGGAGACAUGCCCAUGGGAUUCUUAUAGGCAGUUAAAGGUCCCAUAUAAUGAAAGCCCCAAACAUCAGAUGGUUUAAUGACAAGUGAAUAGUUCAUAGGCAUUUCCUCACGUUUACCGAUAUUACCUGUUCUUUGACAUUCGUCACAAGACAAGACAAACUUACGGGCAUCCUUUAAGAGAGUGGGUCAAUAGAAACCUGAUUGCAAUACCUUGUGUGCAGUUCUAUCUCCCGCAUGGUGUCCUCCGUAUGCCUCAGAGUGACACUUCUGUAGGAUCUGUCCCUGUUCAUGUUCAGGUACACAACGUCUAAUAACACCAUCUACUCCUUCCUUAUAAAGGUGAGCAUUAUCCCAAAAGUAAUGUCUCAAGUCAAAGAAGAAUUUCUUCUUUUGCUGGUAUGUGAAACUAGGUGGUAUGUAUUUGGCAACGAUAUAGUUUGCAUAAUCAGCAUACCAGGGUGCACUACGUGAAGUAUUGAUGACAUUUAAUUGCUCAUCGGGAAAGCUAUCAUCAAUAGGUUGUGGGUCAUCAAGAACGUUCUCUAACCUAGACAAGUUAUCUGCUACUAGGUUAUCAGCACCCUUUCUGUCGACAAUGUGCAAAUCAAAUUCUUGUAGCAAGAGAACCCAUCUGAUAAGUCUAGGUUUAGCGUCCUACUUCUCCAUGGGGUACUUAAUAGCAGCGUGAUCAGUGUGAAUAGUGACUUUGGAAUCAACUAUGUAAGACCUAAACUUUUCACAUGCAAACACGACUGCUAAAAAUUCCUUUUCCGUAAUAGCAUAGUUUCUUUGGGCACUGUCUAGAGUUUUACUAGCAUAGUGAAUAACAUUCAACUUCUUAUCAACUCUUUGCCCUAGAACAACACCAACAACGUAAUCACUAGCAUCACACAUGAUUUCAAAAGGUAUGUUCCAAUCAGGUGGUUGAACAAUAGGUGCAGUUAUCAAAGCCUUCUUAAGUAUUUCGAAGGCUUCCUCACAAUCAUCGUCAAAAACAAAAGCAAUAUCCUUUUGCAAGAGAUUGGUAAGAGGCCUAGAAAUCUCAGAGAAGUCUUUAAUGAACCUCCUAUAGAAACAACCAUGACCAAAGAAACUUCUUAUACCUUUGAUAUCUGUGGGGUAUGGCAUUUUCUCGAUUGCAUCAACCUUAUCCUUAUCGACUUCAAUACCUCUUUUAGAAAUUUUAUGUCCUAAGACGAUGCCUUCAUUAACCAUAAAGUGGCACUUCUGCCAAUUCAAGACAAGAUUAGUGUCUUCACAUCUCUGCAAGACUCGAUCAAGGUUGCUGAGGCAAUCAUCAAAGGAAGACCCAUAAACAAAGAAGUCAUCCAUGAAAACCUCAACAAUCUUUUCACAAAAGUCAGAGAAUAUAGCCAUCAUACAUCUUUGAAAGGUGACAGGUGCAUUACAUAAGCCAAAAGGCAUACGUCUAUAAGCAAAGGUACCGAAAGGGCAGGUGAAAGUGGUUUUCUCCUGAUCAGAUUGUGCAACUGGCAUUUGGGAGAAACCAGAAUAACCAUCUAGAAAGCAGAAGUGUGUGUGGUUAGACAGUCUUUCUAGCAUUUGGUCGAUAAAAGGCAAAGGGUAAUGAUCUUUCGUAGUGGCUUUAUUCAAUUUCCUAAAAUUGAUGACCAUCCUAUAGCCAGUAAUAAUCCUCUGUGGGAUCAAUUCAUCCUUAUCAUUAGGGACAACGGUAAUGCCUCCCUUCUUAGGGAGCAAUGCACCGGACUCACCCAAUCACUAUGAGCAACAGGAUAGAUAAUACCCGCUUCCUGGAGCUUUAGUAUUUCUUUUCUCACUACUUCUUUCAUCUUAGGAUUUAAUCUCCUUUGAUGAUCAACAACUGGUUUGGAAUCAGGAUCAGUUUUAAUCUUGUGCUGGCAUAGAGUGGGACUAAUGCCCUUAAGAUCAUCAAGAGUAUAUCCAAUAGCAGCACAGUGCUUUCUCAGAGUUUUUAGUAACUUCUUUUCUUCAUGCUCUAAGAGGCUAGCACUAAUAAUAAUAGGAUAUAUCUCUUUUUCAUCAAGAUAAGCAUACUUAAGAGUAUCAGGCAACUGUUUAAGCUCGAACACAAGAUCACCUUUUGGUGGGGGUGGAUCCCCAAGGAGUUCAACAGGAAAAUUAUUCUUAAGGAUAGGAUAUUGUUCUAAGAUAACCCUAUCUAUCUCAUCCCUUUCAUCCAUAUGCAUAUCAUUUUCAUGCUCAAGCAAGUAUUGCUCUAAGAGAUCAGUAGGAGGCACGACAAUAGAAGCCAAGGCAAUAGUUUCAUCCUUACUGGGCAACUCUUUUUCAUGAGGUUGUCUACCAAACUUGGAGAAAUUGAACUCAUGUGACACACCUUCAAAGCCAACAGUGACAGUUUGCUUAUCACAAUCAAUAUGAGCAUUGACGGUAUUGAGAAAAGGUCUACCAAAUAUGAUGGGACAAAAGCUAUCUUGAGUGGUAGCAAGAAUGAGGAAAUCAGCAGGAUACUUCGUUUUACCACACAAGACUUCAACAUCCCUAACAAUUCCCACACGGCAGAUAGUAUCUCUAUUGGCAAGCUGAAUAGUGACAUCAAUCGGUUCUAUCUCAACAGGUGCAAUCUCGUAUUUAAUUUCAUCAUAUAAGGAUUGAGGUAUUGCACUAACACUAGCACCCACGUCACAUAAACCAUGAUAGCAAUGAUCUCCUAUCUUAACAGAAACAACAAGCGUGCCAACAACAGGCCUAUGUUUAGCUCUAGCGUGAGGUUUAGCAAUUCUAGCAGCAUCUUCACAGAAGUGAAUAUUAUGUCCCUCAACAUCAUCGGACAGGAUAUCUUUGAUAAUAGCAAUGCUAGGUUCAACUCUAAUUUUCUCAGGGGGUGUAGGUGUUCUAAUGUAGCCUCUACGUAUCACAGUUGAAGCUUUAGAAUGAUCCUUUAUCCUAACAGGGAAAGGUGGUUUCUCAAUGUAAGCACUGGGAACAAUACGAUCAUUAUAGGCAAUGACUUUCUCUUCAACUGGAUUGGGUUUAACUACAUUGACUUCUAAAGGAGGAUGAUAUUUAAACCACUUCUCUUUGGGGAGAUCAAUAUGAGCAGCAAAUGAUUCACACAAUGAAGCUACUAUCUCAGAGUCAAGUACGCACUUAGCGCUAAAGUCACAAAAAGUAUUUGUUUCAACAAAGGAUUUAACACAAUCAAACUUGAAAUUCAUACCUGACUCCUUACCUUCAUCAAGCUCCCAAUCUUCAGAGUUGCGUUUAAUUCUCUCCAAUCAAUUCCAUUUGAAGUCAAUAUCUCUCUUCAUAAAAGAACCGGUAGAAGAAGUGUCAAGCAUGGUGCGAUCAUCAUGAGAAAGCCGAGCAUAGAAGUUCUGAAUGAUAAUUUCUCUCGAGAGCUCAUGGUUGGGGCAUGAAUAUAACAUUGAUUUAAGCCUCCCCCAUGCCUGAGCGAUGCUUUCUCUGUCAUGAGGCCAAAAAUAAUUCCGAUCACGAUGUACUAGAUGCAUAGGAUACAACUUUUGAUGAAAUUCCAAUUUCAACCGAUUGUAGUUCCAUGAUCCAGUGUCAUCACAUAGCCUAUACCAUGUCAACGCCUUAUCCCUCAAAGAUAAGGGAAAUACCUUCUUCUUGACCUCAUCCUCGGGCAAACCUGCAAGCUUAAAUAAACCAUAAACUUCAUCUACAUAGAUUAGAUGCAAGUCUGGAUGUGAUGUUGCUACUGCAACAAAAUACCUUCCAACGGCGCCAGGAAUAGGAAUGUUGCUUGAUACUCCUCAGCAACGACACUAGGAAUCCUUCUGCUACGGCUACGCCUUAAGGGACUUCCUAGGCAAAUAUGCAAAGGAUUUCCCCCGUGGCCUUGGAGCCUUGUGUUGGUGUUCCCUCGAAGCGGAAAGGGUGAUGUAGCACAGCGGUGGUAAGUAUUUCCCUCAGUUUGAGAAAACUAAGGUAUCGAUCCAGUGAAGGAGCAUCACAAGUGCGUGCACAAACACAAAAAGCUUGCUCCCAAUGCUAUGAAGGCGUUGUCAAUCCCUUAUAGAUUGUUCGCCAAGUGAGAACUGAAAGCAACAAAGUAAUAAAUUACUGUCAAUCCCUUAUAGAAGUGAAGGCGUUGUCAAUCCCUUAUAGAAGUGAAAGCGAAAGUGGAAACGAUAGGUGUGAAUAGACCCAGGGGCUGUAGUGUUUACUAGUGGCUUCUUUCAUGAAAGCAAGUAGAUGGUGGGUGAACAAAUUACUGUUGAGCAAUUGAUAGAACCGCACAAAGUCGUGACGAUAUCUAUGGCAAUGAUUAUAUCCAUAGGCAUCACGUCCAAAACAAGUAGACCGAUACUUUCUGCAUCUACUACUAUUAUUCCACACGUCGACCGCUAUCCAGCAUGCAUCUAGUGUAUUAAGUUCAAAAGAACAAGGUAACACCUUAAGCAAGAUGACAUGAUGUAGAUGGACAAUCUCAUAUCUACGAUAGAGCCCACCUUGUUACCCUUGAUGGCAACUACACGAUGUGUGCCUUACUGCCCCUACCGUCACCGGGAAAGGUCACCACACGGUAAGAACCCAAAACCAAGCACUUCUCCCAUUGCAAGAAUCAUAGAUCUAGUUGGCCAAACAAAACCCAAGACUCGGAGAGACUUACAAGGAUAUCAAAUCAUGCAUAUAAGAAAUCAGCAAAGACUCAAAUAUAUAUCAUAGAUAAUCCGAUCACAAAUCCACAAUUCAUCGGAUCUCGACAAACACACCGCCAAAGAAGAUUACAUCGGCUAGAUCUCCAUGAAGAUCAUGGAGAACUUUGUAUUGAAGAUCCAAGAGAGAGAAGAAGCCAUCUAGCUACUAACUACGGACCCGUAGGUGUGAAGUGAACUACUCACGAGUCAUUGGAGGGGCGAUGAUGUUGAUGUAGAAGCCCUCCAACUCCAAAGUCCCCUCCGGCAGGGCAUCGGGAAGGGUCUCCAGAUGAGAUCUCGCGGAAACGGAAGCUUGCGGCGGCGGAAAAGUAUUUUCGUGUAUCCCUUGAUUUUUUUUUCUGAUUUUUAGGGAAUAUAUAGGCGCAAGAUCUAGGUCAGGGGGCACCAGGGAGGCCACAAGCCUGCCCACUGCCGCCCCCUGGUGGCGGAGUGGGGCUUGUGGGCUCCGUGUAGCCCUCCUGGCUUGGCCCACACGCCCCCUAAUCUUCUUCCGUUCGAGAAAAAAUCAUUUCGGGGAUUUUAUUCCGUUUGGACUCCGUUCCAAAAUCAUAUAUGAAAAGAGGCAAAAACACAGAAAAAACAGGAACUGGCACUUGGCACUGAAUUAAUAAGUUAGUCCCAAAAAAGAUAUAGAAGGUAAAUAAAACAUCCAAAGAUGACAAGAUAACAACAUGAAACCAUCAAAAAUUAUAGAUACGUUUGAGACGUAUCAGAUGUUUGAUAUGUCUCCAACGUAACUAUAAUUUUUGAUGGUUUCAUGCUAUUAUCUUGUCAAACUUUGGAUGUUUUGCAUGCUUUUUAUUUAUUUUCUGGGACUAACUUAUUAACUCAGUGCCAAGUGCCAGUUCCCGUUUUUCAUGUUUUUGACCCCUUUCAGAGGAGAUUUUGAAACGGAGUCCAAACGGAAGAAAAUCCCCGAAAAGAUUUUUUUUGGAACAGAAGAAGAUCAGAGAACUUGGGAGCCAAGCCAGAAGAGCCCCAGUGGCCCCACAAGCCCCCACCCCGCUGCGGGGGGGGGGGCACCAUCCAGGCUUGUGGUCCCCCUAGAGGUCCCCUGACCUAGAUCUUGCGCCUAUAUAUUCCCAAAUAUUCCCAAAAAAAUCAAGAGACGAUCACAAUCACUUUUCCGCCUCCGCAAGAUUCUGUCUUCGCAAGAUCCCAUCUGGGGCACGUCCUGGUGCCCUGCCGGAGGGGGGAUUCGGACACGGAGGGCUUCUUCAUCAACACCAUGACCUCUCCGAUGAUGCGUGACUAGUUCACCAUAGACCUACGGGUCCAUAACUAGUAACUAGAUGGCUUCUUCUCUCUCUUGGAUCUUCAAUACAAAGUUCUCCAUGAUCUUCAUGGAGAUCUAUCCGAUGUAAUCUUCUUUUGCGGUGUGUUUGUCGAGAUCCGAUGAAUUGUGGAUUUAUGAUCAGAUUAUCUAUGAAUCUUAUUUGAGUUUCUUUUGAUCUCUCUUAUGCAUGCUUUCAUAUCCUUGUAAUUCUCUUCGAGUUGUGGGUUUUGCAUCGCCAACUAGAUCUAUGAUUCUUGCAAUGGGAGAAGUGCUUGGUUUUGGGUUCAUACCGUGCGGUGACCUCACCCAGUGAUAGAAGGGGUAGCGAGGCACGCAUCGUGUUGUUGCCAUCAAGGGUAAAAAGAUGGGGUUUUCAUCAUUGGUUUGAGAUUAUCCCUCUACAUCAUGUCAUCUUGCUUAAAGCAUUACUCUGUUCGUCAUGAACUCAAUACACUAGAUGCAUGUUGGAUAGCGGUUGAUGUGUGGAGUAAUAGUAGUAGAUGCAGAAAGUAUCGGUCUACUUGUCUCGGACGUGAUGCCUAUAUGCAUGAUCAUUGCCUUAGAUAUCGUCAUGAAUUUGCGUGGUUCUAUCAAUUGCUCGACAUUAAUUUGUUCACCCACCGUGAUAUUUGCUAUUAUGAGAGAAGCCUCUAGUGAACACUAUGGCCCCCAGGGUCUACUCCACACCAUAUUUUUAGCCUUACACUUUUUACUUCGUUGCAAUUUCCGCCUUCAGAUCUCACUUUGCAAACAAUCUUGAAGGGAUUGACAACCCCUUUGAAGUGUUGGGUGCAAGCUUGUUUGUGUUUGCGCAGGUACUUUGGACUUGACAAGGCCCUCCUUCUAGAUCGAUACCUUGGUUCUCAAACUGAGGAAAAUACUUACUGCUCCUGUGCUGCAUCACCCUUUCCUCUUCAAGGGAAAAACCGAUGCAAACCAGAGAAGUAACAAGAAGAAUUCCUAAGCGCGAGGGAAGGACUUUUGUUGCCGUAGCAAAAUAAUUUCUGGCGCCGUUGCCGGGGUGAAAGAUCAAAUCAAGAACACAUCCAAGUAUGUGUCGCAAACUCAUCUCUUGCAUUUACUUUGUUUGCCAGUUGCCUCUCGUUUCCCUAUGCCCCAGUUCACCAAUUUUCCUUUUUCGUUUGCCUUUUUUCUCGCCUGCUCUUUGUUUGCUCGUGUGCUUGCUUGCUUGCUGAAGUCACCAUGAACGAAAACACCAAACUUUGUGACUUCUCGAAUACUAAUAAUAAUGAUUUUAUUAGUACUCCGAUUGCUCCCGCCACUAGUGCGGAGUCAUACGAAAUGAAUGCCGCUUUGUUGAAUCUUGUUAUGAAAGAGCAAUUCUCUGGCCUUCCUAGUGAAGAUGCCGCAUCCCAUGUCAAUACCUUCAUUGAGCUUUGCGAUAUGCAAAAGGAAAAAGAUGUGGAUAAUGACGUGAUUAAAUUGAAGCUUUUUCCUUUCUCGUUGCGAGAUCGUGCAAAAACUUGGUUUUCUUCUUUGCCCAAAAAUAGUAUCAAUUCUUGGGAUAAGUGCAAAGAUGUUUAUAUAUCCAAGUAUUUUCCGCCGGCUAAGAUCAUCUCUCUCCGUAAUGAUAUCAUGAAUUUCAAUCAACUUGAUCAUGAACAUGUUACACAAGCUUGGGAGAGAAUGAAAUUAAUGAUUAGAAAUUAUCCCGCUCAUGGCUUGAGUCUUUGGAUGAUUAUCCAAAUCUUUUACGCUAGCUUGAAUUUCGCUUCUAGAAAUAUCUUGGACUCCGCCUUAGGUGGAACAUUCAUGGAGAUCACGUUAGGAGAAGCCACAAAGCUCUUAGACAGCAUCAUGACGAACUACUCUCAGUGGCACGAUGAAAGGUCACCUACUAGUAAGAAGGUACACGCUAUAGAAGAAAUUAACUCGUUGAGUGCUAAGAUGGAUGAGUUAAUGAAUUUGGUUGCUAGUAGAAGUGCUCCUUUGGAUCCUAAUGAUAGGCCUUUGUCUCCUUUGAUUGAGAGUAGCAACGCUAGCUUGGACGUUAAUCUUGUUGGUAGGAAUAACUUUGGCAACAACAACGCUUUUAGAGGAAACUAUGUUCCUAGGCCUUUUACUAAUAACUCCUCUAAUAACUUUGGCAACUCCUACAACAACACUCAUGGAAAUUACAAUAGAUUACCCUCUGAUCUAGAGAGUAAUAUCAAAGAGUUCAUCAACUCUCAAAAGAUUUUCAAUGCGUCCAUAGAGGAAAUACUACUCAAAAUUGACGAUUUGGCUAGGAGCGUUGAUAGGAUUUCUUGUGAUGUUGAUGCUUUGAAAGUUAGAUGUGCUCCUCCCAAAAUCAACAUGGAUGAAACUUUGAAAGCUAUGUGUGUUUCCAUGAUUGAGAGCCAAGAAAGAACCGCCCAAAUUCGUGCUAGACAUGAAUGUCUUAAAAAGGCGUGUUCUCGUGAUGAGAAUCACGAAGAUCUUAAAGUGCUUGGUCUGACUCCCAUUGAAUCUUUGUUUUCUUGUGUCAAACCUAAUGAUUAUGGGGCUGGAUAUGAAUCCACUUUGGUUGAAAAGUGCCCCAAGGAUUCAGAGUCCAUCUAUCUUGAUGCUAAAAGCAUUAAAAGUGGAGUAGAAGACGUUAAAACUUUGAUUAGUAAUGAAAUUACUACCAUGGAUUUCAAGGAAUUCAAUUAUGAUAGUUGCUCCUUGAUUGAAUGCAUUUAUUUGAUGCAGUCCAUGUUGAACACUCCACACACUUAUAGCCAAAACAAAGCCUUUACCGAUCAUAUCGUCGAAGCUAUGAUAAAAGCUCUUGAAGAGAAACUUGAAUUGGAAGUCUCUAUCCCUAGAAAGCUUCAUGAUGAGUGGGAACCUACCAUCAAAAUCAAAAUCAAAAACUAUGAGUGCAAUGCUUUGUGUGAUUUGGGUGCUAGUGUUUGUGCGAUUCCAAAGUCUUUAUGUGAUGUUCUGGGUUUUAAUGAGAUUGAAGAGUGUUCUCUUUUUUUUUUGACCGGCUAUUGUAGGGAAAACCCCCCACAGCCUUUUUUCUAUUAUUCCCAUAUAUAAGAGCAGUAUGUACAAGAAGAAAUUAGAAUGUACAAAAGGGAAGAGGAGCUAAAGCUACAAACCUCAAGGAGGCAAAAAGGAAACCCUUUUAAGGAGAUCAUCCCUGAAACUAGCCUUAAUUCUAUGAGCUAACACGGAAAUGUCAUGAAUGAAGCCAGAUCUCCAUUUUCUGAACUUUGGCUGCUCCUGGUUAAAGACCUUUGCAUUUCUGAUAGUCCAGAUGUUCCAACAUGCAGUGAAGACCACCUCAGCAAAGAAGGGGUUAUGGAAGUCUUUUGUAGCAGCAACAGUAGCACUCCACAUGGAUGGACCCUGUCAUGUGAUCUGCAGGUAAUUCCAGACCCUGGUACUGAAAAGACAGGUGAAGAACAAGUGAUCUCUGUCUUCCUCGACUCGAGCAUGACAUAGAACACAGAGAUUGGAGUCGGAAACAUUCCAGUGACGCCGUUCGAGCAUGUCUUGAGUGUUAAGCCUGUCCAUGAUGAGCAUCCAGGCAAACAUCUUAAUCUUCAUGGUACAACAACUUUUCCAGAUCUAGUUGAGUAAAGGGUUUGGUGUAAUACUACUAUGAAUGUGAGUAUAGUAUCUCUUGGCUGUGUAGGACUUAGCAUCUUUUCCCCAUACCCAUCUGUCAGAGGCCUAAUGAUCAAUAUCCAGGUCUUGAAGCAAAGAUUGGACUGAAAGCAGCUCCUGGUAAGCUUGAGCAGACAGUGGCAAGUGGAACAUAGAGAGCAUGCUGUCAUCAUAAAAGGCUGUAAAGACCUCUUGAACUGUGCAGAAAGGAUCAGCCACAAAAGAAAACAGUCUUUGGAAUCUAGCAGCCAGGGGCCUAGUGGAAUUUCCAAUCAACUAGGAGUCAGACCAAAACAGGAAGGAGUCACCCUUGUUAGGCUGAACAUAUGUAACUGAUCUGAAUUUGUCAAGCCGUUUACAGAUAUCCUUCCACCAAAAAGAACCACAAAGGGCAGUUCCCUGAGGUACUGUGUCAUGAUAGUAAGUGUUCCAAAUCAAGUGAACCCAUGGGAUAUCAACAUGAUUUAGAAAUUUAUCAACAUGCUUGAGCAGCAGUGCUUCAUUCUGGAUUGCUAGGUUCAUAAUUCCUAACCCCCCUUUAUUUUUUAGGUCUGCACACCAGUUGCCAGGCAACAAGAGGGGGUGCAUGAUCUUGCCCAUUUUUUCUCCAUAGACAUUGCCUUUGAAUUCUUUCAAGCUGCUUCAAUAUGCCUGGUGGGAUAUCCAGACUGCAUAGAAAGAAGAUAGGCACAGAAGACAGUGCUGAGUUUAAAUACUGUAGCCUUCCCCCCUGAGCUAGAAAAGAUGAACUAGCACUGAGUCUUCUUUCCAUGUUAUCAACCAAUGGCAUGAGGUCAAUGAUUCUUGGUUUAGUUGUCCCAACUGGUAGGCCAAGGUAUGUGAAGGGCAAAGAUCCCACUUUGCAGCCAAUGGAGUCUGCCAGGUCCUGGAGUUGCUGUGGAGGAGUGUUGACAGGUAGAAGGGCAGAUUUGUGAUAAUUCACCUGUAAUCCACUGGACUGGGAGAAAAGUAAGAGCAUUUUCUUGAACUGUAACAAUUGAGGUUUAUCAGCAGGUAGGAUGAUAAGGGUAUCAUCAACAUAUUGCACUAUGGGGAAAUCCUUAUCAUGACAAGGUAUGGGUAGCUGAAUCAGACCCUCCACCAGCAGUUGGUUAACCAGAGUCUGUAAAAAAUCAGCAGCAAUAGUAAAAAGCAGUGGGGACAUGGGAUCUCCCUGCCUGACUCCUUUCUUGCACAUAAACUUCUUUCCAGGCACACCAUUGAUCAGGACCGAAGAUGAGCCAGAAGUUAGUAGCUGCUGGACCCAAAGUAUCCAUCUGCCAUUGAAGCCUUUGUGCUUGAGAAUCUGAAAAAUGAACUCAUGUUCCACAGAGUCAAAUGCCUUUUCAAAAUCCAGCUUGAGAAUGACUAUAGGUUUCUUGGAUUGAUGGCAUUGGUGCAGGUACUCCAGAGUCCAUCCAACACAAUCUUGAAUGGUUCUAGACUUGAUAAAACCAUACUGAUUCUUGUGAAGACACUUUGCAAUCUGCAACUGUAGCCUGUUAGCAAUCAUUUUGGACAGAAAUUUGAGACCCAUCCCAGUAAGUGAUAUAGGUCUGUAAUCUCCCACUUGUUUAGGUGAUCUCUUCUUGGGAAUCAGAGUAAUAUAAGAUGAGUUCAUGUUCUCAAGUUGAGCAUGACCAGCAUGGAAAGCAGCAGCAAGUUGAUAAAACUCAGGGGAGAUAAUGGGCCAGCAUUUCUUGAAGAAAAGACCAUUAAACCCAUCAGGACCAGGAGCUUUGUCAAUGGUCAUUUCCUGAACAGUCUUGUCCAUUUCAGACUUAGAAAAAGGUUCUGUGAGAAUAUCCAGACCCUCCACCUUAUGAAGCACAAAUUGUAAAUCAAAUGCCAUGUUAAUCCCAAGAGAAGUUCCCAUUCUAUCCUUAAAAGAUGCCCAAAAGAAUGCAGCAAUUUGAUCAUGAUCAGAUAUGAUGGAACCAUCAUUUAACUUGAGAGAUGCAAUGGAAUUCCUCCUAUAUCUCUCAGUAGCCAUAGCAUGGAAGAAUUUAGUGUUUUCCUCACCAACUUUAACAAAUCUGAUAGUGGCUCUCUUGUUCCAGUAUAAGCACUAGAGAUGCAAAAGAUGCUCCAAAUGUAACUUAACAAUUUUCCUGAAGUUAGCCUUUGGUCUGAAAAGUGUCCUCAAUUCCUCAAGCUCAUCCAAACACAACACAACUUGAUUACAUCUGGAGAUGAAAGUUUUCAACUGAGAUAGAUUUGUCUGCCACUUUUUUCAGAGCCUGCUUAAGAUGUUUCAUCUUAUCCAUAAUGACAGCAGCAAUAUGGGUUUUCCUGGAAGGAAUGAGCCAAGAUUGCUGAACACAUUCCAUGAAGCCCUCCAUUUCAACCCAGUAGUUUUCAAAGCAGAAUAGGUUGCACUUAGGGAUGGAAGUGUUGACAGUGACCACGCAAGGAACAUGAUCAGAAGCUGUCUUUGCAAGGGGUAGCACUUGUGUAAGAGGAUAUGAGGAGAUCCAGUUGGCUGAUGUGAAAAACCAGUCAAGCUGCUCCAGAAGAGGGGAAUCUUGCAUAUUAGACCAAGUGAAAGAUCUGCCUUUAAUGGGUAGUUCCAGCAAUCCCAGAUGCCCAAUAAUUUCAUUGAUGAUGAACAUGUCAUUUACAUCAGCCCCAGGAAGGUUUCUGUUGUCAGGGGAUCUAAUGAAAUUAAAGUCUCCAAGAAGCAACCAAUUAGCCCCAGUGGGUAUAUGAAGAUUGUAUAGCCAGCUAACAAAAAGAUCUCUGGCUUCACCUUGACAAGGACCAUAGACAUUCACCAAAGUCCAGGAUUCACCAGUAUGAUUUGAGGUAAAGGAGAUGAUCAAGCCAUAGGGUGUGCAUUCAACUAACUGACCAGUGAGAACGGAGGAGUUCCAAAGGGUGAUAAGCCCCCCUGAUGCAACCCUGGAGGGAGAGUAGGCAAACUGAUCAAAGCAUUUGGGACAGAAACAUUUGACUAUACGAAACUCAAUUGACUGCAUUUUGGUUUCCUGUAAGCACACCACAGCAGCUAGGCUCUCAUCAAUCUUGUUACGGACCGCACAUUGCCUAUGGUCCGAAUUCAGGCCACGCAAAUUCCAACACAGCACACGCCAACUUCUCGUAGAACGACUAUCCAUUGCACAAUAUAUAUAGAGCAAAAGCAGGGCUAUGUAAUAGCCAGUGCGACCAAGGUUCAGAUAACCAAAAGACAGAGCAAGCAGAAGUCUCAUAGUACAUGGAACCAGUAUAGUAACAAAUUAACAUAGAUGAAUUAAACAUCAGCAGACGAUGGUGCGGAAUCAGCAGGAUUUUCCAUAAGUCGAUCCACCGUUAACUUCUCAGGGGCAAUGCCUAGUGACUGCCCAACCUCCUGUAUCACCGGAAUAGGAGUGGCAGGAGGUACUUUCACAUCAUCAGACUCCUGUGAUGGAGAGGGCAUUGGCUUGGCCUUGGGCUUCCUCUUCUUGGGGACGUGCGCUGGCAGCUCCUGCAGGAUCGGUUUGAAGCCAUCGCCCUUGAUGGAGCCGCGAGUACAUCGACGAACAGAGGAGUCGACGACAAGAGUGCCCUUCUUGCGGGUCCCUUUCUUCGUUGGAGCAGGAGAAUGAAAAGAGAAGUCCUCCGCAGAUGAAGAUGGACUGCCAGGGAUUACUUCCUGCACUAAGAGUGUGCUGCUAGCAGGCUCUGGUGGUGGUAGCGCUAGAGCAGCAGGGUCGAAGGCCGCCGCCCAUGAUCGCUUGGGGAUCACAAUGGGCGCCAGAAUUGGCAUCUGCAGCUGGCGAGGCACGUGCAUAGAAGUAGCAGCUCCCAUGCGAGCAUCAAAAGUGCGGGACCAGGAUAGAACUGGCGGCAGAGGAGGCCCGUAAAAAACCCUGGCAGCCCCAACAAAGAGGUCGUCAGACUGAAUGUGAGGGGGUUUGUAUAGGACAAUUGCCAGAGGAUUGUCAUCUUGCGCCUCCUCCAUCCCAAGCCCAUCCUCCUCCGGCUCAGCAUCAAGACCCUGGGCAGCCGGUGCCAUGUCAGCAGCAGGGGCAACAGGGUUAGCCACUAUCACAUCCAGGUCGGGGGCCGUGGGUGCUUGAUCAGCCGGUUCCGCCUCCAUGUCACCCUGCGGCUGAGGGUCGAGGUCCACAAGCUCAUGAACCGAGUGUGAUGAAGAAGGACUCGGUUGAUCAAUCACCAUGGACUCUUGAUCCUGAACAGGAUCAACAGCAGGUGCUUCCGGGGCCGCUUCAGGUUCCCAUCCUCCUCCAUCAGCGACUGCCGGCGGCUGUCCCAAACCACCGUCAUCAGCAGCAGGAACCACUGGAUCUUCAGGUGCCAGCGGCACUGCAUUCCAUCCCAACGCAGGGUACGGGGGCAGAGCAAAUUGCAGAUUGUCGUUGACGAGAUGUCCAGGAAGCGGGUGAGGGUUGCCAUUGAGGGGCAUGGGAUCCUCAUCAUUGGGCAGUAGUUCGGCAGCCGCCGCCCCCAGGAUGUAUACCGGUGCAGACGAGGACACCUUGGCCCCCCCAAGCAGCAUAUUCAGAGAAGUUGUUACUGCGAGGGACAAGUCGGUCGUCUGGGAACGAAGCAAACACAAUGGAGCGAACCAAAUAAGGAUCAUCACUGACCCAAUGGUGGAACUCUCCGAAGGUGUUGACAGCAGCCCGCAGAUCUUUAGUAUUGCGGAAGUCGAGGGGGACCCCCAGAAGCAUGAGGCAGCCAUGGCGAAAACCCUCUUGCCCACGGAAACCAACUCCCUGAUCAUGUCACAGGAAGCGCACCAUAGAGUUACGAGCAACUUCCUGCGGAACCAUGUGGACCGCAGCGUAGCUCUCCACCGCAUCUCUGAGUUCAAACAGCCCAAUGCCCUCAAUCCAUGGCUGGGCAGAUCGAACAUGCAACCCUCGGUGAAGAAGAAGAGCAGCUACUUCUUGCCGUACCUGGACCACGUGGUCAGCCGGGGGCGCAGGGUGGACGUCAGCGAUUAUGAAGCGCUCAUGACAUCUGGUGAUGGGGACAGCAGGCGUGGUGUAGGUCCGAGGCAGCCGGUCAGGACCUCCGUCGAUGAUGUUAUGGCCCGGCGGGAGGAAGAACUCAGGAUCAAGCUCGAAGUUCGCCAUUGCGGGAGGCGGUGGCGGAGUGGCAGGCGGCGUCUCGGAGGGAGUUCGAGGAUGCGACGGUGAUGAGACAUGACGGAACUGUGCUGCAGGCGUUGUGGUUUCACCAAGAGUAUCAGCAGUUCCCGAGAUAUUAGCGACAGGGGAGGUGGUGGGUCUCUUACAGUUCCAAGUAAGACAAUUAUUACGCAUAAAAGAGGCUCCUCUAGAUCGUGCGUGGCCCACAGUGCUGUCAGCGAAUCCAAGCGAAGCCGUGCAAUUGGUAGCUAGAUGUCCCCGAGCAUUACAAAUCGAGCAAGAAAAGAUUUCCUCAACCAUGCCAUUAAUAAGUUCAUCAAAGGCCAGAUGGGCUUCCUGCGAGGAUGGAAUAUCCAUCCUAGGAUUAGGUUCGGGCCGAGAGAAGGAGGUAACCUCAGCAGGCUUAUUAAUGAGCGUGGAAAUCGGCCCAGAGUCCAAACUUUCCACCGAAAAUUGAUUCUCAUAAUUCAAAAUACCAUGAAUCUCGGCGGGAUCAGCUGCAUCACCUUGUUGCACGGGAGAAGUUCCGUUUAAUUUGGCAAUUUGAAAAUCAGCUCCGGGAGAUCCGGGGGAUGAAUCUUGGCGAGAAACUGUGCCGAACGUGAUAUGCGGCGUGGCUGUCGUCCACCGGAGUUCUGCCGGCGGUGGCGCAGAGAUGAUGACAUGUUCAGGAGAAGGCACCGAAUAACCAGCCUGUUCAAGCGUGAGUAGCUCCUCGUGGGAAACAAGACAUCUUUAACCCUUGCAAACCUCAUAUUGUUGGAUGGAUGCGAAUGUGAGCUUCUUACGAACAGAUGAUCCAGAUUUAAGAGAAGAUUUUAGGGGUCUGGAAUGCAUCGCCAUCAGACCUAGUGAGGCUCUCCUCUUAGAUGGACUCACAAUAAUCCAUUCAACAUCACAUUGCUUCUUCCAUAGAGCGAAUUCCCGACGCCAAUUCGGACCACCAUGGCCCCAUAGAUGGAAAAAGCACUUAAAACUUGAGCAUUUGAACGAGCGUAAGUCCAGAAUAUGAAAACCAACUUGCAUGUAGGACACUUUGAAGGAGAAAACCGAGUCUGUCACUUGAGAGAUGCGAAACUCAAUAGCAGAUCCCCCAAUCACAGAUUCCAGAGCUGCGACGACUGUGUCCGUAGAGAGAUGGAACACAUGAUGACCAAAAGAAACCACCAUGAUGAAAGAGCGGCGGUGCUUCAUAGGGUGCACCGUAACACCAGAGUGACGAUAAACCUCAUCGGCGAAUGCCAAACCAUGCGAAAAAUCCAAAUCCAACGUGGAACCACCCAUGCAAGCCAUGCACGACCAUGUGAGGGGGGUCGGGAGGGUUCACCUGAGCAUAGGAGCGGCGAGGAGGGAGGAUACGCCAGCUAGAGCACAAGAUCGCCAUGGGGUCGCCGCGGUGGGAGGUGGGAGUCUCCAUGCUACUUACCGGAAUGACAAUCCCGAGUGGACCUCUUUGUCUCGAAGAGUGUUCUCUUAAUUUGCAUCUUGCUGAUUCUACUAUCAAGAAGCCCAUGGGAAGGAUCAAUGAUGUUCUUAUUAUUUUAAAUAGGAACUAUGUACCUGUGGAUUUCAUUCUGCUUGACAUUGAUUGCAAUCCUACAUGCCCUAUUAUUCUUGGUAGACCUUUCCUAAGGACUAUUGGUGCUACCAUCGAUAUGAAGGAAGGGAAUAUUAGAUUUCAAUUUCCUUUAAGGAAGGGCAUGGAACACUUCCCUAGAAAGAAAAUAAGAUUGCCUUAUGAAUCCAUGAUGAGGGCCACUUAUGGUUUGAGCACCAAAGACGACAAUACGGGAUUCUAUCGUUUCUAUGCCUAGCUAAGGGCGUUAAACAAUAGCGCUUGUUGGGAGGCAACCCAAUGAAUUUAUCUUUUUCUUUCUGUUUUGUUGUGUCCACACUUUCAUAAUUCUGUUGUGAUUUUGUUUAUUUUUGUGUUUGAGCCAAGCAAAACCUUUAUGACUAGUCUUGGUAAUGGUUGUUUGAUCCUGCUGGAAAAAGACAGAAACUUUUCGCUCACGAGAUGAUUUUUCAUUUUUAUUCAGGAAGAGAUUUUGAGUUGAUUCUUUUUGCUGCUGAUUGAUAUGCUUUUUCCCCAGGCCGUCGUAAUGUUUCAGAUUUUUGGAGGUACCAGAAGUAUACGAAGUAUACAGAUUUCUACAGACUGGUCUGUUUUUGACAGAUUCUAUUUUUGUUGAGUUGGUUGCUUGUUUUGAUGAAACUAUGGUUAGUAUCGGGGGGGUACUAGCCAUGGAAAAGUGAUAAUACAGUAGCCCAUCAUCACUAUAGAUGGAAUUAAAGAUUGUUACAGUACCAAAAGAAGUGGUAGUUUUUUUUCUUGUACUAAUGUUAUCACAAGUUUCUGUUUAAGUUUUGUGUUGUGAAGUUUUGGGUGACGUUCUCAUGGACAAAGAGAUAAGGAGUGGAAAGAGCUCAAGAUUGGGGAUGCCCAAGGCAUCCCAAGCCAAAUUCAAGGACACCAAAAAGCCUAAGCUUGGGGAUGCCCCGAGAAGGCAUCCCCUCUUUCGUCUUCAAUCCAUCGGUAACAUUACUUGGAGCUAUAUUUUUAUUCACCACAUGAUAUGUGUUUUGCUUGGAGCGUCUUGUAUCUUAGGACUCUUUUCUUUUUGUUGUGUCACAAUCAUCCUUGCUGCACACCUUUUUGGGAGAGAGAGUCAUGCACUCAUCGUGAUUUUGCCAGAAUGCUCAUAGUGCUUCACUUAUAUCUUUUGAGCUAGAUACUUUUGCUCUAGUGCUUCACUUAUAUCUUUUGAGUUAGAUACUUUUGCUCUUGUGCUUCACUUAUAUCUUUAGAGCACAGCGGUGCAUGAUUUGGUAGUUGGCUUAUGCUAUGAAAGUAGUCCCAAAUGUGCUAGGUACCCAAAGAGGAUUCAAAAACCUCCAUCUUCAUGUGCAUUGAGUAGAAAGAGAAGUUUUGAUUCCUCUCAAUUAGUUUUGAGACGUGGAUUCGGUAAUAUUGAGAGUUAUGUUAGUAGGGUGUUGUGAAUCUAGAAAUACUUGUGUUGAAGUUAGUGAUUUCCGUAGCAUGCACGUAUGGUGAACCACUAUGUUAGGAAGUCGGAGCAUAAUUGAUCUAUUGAUUGUCAUCCUUUGUGUUGAGGUCGGGAUCGCGCAAUGGUUUACACCUACCAACCCUUCCCCUCGGAGUAUGCGUUUAGCACUUUGUUUUGAUUACUAAUAAAAACUUUCGCAACAAGUAUAUGAGUUCUUUAUGACUAAUGUGAACCCAUGGUAUAGAUGCACUUUCACCUUCCACCAUUGCUAGCCUCUAUAGUGCCGCGCAAUUCUCGCCGGUGCACAAACCCACCAAAUUCCUCCCUCAAAACAGCCACCAUACCUACCUACUAUGGCAUUUUCAUAGCCAUUCCGAGAUAUAUUGCCAUGCAACUCCCACCGUUCCGUCUCAUGACUUGUGCCGUCACUCUCAUAUUACCAUUACAUGAUUGUAAGAUAGCUAGUGAGAUGUUUCAACGCCAUACGCCAUGCUAGAUCGUUGCACAUCCCGGUACACUGCCGGAGGCAUUUCCUAUGGAGUCAUCAUCAUUGUGAUCUUUGAGCUUUGAGUAAAUAAAAAGUGUGAUGAUCAUCAUUAUUAGAGCAUUGUCCCAUGUGAGAAAAAAGAGAGGCCAAAGAGACCAAAAACAAAAAAUAAGAGAAAAGAAAAGAGAAAAAAGAGGCCUAAGAGCCCCAAAAAAAGAGAAAUGAGAGAAAAAGAGAGAAGGGACAAUGCUACUAUCUUUUUCUACACUUGUGCUUCAUGUCAGCACCAUGUUCUUCAUGAUUGAGAGCUUCUUGCUUUGUCACUACCAUAUGCUAGUGGUAAUCUCCAUUUUAUAACUUGGCUUGUAUAUUCCAAUGAUGGGCUUCCUCAAAAUUGCCCUAGGUCUUCGUGAGCAAGCAAGUUGGAUGCGCACCCACUAGUUUUCCUCUUGAGCUUUCACAUACUUAUAGCUCUAGUGCAUCUAUUGUAUGGCAAUCCCUACUCAUUCACAUUGAUAUCUAUUAAUGGGCAUCUUCAUAGCCCAUUGAUACGCCGAGUCAGUGUGAUCAUCUCCUCCUUUUUGUCUCACAACCACCACCACACUCUAUUCCACCUAUAGUGCUAUAUCCAUGGCUCGCGCUCAUGUAUUGCGUGAUAGUUAUAAAAUGUUUGAGAAAGUAAGAGUGAGAAAACAAUUACUUGGCCAAUUCCGGGGUUGUGCAUGAUUUACAUUAGUUGUGUGAGGAUGAUGGAGCAUAGCCAGACUAUAUGAUUUUGUAGGGAUAACUUUCUUUGGCCUUGUUAUUUUGAAAGUUCAUGAUUACUUUGCUAGUUUGCUUAAAGUAUUAUUGUUUUCAUGUCAAUAGAAAACUAUUGUUUUGAAUCUUAUGGAUCUGAACAUUCAUGCCACGUGAAAGAAGUUGCAAAGGACAACUAUGCUAGGUAGCAUUCCACAUCAAAAAUUCAUUCUUUAUCACUUCCCUACUCGAGGACGAGUAGGAGUUAAGCUUGGGGAUGCUUGAUACGUCUCGAACGUAUCUAUAAUUUUUGAUGGUUUCAUGCUAUUAUCUUGUCAAACUUUGGAUGUUUUGCAUGCUUUUUAUUUAUUUUCUAGGACUAACUUAUUAACUCAGUGCCAAGUGCCAGUUCCUGUUUUUUCCUUGAUUUUGAAACGGAGUCCAAACGGAAGAAAUCCGUGAAAAUAUUUUUUUUGGAACGGAAGAAGACCGGAGAACUUGGGAGCCAAGCAAGAAGAGUCCCAGGGGCCCACAAGCCCCCACCCCGCGGCUAGGGGGGCGCGCCAUCCAGGCUUGGGGCCCCCCUGGAGGUCCCUUGACCUAGAUCUUGCGCCUAUAUAUUCGCAAAUAUUCCCAAAAAAAUCAAGAGACAAUCGAAAUCACUUUUCCGCCGCCGCAAGCCCCCACCCCGCGGCUAGGGGGGCGCGCCAUCCAGGCUUGGGGCCCCCCUGGAGGUCCCUUGACCUAGAUCUUGCGCCUAUAUAUUCACAAAUAUUCCCAAAAAAAAUCAAGAGACAAUCGAAAUCACUUUUCCGCCGCCGCAAGCUUCUGUCUCCGCAAGAUCGCAUCCGGGGCACGUCCUGGUGCACCGUCGGAGGGGGGAUUCAGACACGGAGGGCUUCUUCAUCAACACCAUGACCUCUCCGAUGGUGCCUGAGUAGUUCACUAUAGACCUACGGGUCCAUAGCUAGUAACUAGAUGGCUUCUGCUCUCUCUUGGAUCUUCAAUACAAAGUUCUCCAUGAUCUUCAUGGAGAUCUCCGAUGUAAUCUUCUUUUGCGGUGUGUUUGUCGAGAUCCGAUGAAUUGUGGAUUUAUGAUCAGAUUAUCUAUGAAUCUUAUUUGAGUUUCUUUUGAUCUCUCUUAUGCGUGAUUUCAUAUCCUUGUAAUUCUCUUCGAGUUGUGGGUUUUGUCUGGCCAACUAGAUCUAUAAUUCUUGCAAUGGGAGAAGUGAUUGGUUUUGGGUUCAUACCAUGCGGUGACCUCACCCAGUGACAGAAGGGGUAGCGAGGCACGCAUCGUGUUGUUGCCAUCAAAGGUAAAAAGAUGGGGUUUUCAUCAUUGGUUUGAGAUUAUCCCUCUACAUCAUGUCAUCUUGCUUAAAGCGUUACUCUGUUCGUCAUGAACUCAAUACACUAGAUGCAUGAUGGAUAGCAGUCGAUGUGUGGAGUAAUAGUAGUAGAUGCAGAAAGUAUCGGUCUACUUGUCUCAGACGUGAUACCUAUAUGCAUGAUCAUUUCCUUAGAUAUCGUCAUGACUUUGCGCGGUUUUAUCAAUUGCUCCACAGUAAUUUGUUCACCCACCAUGAUAUUUGCUAUUAUGAGAGAAGCCUCUAAUGAACACUAUGGCCCCCAGGGUCUACUCCACACCAUAUUUUCAGCCUUACACUUUUUACUUCGUUGCUCUUUCCGCCUUCAGAUCUCACUUUGCAAACAAUGUUGAAGGGAUUGACAACCCCUUUGAAGCGUUGGGUGCAAGCUUGUUUCUGUUUGCGCAGGUACUUUGGACUUGACGAGGCCCUCCUUAUGGAUCAAUACCUUGGUUCUCAAACUGAGGGAAAUACUUACUGCUCCUGUGCUGCAUCACCCUUUCCUCUUCAAGGGAAAAACCAACGCAAACCAAAGAAGUAACAGGAAGAAUUCCUAAGCGCCAGGGAAGGACUUUUGUUGCCGUAGCAAUGUUCCAUCUCUUGUAAAAGGAUUAGCCUGCAGUUUCUCAAGCAUACCCGAAGGAAAUUCAAAGCAAAUAUUUUCAGUAGGUGCAGCAGGUUGAGGAGAAACUCUUUGUGCUUCCGUUCGAGGUGAAGAUACCCCGAACAAGCCCCUCAAAGGAUUAGUUUCCAUAGUGACAAGUGACAAUAAAUUUCAGCACACUAUAUGAAUGUUUCCUUACCAAUUUCCACUUACCAAAGGUGCUUCACUCCCUGGCAACGGCGCCAGAAAAGAGUCUUAAUGAUCCACAAGUAUAGGGGAUCUAUCGUAGUCCUUUCGGUAAGUAAGAGUGUGGAACCCAACGAGGAGCAGAAGGAUCUGACAAGUGGUUUUCAGCAAGGUACUAUCUGCAGGCACUGAAAUUAUCGGUAACAAGUAGUUGUGUGGUGAGAUGAUUCGUAGCAAGCAACAAGUAACAAAAGUAACAACGGUGCAGCAAAGUGGCCCAAUCCCUUUUGUAGCAAGGGACAAGCCUGGACAAAGUCUUAUAGGAGGAAAAACGCUCCCGAGGACACACGGGAAUUUCUGUCAUGCUAGCUUUCAUCAUGUUCAUAUGAUUCACGUUCGUUACUUUGAUAGUUCGAUAUGUGGGUGGACCGGCGCUUGGUUACUGCCCUUACUUGGACAAGCAUCCCACUUAUUUUUAACCCCUCUCGCAAGCAUCCACAACUACGAAAGAAGAAUUAAGACAAAGUCUAACCAUAGCAUUAAACUAGUGGAUCCAAAUCAGCCCCUUACGAAGCAACUCAUAAACUAGGGUUUAAGCUUCUGUCACUCUAGCAACCCAUCAUCUACUUACUACUUCCCAAUGCCUUCCUCUAGGCCCAAAUAAUGGUGAAGUGUUAUGUAGUCGACGUUCACAUAACACCACUAGAGGAAAAACAACAUACAACACAUCAAAAUAUCGAACGAAUACCAAAUUCACAUGACUACUAUUAGCAUGACUUAUCCCAUGUCCUCAGGAACAAAAGUAACUACUCACAAAGCAUAAUCAUAUUCAUGACCAGAGAGGUAAUGAGUAGCAUCAAGGAUCUGAACAUAAACUCUUCCACCAAGUAAUCCAACUAGCAUCAACUACAAAGAGUAAUUAACACUACUAGCAACCUUACAAGUACCAAUCGCAGUCGCGAGACGGAGAUUGGUUACAAGUGAUGAACUAGGGUUUGGAGAUGAGAUGGUGCUGAUGAAGAUGUUGAUGGUGAUGAGUCCCCACCGUUGAGAGGAGUGUUGGUGAUGACGAUGGCGGCGAUUUCCCCCUCCAGGAGGGAAGUUUCCCCGGCAGGAUCGUCCUGCCGGAGCUCUAGAUUGGUUCUGCUCAAGUUCCGCCUCGUGGCGGCAGCGAAUCCUCCGAAAAGCCUCCUCCUGAUUUUUUCGGAACGAAUCCCUUCAUAUAGCAGAAGAGAGGGGCUAGUGGGCCAGCAGGAAGCCCACAAGCCCCCUAGGCGUGGCCAGGGGGGGUGGCCGCGCCUACGAGGCUUGUGCCCCCUGGUUGCGCUCCUCUGGCACUUCUUCGGCCCAGUAUUUUUUAUAUAUUCCCAAAAAAUUCCAUGUUGAUUUUCACGACUUUUGGAGUUGGGCAGAAUAGGCAUCUCAAACUUGCUGCUUUUUCAGCCCAGAAUUCCAGCUGCCGACAUUCUCCCUCUUCAUGUAAACCUUGCAAAAUAAGAGAGAAAAGGCAUAAGUAUUGUACCGUGAUGUGAAAUAACAGCCCAAAAAGCAAUAAAUAUCAAUGUGAAAGCAUGAUGCAAAAUGGACGUAUCAAACACGCACACACAUCCUAGCAGCUAUCAAGCACUUGGGCGAUGGCAAAGUCAUCUUUAUAUGAGUAUAUUGACAUAGGAGCCAACUAAGAAUACUUGAUCAUAGGUCAUACUCAUCGUUAAGCACAAGUGGGGUUACAACUUUUACAUAAGCAUUAAUGUGUUCAUAUCCUUAGGAGAUGCUUAUACUAAAGUCUUAGAGUAAAGCUCCCCCUUGAUAUGAUAUCACCACUAAGAGGGAUCAACUAACCUAGGGUUUUGUCAUAGAAGACUUCAAGUAGGUGAAGUAGUGGUGGAUGCUUAAUGUUGAUGAAGAUCAUCUUGAGUUGGGAGCAAUCCUUGUUGUUUGCAUACUCUUCUCACCUACAUGGGUUAGUACCAAAGCAAAAGAAACAUAUGCAAGAAUAUCUAUGGACAUGGAGUGAAGCAAACAUGGGAUAAUGUCCAAAGAUGCAUUAAUUACCUUGUUCCUUGCUUACCUUUGAGGGAAUGUGUGACUCCUUGAACUAAUGCAUAUGGUUGAGGUUGAUCGCAUACAGUUCUUGCCAAAAUGAAUAAGAAUGGAUUUCAUUGGCAGAGUCAUCCCUCAAGUGUCGGAUUUCGGGCUCCGCAAAACCCUAAAGAUUCGAACUCAGGGGCGUGUACAAAGAUCUCUCACUAGAUCACCUCACCUAGCCUGCUACUCGCUGAGAAUGGCAAGGAACUCACUCGAUGGUGAGGAAGACACAAAACACAACAGUUUACCCAGGUUCGGGCCGCUGGGAAGCGUAAUACCCUACUCCUGCUUUGGUGGAUUGCCUCUCUUGGAGGAGGGUGGAAGAACUAGUACAUUGUUCACGAGCCUCCGGAGGCUGGGUGUCUUUGCGCGAUGUUCGAGGGUGAAUGAAUCUGUCCCCUGCUACGAAGCAACCUAUCCUCUAUAUAUAGUGGUGGCCCGGGUCCUCUUCCCUUAUUGUUUCGGCGGAAAGGGAUCCCACAAUGGCCAAUUUUUGAAGGGGAACAAGGGAACAUGCUCCCCCUGCCCAAAGGUGGUCUUCGCCUGCAAAGUGACUGUCAGCACGACAGGGCCGGGGAGAUGACGCCCGUCCUUCUGGCGGGCGGCGACGAUUUUGUUACACUAGAAGGGAAACCUUUGGAAGAUGCCUUGGGAACUCCAGUAUGUCCUUGCCCCUUUUCCACUAAAGGGGAAAUUGCUCUACCCUGCUGCCUACUGCUCGCGUGUCCUUCCUACACGUCACCCUUGAUUCUUGAGGUCGGGCCUUGCCUCGAAAUAUCCACCGCUCCGGAGGGGUCCUGAGGGCCCCCCUGUGGGUCUUGAUGCCGUUGCUCCUCGUGAGGCUUGGUCCCUCAUGAGGGUGUGGUAUUGAGUGGUGCCGAGCCCGUUGGUUUGAUUGAUGAAGUGGGCCGGCCCUGGGCCACAGGUAGGCAUGUAUGGGUACCCCCAUUCCCAGAACGCCGACAGUAGCCCCCAGGCCCACGUCGCGCUCGGGUUGGCUUUUGGGCGAAGCCUCGGGGGCGACCUGAGGCGCCACGUGCCCUAGAUGCCUAUGUGCCAGGCCGGUGCACGUCACGCGGCUGGUGUUGAGUCUUUCUUGUCUUCUGUCUCUGCCCGAGUUAUUAGGAUCCUGGCUUGUUGCGUCGGUGCAUUAUUGCUUUCCUUCUCCCACACUCGUUCUCCCUCCUUGGUCUUCGACUCCAACCGACAUCCCCCAGAUCGAGCGUCGCGCCGCUCCCUCGUCAGUCCAGUGAUGGCGCCCGCUGACAAGUAGAAGCGAGAGGGGCAAGGUCCAGCCCUGGCUCCUCCGCUCUGGGAGUGCGUCCUUUCCGAGGAUGUGUAUAUUGUCCCUGUGCUCUCAUGGAUUGCGUCCGAGUCCAACGAGCAUGGGCGGACCCUGAUCUGGCCUGGCGCCAUAGAGGAGCGGCCCGCGUCGAAGGCCGUGUACCCCUGCUUCCUCCACGUCGUCUACGCUGGGCUGGUGCCGCCCUUCUCCUCGCUCUUCACCGCCAUCUUGAACCACCAUGGGAUCCCGGCCCUUCACCUCCAGCCCAACUCUGUCUUGCUCCUGUCCAUCUUCACUUUCUACUGCGAGGCUUUCGUAGGCGUGCGGCCUUCAGUGGCCCUCUUCUUCCAUUUCUUCAGCCUUCGCCUGCAUGACGACGCCCAUUCGUCGACAUGCGUCUCCUUCGGGGCGGCCCAGAGCACCAACCAUGUCCUGAAGGGCGGGAAGAAGGUGGAAAACUUAAGGCAACGUUGGAUUCUUAUGAGCCACAAGGACGCCAACCCUCAUUUGGAGGAGCCGAAGGGGUUGCCGGAGAAGACUUCCGCAUGGAGCUCGGCGAAGCUCUCCGACCCUCGGGUCAUGCCCGUCCUGGAGCGCUUCUCUCAUGACAUCAGUGCCAAGAGGCUGACCGAUGGGAUGAUAGUGAAGGAAUUCUUGGCGCAGCGCCUGGCGCCCCUUCAGGCCCAUGCCAGGCCUUUGUGGGACUACAGUGCUGGUGACGACAAGCUCAGGCUCUGGUCCCAAGACCUCCCCACCGAGGAGCUGGGCAGGGUCGUGGCGAUCUUGCUAGGCAGUGACCCUGGUGACCUGCCUGAGGCUCUGGGUCCGAUGUACCGUCUUGACGAUCAGGCCGACGUGAACGCCGGGCUGCCUGCCAUCGAUGAGCGGGGCCUUCUCCCGACCGAGGGCUCUAGUCCGGUAGAGGUAUCAUCUGGCGAUACCUUCCGUGAGAGGGAUUUGUAGAAGACCGUCGACGACUACCCACCGAGCGCGCCUCUCUCGUUACAGGCCGCCCUUCUGCGCGAGCUUGCAGAUGAUGAUGCCGUCAGUGAGGUCCCCGUGGGGGUCCCAUCGCACCCGACCAUGACCUCCAUGGGACCCGCAUCGACCCCGCGUGAUACGCAGUCCGCGUGCGUGCCCACCCCCAGAAGUGCGAGGCUGGGUCAUCCUUGGCGCAUCCUUCCUCCGCUGGUGGAAAACCUGGGGCGCCGGGCUCGCCCCCCUCCGUGGGGGGUCAUGUCGCUCCUGCCGGCGCGGGGGCGGCGAAGAGGAAGAGGUGGAUUGACCCCGAAGAGUGAGUCAAUUGUCUUGGCAUGCUAUGUGCGUCUGAAACCCGCGCUUGGUUGAAUCCCUAUUUUGCCUGAUGUCCAGGGACGUCGUCUCGCCGAGAGCGAAGAGGAAGAAGACGGGCGUCAAGACGAAGGUGACUCCUCACGCACCGCCGCAAGGCGACCUCCCAGGCCUUGAUCAUUGCGCCGCCGAGCCACGUAGCACCCUGAGGCAGUCGUGGUGACGCCGCUGCCCGAUGGGCAGGUUCCGGGGGGCCCUCAGCCUGCUGAUGCGCCAAUGCGUGCGACCUGCAGGAAGCCUUCGGAGCCGCCUAUUCCUGAUGAUGCUGCCUCUCCGACGACACCGCCAAUGACUACUUGGGAGGCUCUUCAGGAGGAGGUUCGGAGGACCUUGGUAUUCACCCAGGGUGUCCUGAACGCGACCUUCAGUGCCCUGGGAAAGGUCGCAGUCGAGAUGGGGAAGGGCGAGAGGGAGGCCAAGGCCGCCCGUACUACACGUGACGAGGCGCUGAAGGCAGUGUAAGUGCAUCUAGUGCCCUUAGUGAUUUUGGUGGUUUGAAGACUUAUAGGUUAAGAGACUAAUAUGUAUGUGAGUGUACACACACUCUAUAAGUUGAUGAGGAGUUUGAGUUAUACGAUGAAUAUCGACCCCUAAAAAAGUAUGUCUUUAGUUGAAGCCUUUGGUCUAGCCUUGAAGACUUCGAUCGUGAAGAAAUUGCGAUUAAAUUGAUAUUCCUCAUGAAGAUAUUGAAGAUGAGGAAUUCGGUGUGUCCUGAAGAAAACAGUCUGAAGACUUUGAAACGUGAUGAUUUACUCUUUCUGUUUCAUUUUCUUCACUAUUGAGUAAUAGGAACACCGUACUGUUAAAGGGGGUCGAAGUGAAACUACGGAAUGAUUUUCCUCAUGAUGCCCAACCCAAGCCUAAAUCCACCAAAGCCUCAAAGUGAGGAAUAUGAGAGACAUGAGGACUUCCACAGUUGAAAGUUCUGACCGUUGUGGCGACACACGCCAUCUCACUGAUCUUAUCCACCCAACAGUCACAUUAUUUAAGGGCAUUUAUGUCAAAUCACAUCGGCAUGCUCCCAGGCUAUAAAUAGCCACCCCCACAACCACUUGUUGGUUGGCUGCUCCGACAGAAACCGACACUUGUCAUUUAGAGCAACCCAAAUUCCUCCGAGUCUUCGAGAGAAAAUCAUCAAGUGAGGAAAUACCCCAAACACCAAACCCCAAACCAAAAACCAAGUGAUUGAGCAUAACCGAAGAAGUUGUUCCUGUGUGGAACUGAAGCGUGUUACCUUUGAGGACUGUGCAUCCUCCAUACGGUUAGGCGUCAUGGUCUAGAGCAUCCAACAAUCAAUUGUGGAUCGUCGGGUGACCGAGUUUGUGAGGGUUUGGAAGUCUUCCCUGAAGACUUACCACGAGUGUUGGGCGAGGACUGUGUGUCCUUUGCUCAAGGAGAAUACGGUAGGGACUGUGUGUCCUUUGGUUUCAAUACCAAGCCGCUCUAAACCAUACAUACAACUGUCACAACAGUUGGAACUGGGUCAUCAACAACAGUCUUUAUCGUGAUACGGGUUCUAUUUCUUCAACUCUUUCAUUUCCACAAAUUGUAUGUUGAAGACUUUGAUAUGCACUGUUUGAAGAAUUUGUGUGAAGACUUUCUCUGAAUUUCCUCAUCCUCAAAUUCUUCACUUAAGUUAAUCCUCACCUGCUUACUUUGUACUUGCGAACUGUGCAAACCGAAUCUCAUAAUCCUCAACAAGUAAUCUGCUAUUGUAGUUUUUCCACACUUGUUCCUGCACUACUUCCGCUGCACUUAAUUCAUCAUUGAGGACUUUCCUCACAAGGAAUUUCCUCAGUGAUGAAAUUCUAAAAAUCGCCUAUUCACCCCCCUCUAGUCGAUAUAACGCACUUUCAAUUGGUAUCAUAGCAAGGUACUCCCUUGUUCUGUGUGAUUUUGGUUUAACCACCUGGAGUUUUAGUUAUGUCGACCGCAGGUAUGAUCAAGGUUACUGCAGGAUGUCCUACCUUCGAAGGAAAGGAUUUUCCCUACCGGAGGACCAAGAUGCAGAUGCAUCUUCAGGCUAUUGACAAUGAUCUCUGGUAUAUUAUGGAAAAUGGUAUUCCCUCCAUCGCUGCUACUGUCUCUGCCGCUGAUGUGAAGAAGUUCAAGCAACUUGACUCACAAGCGAAGAAUAUCAUCUGUGGUCAUCUGAGCAAAGGUCAGUAUGGAAGAGUGAGUGCUUUGGGCACAGCUAAGCUUAUCUGGGAUAGGCUGUCCAAAGUCAAUGAGGGAGUCUCAAUGCAGCGUGACUCUCGUGUUGAUGUUCUUUGCAAUCGCUUCAAGAGGCUUGAUAAUGAAAGCUUCCAAGAUACCUUUGAUCGCCUCGCUGACAUCUCAAAUGAACUGCAAGCACUGGGAGCUAGAGAUAUCACUGACCAUGAAGUUGUGAAGAAACUGCUAAAAUCUCUUGACCCAUCAUUUGACACACUGGUUCUGAUGAUUCAAGAACGAAGAGACUACGGAAUGCUUGAUCCUGCUGAUAUACUCGAGAGACUCAAUACUCAUGAAUUCCAACAAGAAGAAAAGAGAGAACUGUAUGGACCAAGCUAUUUAAGACCUCGUGCGCUGAAGGCUAAGGCUAUUUCCUCAUCUGAAGAAGACUCAGAUUCCAGCAUCGGUGAUCCUGAAGAACUAGGACAGGAACUUGCUAUGUUCGUGAGGAAAUUCCAGAAGUUCACAAGGCGUGUACAAUUCGGUAAAUCUUCAAGAAGAGAUAUGAGGAAAUAAUAAUCUUCAUAUGACACAAGAAGACCAGCUUCAGAAAGGAUGAAAGUUCUGAUGACUCGAAGAAAAAGAAGAAAUCUUCAAAGUCCUCAUCCUCAAAGUCCUCAUCACACAAGAAGACCAGCUUCAGAAAGGCUCGGGCACUCAUUGGCAAGGAAAUGGAUUCUGAAGAAGAAUCUGAGGAAUGUGAUGAAGAGGAAGGUUAUGAAGAAGAUUCAGAGUCUAGUGUGGCAAGUCUUGCACUGGCUACCACUUUCCUCAACAAGUCAAUCUUCAACCUUGAAGAGAAUGACAACGCUAUCUACACUCAUGAAUAUGCUGAUGAUUUCACUCCAACCUAUUGCUUCAUGGAAAAUGGUUCAAAGGUACCGAAUGAUAAUUCCUCCGCUGGCUCCAGUGAUUGUGAACCUGAAUAUUAUAAAAAACCCAGUUACAGUAAACUUGCCAACAUUGCAACUAAACAACAAAGUGCCAUUGAAAAGCUUCAAAAAACUGCUAGUCAGAAGCGAUGAUCUGUUGAAUGAUGAAAUGAAUCGUACUCAAGUCCUCACUAAAGAUGUGAAAAGUCUUCAAUCUAGAUUUGAUAGUCUUCAAGAUCGUUAUGGCACGCUCUUGGGUGAUCAUGAGAAACUUUCCUAUGAAUUUCUUCAAAGGAAACUUGAUCUUGAGAAGUUGAAGAUGUCUCAUCAUGACCUUCAAUGAAAAAUGGUUCAUUGCUUGCUCCAUAGUUCAGUGCCGAUCAUGCUGAAUUCAUUCCAGCAUGUUGGAAAUGCAUCGAACCUGAAACUGCUAAUUCUUCACCAGAAUCAUCAAAUGCUUCUAUCGCUACAAAUUCUUCAACUGCUCCCAUGGUAUCAAAUUCUUCACUUGAGGAAACCACAAAUGCUACUAACGAAAAUGCAGGGCUGAAGGAAUUGUAUGUGACAGGCAUAUACAAAAGUCUCAAAGGGCAUCAAACCCUUUGCGAUGUGCUAAAAAGCAGAUUUUGAACAUGAACCCGAGGAAAGAGGGUAUUGCCUUUGAGAGGAAAUUGAAUGCUGAAGGAUCAUACUUGAAACCUGAGCAGUACCCCAAAACCUCAUGGGUUGCUGCUAAAGGUCCUCCCGUCGAUUCACCCACUCUAGCAGGCUUUGCAUGUGAAUUAUCCUAUUCCUCAGAUGAGUCAUUUGAUUCCAAUUAUAAACUGUUCAAAAAUCAAUCUGGUGAAGUAUUUGCUCGAUAUGUUGGAACUAACUGCAGGAAUGGAGCACCCCUGAGGAAAAUCUGGGUCCCCAAAAGUUGCUUGGAAAAUCUUCAGGUGAAUUUCCUCAUGAAACGACCUAUGAAGAACCAGAAACCCAAAUCAAUUUCCUCACGUGGACCGAAGUCUUCACGAGGAUCAAAAUCCUCAAAUGGUCAAUCCUAUGCUCAUACUGCUAAUGCUUCUGAUGUGCAGGGAAAUUACACGGGACAUGAGUAUGAGUGAUAUUCCUCAAAUCAUUAUGUUCAUAAGUCCUCAAAUAAUUUCUCUGCCUAUUCAUUUGAGUACACUAACCCCCUUACUAGGAAAAGAAGUGCAUUAGCUUCAAUGCCCCCUUUCUCAUACGGUGCUCGCAGGAUGAUGAACUUUUUGCCACCCCUUCAGAUGUGGGUGGUGAAGAAAUUGAACUAAUCACUUCUGCAGGUCAGGUCUCCACAAGAAAGUCAUCAUCUGAAGAAUUUGCUGGAGACCCGAGGAAAUUGCUUGAUUGGACGCAAGCUAAAAAUUGAUGAAAUGAUAACAUUUCACACGUCCUCAAAUUUACUAUUUAUGAUGAAAUACUUAACUGAUGAAAUUGAUAUCAUAUUCUUCAAGUAUGAAGCAUAUGAGAUGGUAAGGUGUACUAAUUCAUCUACAGGAUGACAAACCCAAGAGCACAGAAUGGGUUCUUGACAAUGGUUGCACAAAUCACAUGACUGGUGAUAGAAGCUUGUUUAUGAAUAUGCCACUGACUCCAUCACCACUGAAGCAAAUCAUUUAUGCUGAUAAAGGUAAAAGCAAGGUAUUGGAACUUGGCAAAGUGGCUAUCUCCAAGGACAGGCACAUGGACAAAGUCAUGCUUGUCGAAUCCCUUGAGUUUAACCUCAUGUCAGUCUUAAUGCUUUGUCAUCUUGAUAUGGUUGUCAUCUUUGGAAAAUAUAGAUGUGUAGUCAUCAUGGAAUCUGACAAAUCCAAAGUCUUCAAAGGCUUUAGAGAGGAGAUUUGUACAUUGUUGAUUUUUCCACAGGUCCUCAACCAGCCACUUGCUUACUAGCAAAAACCUCAGAAGGCUGGCUAUGGCAUCGCAGACUUGGUCAUGCAAGCAUGAGGAAUUUGCAUAUGCUAGCAAAGAAGAAGCAUGUCAAGUGCAUUGAAUCCGUCAAAUUCCACAAGGACCAUCUCUGCGGUGCUUGUGAGUCUGGAAAAAUAACCAGAUCCAAACACCCCUCGAAGACUAUCAUGACUACUACUCGUCCAUUUGAAUUGCUUCACAUGGAUAUGUUUGGACCUACCCAUUAUGCUACUCUAACCAAUGCAACAUCCUUAUAUGGCUUUGUCAUCGUUGAUGACUAUUCUCGCUAUACUUGGGUACAUACCAUUCUGUAUAAAACUGAAGUGCAGGAAGUCUUCAAACGAUUUUCCUCAAGGGCCUCGACGAACUUCGGCAUCAAGAUCAAACACAUCAUGAGUGAUAAUGGGACAAAAUUCAAAAACACCAGUCUUGAUGAUUAUCUUGAGGAACUUGGUAUUACUCACGAAUUAUUUGCCCCUUAUACUCCUCAACAUAAUGGCGUCAUUGAACGCAAGAACAUGACUCUGGUUGAAAUGGCAUAGACUAUGCUUGAAGAAUAUCAGACUCCUCGUUGUUUCUGGCCUGAAGCAAUCAACACUGCCUGCCACAUCAUCAACAGGGUAUAUCUUCACAAAUUCCUCAAGAAAACCUCAUAUGAACUCCUCACUGACAAGAAACCCAAUGUAAGUUGUUUCAAAGUCUUCGGUGCAAGAUGCUGGAGUAGAGAUCCUCACCAUAGCUCAAAGUUUGCACCUAAAGCACAUGAGGGUUUUAUGCUUGGUUACGGAAAGGACCCACACACCUGUAGAGUCUUCAACACCUAUCACAACAAGGUUGUUGAAACUGUAGAUGUGCGGUUCGAUGAAACUACUGGCUCACAAAGAGAGCAACUGCCUCCUGUGCCAGAUAAAUUACUUCCUGAGGAAGCCAUCAAGCUCAAAGCAACUGAAGAUAUCAUUCCUACUGAGGAACAACCCCUUGUUGAAGAAGUCGUCCCCAACACUGAGAAAAUUCAAACAGGUGCAUCUCAGGAAAAUACUACAGAUCAAAUUCCUCAGCCCAACCAAAGUCAUCAACUAGCUCACCCGAGAAUUGCAAAUGAAGUAGAACUUGACAAAAUCCUCGAUGACAUCAAUGCGCCAGGUCCUCUCACUCGCUCAAAAGCUUCACAUUUAGUUAAAUUUUGUGGGCAUUCCUCGUUUGUCUCUAUCACAGAACCCAGAAAAGUUGUUGAAGCCUUCAUGGAACCUGAGUGGAUUCAAGCCAUGCAAGAUAAACUUCUUCAGUUCAAGCUAAAUGACGCGUGGGAACUCAUCAAACGACCAGAUCCUCGCAAGCACAAUAUCAUCAGCACAAAGUGGAUCUACCGAAACAAGCAAGAUGAUGAUGGUCAGGUGGUGAGGAAUAAGGCACGACUUGUAGCCCAAGGCUACACACAGGUUGAAGGAAUUGAUUUUGAUGAAACUUUUGCACCCGUUGCUAGACUUGAAGCUAUUCGAAUACUACUUGCUUAUGAUAAUCAUCAUAAUAUUACUAUAUAUCAAAUGGAUGUGAAAAGUGCAUUCCUCAAUGGUAAGCUUGAGGAAGAAGUAUAUGUUGCCCAACCCCCAGGUUUUGAAGACCUGAAGCACCCUGAGAAAGUUUUCAGACUCAAAAAGGCACUGUAUGGCCUCAAGCAAGCCCCUCGGGUGUGGUAUGAUACAUUGAAGGAAUUCCUCAUGAAGAAAGGCUUCAAACCUGGUUCACUUGAUCCUACUCUUUUCACAAAAUCCUAUGACAAUGAACUAUUUGUGUGCCAAAUAUAUGUCGACGACAUUAUGUUUGGUUGUACUGACAAACGUUACAAUGAUGAAUUUGCUUACAUGAUGAGUGAAGAAUAUCAAAUGUCUAUGAUGGGGGAGCUGAAAUUCUUCUUAAGUCUUCAAAUUCGUCAACAACGCAAUGCCAUCUUCAUAUCCCAAGAGAAAUACAUCGAGGACGUUCUGAGGAAAUUCGGCAUGCAUGAAUGCAAAGGCAUCAAGAUUCCUAUGCCUACCAACGGCCACCUGUGCACUGACGAAAAUGGUAAAGAUUUCGACCAGCAGGUAUAUCGCUCUAUGAUUGGCUCUUUGUUGUAUCUAUGUGUAUCUAGGCGAGAUAUAAUGCUUAGUGUUUGCAUGUGUGCUCGUUUUCAAGCAAAACCGAAGGAAUCACACCAUAAGGCUGUGAAACAUAUUCUUUGAUACUUAGCUCACACACCAACACUAGGAUUAUGGUACACCAAGGGCUCAAAUCUUCACCUCGUUGGAUAUUAUGAUUCUGAUUAUGCUGGUUACCGUGUGGAUCGCAAGUCAACAUCACGCACAUGCCAUUUCCUCGGAAGAUCAUUAGUCUGCUGGUCCUCAAAGAAGCAGAACUGUGUUUCUCUCUCCACUGCCGAAACUGAGUACAUUGCUGCUGGAUCCUGCUGUGCUCAACUGCUAUGGAUGAAGCAAACCCUCAGACACUACGACAUCAACAUGAAGAAUGUGCCCCUUUACUUCGACAAUGAGAGUGCAAUCAAGAUCGCCUACAACCCAUCACAACACUCGAAGACUAAGCACAUCCAGAUUCGUCAUCAUUUUCUUCGGGACCAUGUCCUCAAGGGCAAUAUAAUCAUCGACCAUAUGAAGACCGACGAUCAACUAACAGAUACUUCACAAAGCCCUUGGAUGAGAGAAGGUUUUGCAAGUUGCAGUGUGAGCUAAAUAUCCUAUAAUCUUCAAAUGUUUUGUGAAGAGAUGGACACAUCCUAACACUUAUGCAAAAUUGAUGACUUAGAUGUGCAACACACAAAGAAACAAUUUUAUUCAAUCAAUGAAGAACAUCACUCUUAGUGUGAAGAAAAUAAUGAAGAAUUUAGUUCUCGGGGCCCUACGACAAUUGUACGUGGCGCCUGAAAUCAUCAUUCUUAUACGGUGGGUCAUGCCACCACCCAACUUUAAAAUUCUUCAAGUUGCAAAUUCUCCAAAGUUGAAAUUCUUCAAUUUGAGACAUUUCACAAAUUCCUCAAAAUUUUCAAAGUCUUCAAAAUUAUCAAUUUCUUCAAUACUCUCUAUGGUGAUUUUCAUUUGGCUAUAUAUAUAUAUAUUAUAAUGAGCAUUCAAGUCCUCAACAACAUUCACUUAUCGCUCAGUCUUCAAUUGUAACAUCCCAAUUUUCCUAAUUGGGAAUGUUUUACAUUGUAGCUAAGCAUCUAUGCAUAUUGAUUUAAAUAAAGUUUGCAUUUGAAUUCCUUCGACUUCUGCUUUUGCUUUUCUAUUUUUUUCUUAACACGAGAAAUGCCGGGAAAUAACCUCUUGCACGCAAGAGAGAGCGGAGGAAAAUGACCCUCCAAAAACGUGAGGCAUCUCUGACAUAUUUUGAGCCAAGAAAGCCAAAGUUUUGUCGUGAAAAUAAUUGCAAAAAGAAAAUAUAGCAUAAGGGAUUUUUUUCUAAAAAAACAUUUUUUAAAGUUUUUAUUUUUGCCUUGGAAAAAUGUUAAUCGGGUAGAGGAUAUGUUUCUGAUCAUUUUGGUAUAUAAUACCCUAUAUUAAUUAUUUUAUUCGUUUCCUUUUAUUUUCGUUUUAGUUUCUGUUAAAAAAAAGAAAAAAAAUGGGAGAUAUUCUCGGGCUAGAUCCCAUCGCCAGGAUCUCUCGCAACCGCAGCGCCUCCCCUGGCAAACCGCACGCCACCCCCUUUCCUUUUUUUUUUNNNNNNNNNNNNNNNNNNNNNNNNNNNNNNNNNNNNNNNNNNNNNNNNNNNNNNNNNNNNNNNNNNNNNNNNNNNNNNNNNNNNNNNNNNNNNNNNNNNNNNNNNNNNNNNNNNNNNNNNNNNNNNNNNNNNNNNNNNNNNNNNNNNNNNNNNNACCGUAGGAUCUUAGAUCAAAGGGUUAGAUUAGAUGUGCAUACCCCUUCGGUUCUUUUAAAAGAACCGACGGUUUUUCUGUCACUUAAACUGAGCCGAGUAGUUUUCCUUAGAUUGCGGCCGUGUGUUAGUUUUCCCUCGCAGCUAACACCCAUCAGCCAAUCAGAAACUGCCACGUGUACCACUGUCUGUUAGAAUCUGUUUCUGUUUAAUUCCAAAACAGAAAAGUUUCAAAUUUGUUUUGAUCAUAACUUUUGAUCCCUAAUUCCAAUUGAGUUGAAACUUGUUCCAGUAGAUCACAAUUGUCCUGUAGUUUUUAAAAACAUAUAAUUUGGCUAUGUUUGAAAUUUUCAAAUUUGAAUUAGAUCAGAUUUAGUUUAAACCUUGUUUUGCUUAUUCCAGGAGUUUAAAAAAUGAUUUUGAUUUGAUUCUUUUUGCUGCUUCUUCCUAGUGAUUAUAUCUUACUGUGGUAUAAGUUUCAAUGUUUGUUUAAUAUUUUUACUUGGGGUUUUAACAGAAGCAAGUUUCUGCCUUAGUGACGUGUAGUGAAUUCUUUCACUUAGGCCAUAGCAACUAUUUACUUGUGAUGUUAUUUUUACUUGUUGUUUGAUUGUAGUGCUUAUGGUGUGCAUUUGUUUGUAUCGGUAGAUCACCCGGAGUGCGAAGCUUGUUACUUAGAAGCGCUCGAUCAAGACAACUAUCAUCAAGGCAAGUCAUUUUGAUCAUACUAUCUCCUAUGUUUUUCGAUGCAUGGUAGUUUCACCUUUCUUUGCUCAAUUGCAUGCUUCUUAGGUACUUGGAAAUUUUAGUAUAGGUUGUAGUAUCAUGUGGUAGGCACACAACAAACCCCGAUACUUGGCCCGGGACGACAAAUUUCAUAUUGCUAUGCUUGAGUAGACGGGAUUUCGGUUGAGUGCAUAACACGAGUGAUGCGAGGUUGAUUAAAUAACCAAGACAGGUUAAGACAAGAUUUUCAAGACCUCGUGAUGCAAUGCAACUCUGGGUGAAGGACGGUUGAUCGGCUCCCUGGAGAAACCAGUGGAUGACCCGGGAUGCUGGAGACGGCCAUGACAUCUUGCGGAAAGCUUCACCCAGGCUCGAAGAGACGGACGGAGGCUUCAAGACCCAAGGCUUACCUGCAUAGCCACAAGUCAUUAUGGGCUCUGGCUUGCUUGGACAACGCGGCGACUCUGGACAGGCAGUGCUAGCAGAUGUAGAAGAACGGUAGGAAUGGAUGGGCACCGACUGGGAUUUAGAGGGACCCGUUGAAAGACCAUGUUUUGAUCAUCCGGUCUUCAAACACCCUGAAGUGUGAGGACAUACUCGGAGGCGAUCAAAUCUUGUGGGGAACAUGUGCAAAACUCUGCAGAGCGCCCAACCUAAUCGAUUAGCCAUGUCCACGGUCAUGGACAACUUGAGCCGAAGGCAUUGAAAUUCCCCUGAACUCUCGACACAACUUAAUAAUGAUGUGGGUAUUAAGAACAACUCGGGUACGAGAAUUGGUUGGCGGAACCAUGUCGUUAACAACAAACAUUGUAGUAACAUUUUGCUUUCAGCCCCUCUUGUUGUAGGAGAAAAUUGGCUUUAUGCAAAACUUAUUGCCCCACCUGCCAAAUAUGCAUGUAGAGAUAGUUGAUUAUUAUUUUACCCCUCUCUUUGAUGACUUGCCGUCAUAUUCCAUAUGCUGACCUACACGGCUGCAAUGUAUCAUGUUCCAGAGUACUUUUCCGACCAGGAGUGAGGCUACGAUCUACGCUCAGCGACAUGCCCUGGAGUCGGAUGGACUCGUCUACCUGAUGCUUCCGCUAGUCUUCGUUAGAUAUCUCAUGAGAUGGCCUUCAGCCACUUUAUUGUAAUCCAUUAUUGUAAUAAAGUACUCGUUAUGAGAUUUCGAUUAAUAAAGCUGUGUGAUUGAACUCUUGAUAUAUACAUUGAUGUACUGAGUGUGUACCAACAUGAUCUUGGGAUGGUACAGAAACACCAGAGGCUUGACUCGUCUUGAGUCGGGUCGCUACAGAAAUGGUAUCAGAGCACACGCUGACCGUAGGACGUAACCUCUAGGAAUGGAAAAGCCUUAGGAAGAAAACUAUUUUAUUAUGUCUAUAAAUCCUCUAUUUCCUCUUCUGAUCAUUUGUGACUUCUCUCCGAUUUUCCAAUGUCUUAGAUGGCCACCUUCAUCCCCGUUAAGUUCACGGAGUUUUGCCAGCCCGACGCAACUAUGCCUUUCGGAAAGGAGCUGAUACAGAUCACCAAGGACUUGAGGAUUGCUCUGCCGACUAUCACAGGGAAGCCGACUUCAUCUUACCCGGAGGAUUCACGCUACAGGAUCGAGGUGCACGUUCCCGGAAGGACAUUCGAACCGCGCACUGAGCCGGUGGAUUUCAAGUUCAUCGCACCCAACUGGAUUCUCGGAAGGGACAUGGCGUUCCAUUGUGCACUCGGACGUAUCAAGGAAGUGUACAGAGGCUGCCCUAUUUCACCGGACCUAUUCACGGUAUCCCGGAGAAGAGAAGAUGGAGAAAUCAUCUCAAGCAAGACCAAGGACGCUCUCCUGUCCUAUGCCCAGACCUUGGAGAAGCACAGCGGGACUCUGGAGCAUCGUGUGAUCAAGGACGCUAGGAAGAUCAAGCAACUGUCGCUCCGCGAACUCGAGCUCGAAGAAACAGCCCGGGAAGCCCACUAUGAGCACGAACUGGAGGUGAAGGACUUUCUGGAGAGGAUCGAGAAGGUGAAGACUCGAGUUGCAUACCUGGAGGAGGAACUGGACAUGGGCGAGAACCUGCAUCCCGAAGGUGACAUAGCCCCCUUGAUCAACAAUGACGAGGACUAUGAAGAAAGCUCCACCGAAGGACCCACCACCAUGCUUUUCUGAGGAGGACACUUAGACUAGACCACCAAAUUUAUUUUAUCGUUAAACGCUUAGGCCGAUGUUUAGGUUAUUGAAUUUUGUAUCCUCGUGUGAACCUUUGUGAUGGUAUUGAAUAAAAUGUGUGGUGUGAUACUUGUUUGUUGCAUUUCAUAUGGGUAGUGUAAUUACUCUUAGGCCAUUGUUCUAUGCUAAUCUCACCCCUCUACAAACAUCAGAUGCCUCCGAGACGUGCCCCUGCUUCCAACUUUCCGCCGGAACUCACCCAGUUGAUUCAGCAACAGAAUACCCUGAUGCAGCUGAUUAUCCAGAACCAGAGCAAUAACAACAACCAUCAUCCACCCCAGGCCAACAAUCUCACCCGUUUCCUGAGGUUGAACCCUCCGACUUUCUCCAGCAGCAUUGAGCCCAUUGUGGCAGAUGAUUGGCUCCGCAAGAUGGAGCGGGAACUUAUCACUACUGGUUGUACUAAAGCUGAGAAGGUGCGCUUUGCCGCGCAUCAACUUAAAGGCCCUGCAGCUGCAUGGUGGGAGAACUACACCACCACAUACCCCAUUGCUGGAGUCACUUGGGAGCAGUUCAAGCAAGCCUUCCGUACCGUACAUGUCUUCGCUGGUGCAAUGAGUCUGAAGAAGCGUGAGUUUCGCAACUUACGCCAGGGAAAUCGCUCCGUGGCUCAGUAUGUCGAUGAAUUCAGCAUGCUCGCCGUUAUGCACCUGGAGAUGUGGCCGAUGAUGCGGCCAAGCAGGAAAAGUUCUUGAAGGGACUCAAUGAUGAGCUGAGCAUUCAGCUGACCAUAGCCAACUUCAACAACUACUAGGAGUUGGUAGAUAAGGCCCUCAUCUUGGAGGGGAAACACCAGCAGAUGGAGAACCGUAAGCGGAAGUAUGGGAAUGGAAAGUUCAACUCCGGCACUCAGCAGAAGCCUCACUACACCCCCUAUUCACGGAAUACCGGGACUGGAUCCGGUAAGUUUGGAGGACACGUCCAGCACAACCAUGGAGGCCACAACCAUGGAGGAAAUGGGAACCACCGCGACAACAACAACUUCAAGAAUGGCGGUACUGGCACUCAGCAUCAUUCAGCUCCAGCUCAGAAGGAUCUGAAUCACAUCACCUGCUUCAAGUGUCAGAAGACGGGACACUAUGCCACUGAAUGUCCCCAGAACAAGCAGGGAAAUGGAAACGGCAAUGGCAACUCUACAGAAAAGAAGCCUAAUCCUUUUCCUCGAGCUCAGGUGAAUCACAUUGAUUUUGAAGAGGUCUAUGAUCACCCCGAUACUGUGGUUGGUAAGUUUUUGCUAAAUUCACGUCCAGUAUUGGUACUUUUUGAUUCCGGUGCAACGCAUUCAUUCAUAUCAAGGGUAGUUGUGGAAAAGUAUAGUUUGCCAACUAGAACCCUCAGCCAGCCUAUUAAGGUCAGUUGCCCAGGAGGCAUGAUGACAGCCGGGAUAGGAUGCCAUGCUUUGAGUCUCAACAUCGGGAACCAUAAUUUCCCCACUGACCUCAUCGUAUUAGAGUCCCAGGGAUUGGAUGUAAUCCUAGGCAUGUAUUGGUUGGCCAAGUACGAAGGGAAUAUUGAUUGUGCCCUUAAGUCUAUUUUGCUCACCACCCCCGAGCAAAAGCGGAUUAAGUACGUGUCUCAACGCCCGACACGGAGUAAACGAGUAAACUCUCUCACGGGAGUAGUCCAGGAGGAAGUACCGAUUGUACAAGAAUACCAGAUGUAUUUCCGGAGGAAUUGCCGGGCAUGCCACCUGAUAGAGAGAUUGAGUUCCUGAUUGAGCUAUUACCCGGAACAACCCCGAUAUCCAAGAGACCCUAUCGGAUGCCCGCAAAUGACUUGGUAGAAAACAAGAAGCAAAUUAAUGAGUUGUUGGACAAAGGGUAUAUUCGCCCAAGUUCUUCACCUUGGGGAGCCCAGUGCUCUUGGUUGAAAAGAAGGAUAAGUCCUUUAGAAUGGUUGUCGAUUAUCGUGCAUUGAACGAGGUGACCAUCAAGAACAAGUACCCUUUGCCGAUGAUCAAUGAUCUGUUUGACCAGUUAGUCGGAACCCGCAUAUUCUCCAAGAUCGAUCUUCGAUCCGGGUAUCAUCAGUUGAAGAUUCGUGAACAGGAUAUACCCAAGACAGCCUUCAUCACUCGGUACGGCUUGUAUGAGUACACGGUCAUGUCAUUUGGACUGACUAAUGCUCCGGCAUAUUUUAUGAAUCUGAUGAACAAGGUAUUUAUGGAAUACUUGGACAAGUUUGUUGUGGUGUUCAUCGAUGACAUACUGAUAUUCUCCAAGAACGAAGAGGAACACAAGGAACAUCUGCGUCUAGUUCUGGAGAAACUUUGAGAGCAUAAGCUAUAUGCAAAGUUUAGCAAAUGUGAGUUUUGGUUGAAGGAAGUCGGAUUCCUCGGACACGUCAUCUCAGGAGAAGGAAUAGCAGUGGACCCUGCCAAGGUAGCAGCAGUCACCGAAUGGGUAACACCCACUUCAGUCAAGGAGAUCCGCAGUUUCCUCGAACUUGCCGGAUAUUACCGGAGGUUCAUUGUGAAUUUCUCAAGGAUCUCCAAGCCCAUGACAGAUUUGUUGAAGAAGGAGUCCAAGUAUGUUUGGACUGAGGAAUGUGAAACUAGUUUUCAAGAGUUGAAGAAACGUCUGGUUACAGCCCCAGUGCUGAUAUUGCCGAACAUUCGGAAGGAUUUCCAGGUUUACUGUGACGCUUCUCGUCAAGGACUCGGAGGAGUGCUCAUGCAAGAAGGUAAAGUUGUAGCCUAUGCAUCCAGGCAGCUCAGACCCCAUGAGUUGAAUUACGCCACGCAUGACUUGGAACUAGCAGCCGUAGUGCACGCUCUCAAGACCUGGAGACAUUUCCUGAUCGGAAAUAGUUGUGAUGUGUACACUGAUCACAAGAGCCUGAAAUAUAUCUUCACACAAAAGGAGUUGAACCUCAGACAGAGGCGAUGGCUAGAAUUGAUCAAGGACUAUGACAUGAGAUUGCAUUAUCACCCAGGCAAGGCAAAUGUUGUAGCCGAUGCGUUGAGCCGCAAGAGUUAUGUGAACACACUCAUAGCAGGGGGAUUACCCCAGGAGUUAGCCGAUGACCUCCGAUAGCUCAAAUUGGAAAUAGUUCCAAGAGGAUUUGUUGCCACACUAGAAAUUCAGUCCACUUUGACAGAAAAGAUCCGCGAGGCACAGAAAUCAGACAAGGAGAUAGCUGAGAUUAAGCAGAAAAUGAAAGACGGGAAGGCUAAAGGUUUUCGUGAGGAUGAACACGGAACUUUAUGGUUUGAGGAUCGCAUUUAUGUGCCCAAUGAUCCCGAACUCAGGAAGUUGAUACUUCAGGAGGCCCAUGAUUCCCCGUACUCGAUACACCCAGGCAACACCAAGAUGUAUCUGGAUCUGAAAGAAAGUUUCUGGUGGACACGAAUGAAGAAAGACAUUGCCGAGUUCGUAGCAAUAUGCAAUGUUUGUCAGCGAGUAAAAGCCGAGCAUCAGAAGCCAACAUGUUUGCUUCAACCUCUGCCGAUACCCGAGUGGAAAUGGGAAAAUCUUGGUAUGGACUUCAUCACAGGAUUACCCAGGACCCGUUCUGGCUAUGAUUCUAUUUGGGUUGUGGUCGAUCGUUUGACCAAGGUAGCUCACUUCAUUCCCGUGAAGACUACUUACACGAGUGCCAAGCUGGCCAAGAUAUAUAUGACCAGGAUCGUAUGUCUGCACGGAGUACCGAAGAGCAUUGUGUCAGAUAGAGGGACUCAGUUCACAUCGAAAUUUUGGCACCAACUGCAUGAAACCUUGGGAACGAGAUUGGAGUUCAGUACAACUUUUCACCCACAGACAGAUGGACAGACCGAGAGAGUCAAUCAGAUUCUGGAGGACAUGUUGAGAGCUUGUGCACUAGACUAUGGGUCUAGUUGGGAUGACAAUUUGCCUUAUGCCGAGUUCUCAUACAACAACAGCUACCAGACCAGUCUGAAGAUGGCCCCUUUCGAAGCUCUAUACGGAAGGAGGUGCAGAACACCGUUGAUGUGGGAUGGAGUUGGAGACCGACAACUUUUUGGUCCCGACCUUAUCCGAGAUUCUGAAGAGAAGGUCAAACUAAUUCGUGACCGACUCAAGAUAGCUCAGUCCAGGCAGAAAAGUUAUGCUGACAGCAAACACAAGGAAGUAACAUACGAAGUGGGAGACCGAGCAUAUCUUCGGGUGUCUCCACUCCGAGUAAUCAAGAGAUUUAGUGUGAAAGGAAAGUUAGCACCCCGAUUCAUUGGCCCCUACAAAAUUCUUUAACGAAGAGGCAAAGUUGCAUAUAAACUGGAACUGCCGAAAGGAUUGUCCGGAGUUCAUGAUGUCUUCCAUGUUUCCAAGUUGAAGAAAUGCCACGCUGAGAUGGCUGAUGUUCCGUUGAGAGAUACAGUGCUCCUAGAGGCCAUACAGCUUGACAGUGAUCUGACGUAUGAGGAGAAACCCGUCAGGAUUCUCGAGACUGCCAACAGAGUUACCCGCAGCAAGAUCAUCAAGUUCUGCAAGGUGUUGUGGAGCCACCACACCGAGGAAGAAGCCACCUGGGAACGAGAAGAGGAUCUUCGUCGAGACCACCCGCACCUAUUUUCUAGCCAACCCUAAUCUCGAGGGCGAGAUUCAUCUUAAGGUGGGUAGGUUUGUAACAUCCCAAUUUUCCUAAUUGGGAAUGUUUUACAUUGUAGCUAAGCAUCUAUGCAUAUUGAUUUAAAUAAAGUUUGCAUUUGAAUUCCUUCGAUUUUGCUUUUGCUUUUCUAUUUUUUCUUCACACGAGAAAUGCCGGGAAAUAACCUCUUGCACGCAAGAGAGAGCGGAGGAAAAUGACCCUCCAAAAACGUGAGGCAUCUCUGACAUAUUUUGAGCCAAGAAAGCCAAAGUUUUAUCAUGAAAAUAAUUGCAAAAAGAAAAUAUAGCAUAAGGGAUUUUUUCUAAAAAAACAUUUUUAAAGUUUUUAUUUUUGCCUUGGAAAAAUGNNNNNNNNNNNNNNNNNNNNNNNNNNNNNNNNNNNNNNNNNNNNNNNNNNNNNNNNNNNNNNNNNNNNNNNNNNNNNNNNNNNNNNNNNNNNNNNNNNNNAAAGCCAAAGUUUUGUCGUGAAAAUAAUUGCAAAAAGAAAAUAUAGCAUAAGGGAUUUUUUUCUAAAAAAACAUUUUUUAAAGUUUUUAUUUUUGCCUUGGAAAAAUGUUAAUCGGGUAGAGGAUAUGUUUCUGAUCAUUUUGGUAUAUAAUACCCUAUAUUAAUUAUUUUAUUCGUUUCCUUUUAUUUUCGUUUUAGUUUCUGUUAAAAAAAAGAAAAAAAAUGGGAGAUAUUCUCGGGCUAGAUCCCAUCGCCAGGAUCUCUCGCAACCGCAGCGCCUCCCCUGGCAAACCGCACGCCACCCCCUUUCCUUUUUUUUUUNNNNNNNNNNNNNNNNNNNNNNNNNNNNNNNNNNNNNNNNNNNNNNNNNNNNNNNNNNNNNNNNNNNNNNNNNNNNNNNNNNNNNNNNNNNNNNNNNNNNNNNNNNNNNNNNNNNNNNNNNNNNNNNNNNNNNNNNNNNNNNNNNNNNNNNNNNNNNNNNNNNNNNNNNNNNNNNNNNNNNNNNNNNNNNNNNNNNNNNNNNNCCACCCCCACGCCGCCCUGACCGAGCCCCACGCCGCCCCCUCGACGUCGCCGGAGCUCCGCCCUGCUCGACCAGCAGAAGUUCUGCUGCCUCCCCCGUCGCCCUGCUGCCUUCCCCUAUUGCCUCCCCGACGACCGGAGCCGACUGCUCCCUCCUCCGCCACCCCACCACUGUCGGCGACCAGCCCCCACCCUCGCCGGAGCAGCCACCGCAGCGCCCAGCUCCUCCCAGCCACGGUGAGCCUUCUCCCUCCUCUAGUUUUUCCUUCUGUUGUUUUUUUCCACGGUAGGAUCUUAGAUCAAAGGGUUAGAUUAGAUGUGCAUACCCCUUCGGUUCUUUUAAAAGAACCGACGGUUUUUCUGUCACUUAAACUGAGCCGAGUAGUUUUCCUUAGAUUGCGGCCGUGUGUUAGUUUUCCCUUGCAGCAAACACCCAUCAGCCAAACAGAAACUGCCACGUGUACCACUGUCUGUUAGAAUCUGUUUCUGUUUAAUCCCAAAACAGAAAAGUUUCAAAUUUGUUUUGAUCAUAGCUUUUGAUCCCGAAUUCCAAUGGAGUUGAAAAUUGUUCCAGUAGAUCAAAAAAUUUCUGCAGUUUUUAAAAACAUAUAAUUUGUCUAUGUUUGAAAUUUUGAAAUUUGAAUUAGAUCAGAUUUAGUUUAAACCUUGUUUUGCUUAUUCCAGGAGUUUAAAAAAUGAUUUUGAUUUGAUUCUUUUUGCUGCUGCUUCCUAGUGAUUAUAUCUUACUGUGGUAUAAGUUUCAAUGUUUUUUUAAUAUUUUUACUUGGGGUUUUAACAGAAACAAGUUUCUGCCUUAGUGACGUGUAGUGAAUUCUUUCACUUAGGCCAUAGCAACUAUUUACUUGUGAUGUUAUUUUUACUUGUUGUUUGAUUGUAGUGCUUAUGGUGUGCAUUUGUUUGUAUCGGUAGAUCACCCGGAGUGCGAAGUUUGUUACUUAGAAGCGCUCGAUCACGACAACUAUCAUCAAGACAAGUCAUUUUGAUCAUACUAUCUCCUAUGUUUUUUGAUGCAUGGUAGUUUCACCUUUCUUUGCCCAANNNNNNNNNNNNNNNNNNNNNNNNNNNNNNNNNNNNNNNNNNNNNNNNNNNNNNNNNNNNNNNNNNNNNNNNNNNNNNNNNNNNNNNNNNNNNNNNNNNNGUUAUGGAGGAAACAAGAUUGGAACUCUCUCUGUUUUUGAAUUAAAACUAAAAAAACUGAAUAGCUAAUUAGUGAGCGAGGGUCCACGUGGCAUGUUGUGAUUGGCUCUAGGGUGUGCGUUGCAUAGGCUAACCAGCGGAUGACCGCUAUAUAAGAAACCGCUUCGGCUAAACUUACUAAUAAAAAAUAACCGCCGGUUCUUUUAAAAGAACCGAAGGGGUAUCUUCAGAUCUAAUCUCACGCGUUGACUAAAGAUCUAACGGUAGAAAGUAAAACAGAAGAAAAAAAACAAAAGGGAGCGGGAGUUACCUCGUGCACGAUGGCAGGGAGGAGCAGUGGCGAGGAGGAGGCGCUCCGGCGAGGGGCGAGGUCGCCGGCGAGGGUGGGACGGCGGAGGAGGGUGCGGGCGGCGGAGGGGGAGGGUCGGCACUUGGGGCUGGGGCGCCGGGUGCCCUGGUCGAGCAGGGGGCGAGGGGGGCAGCUCCUGGUCGUGAUGUGGAGCUCCUGGAGGGAGCUUCGGCGGGGUGNNNNNNNNNNNNNNNNNNNNNNNNNNNNNNNNNNNNNNNNNNNNNNNNNNNNNNNNNNNNNNNNNNNNNNNNNNNNNNNNNNNNNNNNNNNNNNNNNNNNCGGGGUGGGCCGAAUCUGGUGAGCAAAUGGGCCAACAGCGCAUGACGUAGUUUAGCUAUGGAACGCACGGGUGAGGGACACCGGUUGUGCUCACCUUGCACGCCUUGGGCCUGGCUCGGUGGAGCGGUUGGGCCGGUUGAGGCGGGGCGAGCUGGGCCUUGCUGGCACGGUCAACGGGGAGCUAGGCCGGGGUCGAGCCAUGGCCCGCCUGGCGCUGGCUCGCGUCAGUCGCGAGCGCCCCUACUUGAGCAACAGGACAACGACGGCGGGCAGCCAGCAGCGAGGGGCGGUCGGAGGCACAAGGACGGGCGCGAUUGGUCGGGGGUCGUCGGAUCCGGGGGCGGUCGUCCCGAAUCUGGUCGGAGGCGAGGCGUGACCGACAAGGGGGUAGCGAGGUUACACGGCUGCGGCCUCGGGCGCCAUGCGCGGGGUCGUGGAGGUCAUGUGCGGCCGACGGAGGGGUCGGGGAUAAGGUCGAGCGCCGCGGCGCCAGCGGCUUGGGGGAUCCAGGCGGCUGGCGAACUCCGACGAGGAGUUGUCGACGCUGGAGCGGGGCAUCGACGACGGGAGCAGCGCGGCGAGGUCGAAUCGGGCGUGGGAGCGGAUCCGUGGCGGCUGCAGUUGCGGGACGNNNNNNNNNNNNNNNNNNNNNNNNNNNNNNNNNNNNNNNNNNNNNNNNNNNNNNNNNNNNNNNNNNNNNNNNNNNNNNNNNNNNNNNNNNNNNNNNNNNNCCAAUUUUAAAAAACUGAGAAUUUCCAAAUAAAAUAUUCAAAAAAACAUAUAUUUUUUUGAGAAUUCAAAAACUACUCAGGAGUUUUGAAAUUUUUUGCUUAUAAAAAAUGUUUAAACUUUGAGAAAAUUUUCAUAAAAUAAAAAAAUUCAAUGAUUUGAAACAAAAGUCCAUGUAAAAAUCUUAAAAACAGUUUGUGCCUCUGUUUUUGGUCUCAUUUUUUCUUUUCAUUUUUCCGUUCCAUUUUUUAGUUUAAAUAAUUUAGAACUUUAAAAAACUUUUACAAUUUAAAAAACUAGGAAUUUUGAAAUAAAAGUUUGAAGAAAAUAUAAAAUGUUUGUGAAUUCAAAAAAUGCUCAGGAUUUUUGUAAAAAUAUUCGCAUAUUCAGAAAAAUAUUCAUAAUUUUGAGAACAAUGUUGGUGAAAACAAUAAAAGUCCAUGAUUUUGAAAAAAAAGUUUGUGUGUUAUUUUUUGAGUGUAAAUGAAAAAAAUGUUUGCUAAUUCAAAAAAUGUUCAUGCAUUUCAAAAAAUGUCCUAAAAUUUAAAAGACAUAAUACGGUAACUACGUUGGAGAUUAUAAUUGUUUUUCUCCGUUGCAACGCACGGGUCCUUUUGCUAGUAUAUAACAAUGGGGCUAGGGUUUGUGGGUUGGUAUUGGGGUUGUUGGGGUGAGAAGAGAGGGGGGUUUGAGGCCCUUGGCAAGAUUUUAAAUACUGAAACACCCGACAAUUAAAUCGGCUAUAGUGUCACUAUAGGUUUAUCCAUUGAGGGAUUAAAAGACCUUCGAUUGCGACGAAAUUUAACAGACGGCUUACGUACACUAUAUUAAGACCGCACGCCAAUUUUUAACCUAAUCCCAAAAAAGAUUUAUACACACUUUUAAAAAUAAUAUUUUAACAAUGUCGCGGGCACGUGUGAGUGUGUUUGGUCUCAAAACAAUCAACGACGAAAACGAAGGAAAUCCGCAACUAAUAACGGAUGCAAGUUUUGAAAAAUAACGCCAACGGAGUGCCGAUGCAAUGCGCAUGAUGCAAUGAUGAAUAUGAUAAUCAAAUAAAUCAUACGAUGAUAAUAAAAUAAGAGAAAAGUCUUCUGAAACGUUGGUCUCAGACUUUUACAUUGAUGUAGACAUGAUUUGCAUGUAUAGCAUGUGUGUAUGUAUAAAACUAGUUUUAGAAAUUAAGGCCGUGUGCGUAUUCGUGUAUCUUAAUAUGGAGGUGUUAUACCGUCCACGAGUGACUUCCGGCCGGAAACCGCGGAGAAAUCUAUUUUCUUACACUCGUAUAUUUGAAAAAACACGCUAAUCCAAAUAGGGCAUAAUUUAGAUAUUGUCUGCUCUAGUAUUACAGUGUAGUGUAGUAUUUUCUUUGUAGAUUAAUACAAAAACAUUUAAGUUAUUGAAAGUAGUGUUGCAAAUGUUUUUAUAUUACCUUUUUUUAAUCUAAUAUUUUUAUAUUAGUUUACGAAGUUUAAUUAGCCCACCAUUAGCACGUGACCACAACGGUGCGUAGCAGUCUCCCUGCCAACAUUACAGUGAAAAAUAAAAUUGAACGACAUAACUAAAGUAUUUUAGACACCUGAACCCAAAAUCUUGUCCUAAAAUGUAAGGACGUGUUUUGGAACGGAGGCAAAUGGAACGGAGCAUCAACAACCCCAUCAAAGCAUCCGUCAUCUUCUCCCCAACCGACGUAAGAGCAUCUUUAACACACGCGCUAAACAAGCAUCGCGUUAAAAAAUUAGUCAUUUUUCGCGCGUGUUACAGCUUCGGACGCUCCAACGAAGGCGAAAAAACCACGCUCGGCAUAACCGAUUCAGCGCGGGGCAAAAACGCCAUCGCACGCCGUUUAUUUGCUACGUCCGCUCCCUUGCACGGCAUACUUGAGCGCCCGCUCGCAACUACACCUACCCCAUCCAGCCGCGGCGCCACCGUCGCCCGUGCCACCCCAUUUCUUCCGACGACCGUUCGGCGCUUCCCCAGCCUAUCCCCGCGCCGUCGUUGCUUCCUCCAUCUCUCUCUAGUCACCGCGGCCCCUUGUCGUCCGACAAACAGCGCCCGGCCACCCACUGCCGCUCGGCGCCCGCAAGGUGUUCGACAAAACGCCCGCAAGGUGUUCGACAAAACUCCACCUUGGAUUUGGCAUGUUUUUUUUUGGAAUGCCUGUAUCUUUGAAUGACAUCAACGUUGUUAACCGGUCACCACUGAUGAAUAAGAUUGUAAAUGAGGAACUGACAUCGGUGUAGUUUGUAGGAAAUGGUCGUACAUACAACUAUGGCUACUAUCUUCCGGAUGGUAUCUAUCCAAAGUGGCAAACAUUUGGCAAGCCGUUGAAAAAACCGGAAGGUAAGAAAAAAUUUGAUUUCCACAAUGCUCAGGCGGCGUCUAGAAAAGAUGUGAAGAGAGAUUUGGGGAUUUUGCAAACCCAAUUUGCUAUUGUGAGAAGACCAGCUAGAUUUUGAGAUCAACAGACGCUUUGGUACAUCAUGUGUGCUUGUGUGAUCAUGCACAACAUGAUCAUCGAGAAUGAGCAUGGUCAAGAUUUAGACUACUCUCAGUAUGAGCUCUUGGGACAUCCCGUGCUAGUGCGGCGGAGGGCUGAAAGUGUGACCCGUUUUGUUGCCUCUUAUCAUGUGAUUCAGCGUCCGGAAACGCAUAUUGAUCUUCAGAAGGAUCUCAUCGAGGAAUGGUGGACAUGGGAUGACCGACAAAGAGCAUCAUGAUUUGUGCAUUUGAUGUUGUACUGUUGAACUAUUUGUUGUAUUGAAAGAUAAACUAUUUAUUUGAGUUGUAAAAACUAUUUGUUUGAGUUGUAAUGAAAUUGAACUAUUUUUGUUGAUUUAUUUUGUUUUGUGUUUGAUCUUUUUGCUUGUGUUUUGAGCGCAUAUGUUGUUUGAGCGAUAGCGCGCGCUGCAUUUUAAUGCGCCUACUGAAGCUACACGCGUAUUGCAUUUUACAACAAUCGCUGGAGUCAGCGCUGACCGCCGCGCCAAAACAAGAAAAACGCGCCACAAACUAAUUUUUAACGCGUCGUGCGUCGUGCGUUGGGCGGCUGUUAAAGAUGCUCUAACCAUGUCUUCCGACGUGAUAUUUUGAGUCUGACUCACAUGCGCAUCCGCAUUCGCGAACUGCUCUUGUUGCACCGAUGCCUGCCUCUUGGUCUCAUGGACCGGUCGCUCCUUUUCUUCCUCGGCAUGGUGGACGUUUCUUAUGUGGCGUCGUGCAGCCCGUGCUCCUUGACGAACUCGCCCCAGUCGCUGAUGAAGCGGUAGGCGCCGUUGGAGCGGAGGUACCUGAGCUUGAAGCCAAACUCGUUGACGUGGUCGUCCAAGGCGAUGAUGCGCAGCCCGUCCUUACCUCAUGGAUAAGGUAUGUCUCCGCAAAGGUAUGCCUCCUUGCAGGACAGGAGGCCGAUGAUGGGGUGGCGCCCUUGCACGACAAGAGGAGGCGCGGGGACGAUUCUAGGGGGCGAGGGGGCUAGACCCCCCUAACAAAUUGAUUUUUCUACUAUAAUAGUGAUUAUCAUAGCCAAAAAAAUUCAUUUCAUAUGAACUUUGUCCCCUCCAUGUACAAACUUGCCCCCCUCCUCCCCACUCCCGCUCCUCCCCACUCCCUCUCCCUCCCAACCCUAGCCGCCCAACUCCCUCCCCUCCCUUCCUCGCCGCCGCGUGAGGCAGCCGUCGGGCAAGCCCGUGGCGCCAAGGAUCGUGGCGGCGGGGCGGGGCCUUGGCUGCCCUGCCUCUGCAUGGGGAACUCCGGAUCUGAAGCGGCGGCUCCAUGGACGAGUCACGACAAGCUAGCAGUCGUGCGGGCGGUGGAUCUGGCGUCCGAGCCGCGUGCGCGGCGGGAUCCAAUGGUCGUUGGCGGCGGGCGGCGGCUUCUGCUGUGGUCGGUGCGCGUGAUCUGGCGCAUCCCCUCGUCCCAUGUUCGGCGUGCGGGCUAGCCUGGUCGGGUCGUGCUUUCUUGGGUCGCCGGUUCUGUACAGGAGGCACUACUGGUGACGGGGAUCUAGUUCGGGCUAAAUCUCUGGCCGACCAUGGCCGGCCGCAUCGACGGCGACGCCUGAGGGCGCCGUUCCCCUCCUUGGAGGCGUCGGUAUGGAUUGAUCCCCUCACUUCCCCUUCCCCCAGGUAUCCCGGGCGAAAGCCCUAACUUUGUUGGGCGGCGGCGGCGCUCACGACGUCGUUCCCUUCUUGAAGGCGCCGCUUUGGGAACCUUUGGGCUGGGUGGUGCUUGUGAGUGGUGGGCGACGGCGGUGGUGCGGUCCUAUCCUAUCAUGGAUCUACGUCCGCUGCUUGGAGAUGGACUCACGUAGGUGGAGCUCGUCGUUUGGCGUCAUGGUGGCGUCAAUGGCGAAGGCACCUGCCAAGGCUGGUACCUCAAUCUGCUCUGAAGAUGAACCAGUGAAAGAUGAUGGCGGCGACACAUGUAAGUGCGUCAGACCGGUGUGUGCCCCUGACCCGGGAUGUGGCUCGAUCGAGGCCUCCGGCUUUAGAUGGUAGGCUUAGGUGAGAGGUCUGGGUAUUUGGCUCAGCUUGCACCCCUUCAUCAUAUGGAUAGAAGUAGCGGGAAAUGUCGCCAAGAUGACGGAUUUAGACAUAUUGUUGUACUACUUUGUAAAGUCCUCGAAAAUAAUCGAUAAAAUGGUCGCAUGUAUCUCCUAGAUGCAGAGACCGGGGGUCAUCCUCCUUUUUUUUUUAAAAAAAAGGAGGAUGACCCCCGGUCUCNCUUGCCCCCUAUGCUGCAUGCUCGCUCCGUCGAGGCGGUUCUGGUUGAGGUUCAUGUCGCUCUUGGGAUCGGCGUCAUUUGCGAUGCGAGAUCGGGAAUACCUAGGCUAGAUUGUUUUCCUUGCAAACCAUGAUCCAGGGUGACUAGUAGUACGAUAUAUGAUGAUGAUGAUGAUGGCCGAAAAAGGAGGAGAUGGAUCGGGACUACGAGCCCGCUUCAGAUACGCUACGCUACCGUCCGUGAUGCGUUUCAGUGCAAAACAAAAAUGAUUCCUCACUUCCUCAGUGUGGCUCAACAUACUUAAACGGUAAGAUUCCUAUAUGUAUACCGCUCAAGUUGUGCCUCAAUAUCCGCUCAAGUUGUCACAGAUCAAAAUAACCAAUGAGAAGUGCCAAGAUACCCUUGUUCAGCUGCGGCACAAGAGAUUAUAUUUGUCCUAGAAAUAGAUGUACCUAGACUUAUUUUACUUAUAGAUACAUCCAUUUUAUACAUUUUUAAGACAAAUAUUUUGGACGGAGAGAGUAUUUGGAAAAGCACAAAUCACCGCAACCGUGACACAAGAAACGUCCGCCACGCCGAGGAUGAAAGGAGCGUGCACCGAUGCCGGUCCAUGAGACCAAGAGGCAAGCAUCUGUUUCUUGUGAGAUUGUUCCUUCAUCGGUAAACUCACAUAUGUAGAAACACGUAUUUGGAAAAGCACAAAUCACCUUACACGUCAUUGAUAAACUCACAUACGUAGAAACACGUAUUUGAAAAAGCACAAAUCACCUUACACGCAUCCAUGAUGAACAAGCUCACCAACUGUCACACUUGAUAAACUUAUCACCAGUUCAAGCUACUAGUACAACUUAAGAGAAGAUGGUUCCCGCAAUCCACAAACAAUUUAAUGACUCUGACAAGUUUAACAGUGCCAAAUAUGCAGCUCACAGAUUCCAGCGAGUUACUAACGCGAUGUAAGGCGAACGAUAAUGAACUCUACUUUGAUACGGAACCCUCGCCAUCUUGCGGCGUGGGGUGAACAUCUGAGUUGUUGCUGCUGUCGCCUUUCACAGACAGUGAAUCAUCUGCUGCCAGUCUCUUUGAACACGGUUCAGCAGAAAUAGGCUUGAUAUUAGCUCGCUUGAUGCCUCUGCCUACAACACCAAGGUCAGUAACAGUACCUCCAGUGCUUCCCGAUGUUGCUGCUGUAGACAUUGUUGGGGAGUCAAAGCCAUUGUUUACUCCAGCCAUUUGUGAAGAAGUCAAAGAUGCAGCUCUUGGUGGCACGGCAUUGCCAUCCUUCUCCAUAAACGCUACUUUUGCAGCAAUGAUGUUCAUAAGCUGGCUCACUGGGGUUUCCAUUGCUUGCUCCAGGUCUUCAAGCUUAACAAAAACAGUUCAGAGAUCUCAUUGCUCAUUAUGAUAAACAUAAACAUUUUCACUCGUACAUCAAUAGGCUCAAGACGAACAUCAAGUUGAUAAGGUGCAGGAUCUAGAUUAGUUACCUUCUUCUCAAGGUCAGGCAAUAUACCAGUAACAAGCUCCAUCUCAUCUUCUACAGAUGAUUUCUUUGAGUCUCCAUCAGCAGUAGAUGCUUUAUCAGCCAACAAGGUUUCCUUCGCAUUUUUCAGGCUCUCUAAACGUGACUUGCACAAUGAAACAGCCUUUGCACAAUAUGGGAUCGCCUCUCCAAUCUUAGAUGCCAACUCAUAGACCAAACAGAUGCGGAAGUUUCUAGCAUUGAUUAAGGAAAUUAGCAAAGAAAGAACAACAGUCCACAAGAUAACGGUACUCCCUCCGUUCCUAAAUAUAAGGUGUAUUAGUUUUUUAAAAAGUCAAACCUUGUCUACGUUUGACCAACUUUAUAUCAAAAUAUAUGAUGAUCUACAAUACUAGAUAUAUAAAAUAUGAAAAUAUAUUUCAUGAUAAAUCUAGUGAUAAUGAUUUGAUAUUCUAGACCUUGAUAUUUUUGUUUACAAACCUGGUCAAAGUUAGAGAAGUUUGACCUUUUUAAAAAAUAAUACACCUUAUAUUUAGGAAUAGAUGGAGUAUUACAUACGCCCUCCGUUCCUAAAUAUAAGCCUUUUCAGAUAUUCCAAUAUGUACUACAUACGGAGCAAAAUGAGUGAAUCUACACUCUAAAAUACGUCUAUAUACAUCUGUGUAUUGAUAACCACAUCAGACUUGCAUGUGCAUUUGUGUAGGUGAAGGUACCCGUGAGAUGUUCGAAUCAGUAGGAUCAAUUACUUACAUCAUGCAUGGAUAUGAAAAUAUUAAGGAUAACUUCAGCCACAUAAAUCUUCAGAUAAUAAAAUAUGCACCACUAAAACCAAAUAUGCCACUUCAUCAUACUACUACAUGGCAGACAAUGACAUUAUUAUUAGCACAAGGAGGAUACAGUUCAACAAUUCGACGAUGGUCAGGCUCCACCAAAUGCUCCAAGAUGGCCAAAGCUUUGAAGUAGUCACCAAGUGAGUUGUCUAUGUCCUCUGCAAACAAAUGUAGGGACAUGAGUAUCAAGACCACACACUCGUUUAUUGCACGAGUAACUAAGAUAACAGGGAUUACCUCUUUCCAUGGAGACUUCAGCUAGAGCACAAAAGAUUUUCACUUUCUCCAAAGUGUUUUCUGGGUUCUUCUCCACUAUACCCCUUGCAAUAUCUAACAUUUGCCAGGCUAGAUCCAAAUCAGAAUCAUCUUCUUCACCUCCCAUCUCAUCACCAUCCUUGUCACUGUCGCCAUCUACAUCCUCCUGAUCUUUCUCAUUUGAGUUUUGACCUAAUUAAUGACUAUGUCAGUGUUUACCACGGUAGGAAGAAGAGCAAGCAGCAAUAUAGCUAAAGUAAGUAAUGAGAUACAUAUAACUUAUCAGCAUAACAUGAUCACUUUUUAUCAAUAUAUAUAAUCAUGAGCAAAUAACUAGAGUUCUCAUGGAAAUGUGAGACAGUUAUUCACAUUCUGCAACACUUACAUAGCACAUAACUGCAAAAGUAGGGAACUUGCAUGAACCAUGAGAUAAGCACGGAGGUCACCCCCGUUCAAACAUGGAACCGCAAAAGAUCAAGGACUAAGGAGUAAGGGCUGAAGGCAGCUUACAAAGCAUAAAACCAAGGUCAUGCAAGUGCACUAUUUAGACAGCUAGCUGCGACACAUUCAAAGUUUCAUGCACCCAUAUCUGUUUAAUUUUGUGUUGUCAUCCAUGUGUAUGGACAACAAUGGCAGACAUAAAUAUUAAAAGCAGGAAGGAAAAUAUCCGACAAAAGAAGAAGGCAGGCAGACAACCACACAACAUAUUGUUGAUCCAUAACAAGCUUUUGAAUGAGCAAUCAAAGCACAUAUUUUUACUGCCUUCGAAAUCAUCUGCUAUCUAUAGCAUAAUUGUUUUAGACGUUUAACCAAUUAACAUAAUCACUUUCAUGAAGUGGAUGAGAAGUUGAGAACUCAAGAAACAACUAUGAACACUACAUAGCUCCUAAUAAGACCCAGCAUUUUGCAGCACAGGAGCUCAUUACUGAUUAAUAUUUUAUUGUGUAUAGCCAUCAGUUGGUAGGAAGAGAGGAAUAUAAAUAAGUCUUAAAUCAUAAUGACCAUAAUGUUAUUAAUAUAAUAAUAUGUCCAGAUUAAUGUCUGUCUUCUGGUGUAUAACUGCAUCUGAAACUAUUUGGGCAAAGGAAUAACAACACACCUUCAAGACCACCAUUGUCUGAAGAUGGAUCAUCACCUUUGACAUUGCUACUGGAUGCCUUUGAGUUUCCACUAUCCUUACUGGCUGUGCUCUUCGAUGGUUCUUCAUCUGGUGCACUCUUGGGAACAUUACCCAAAGGAUCGGUCUCCUCCUGUGAUUUGUAUAGCAAGGCACAUCCAUAUUUGUAAUACGUGCUGGCACACUCUGAAGCAAGUUCUCCAUAACGUUCAACCCUGGCGAGAACAAAGCCGUACAUUUUCAGUGUAUCAUUGUAAAGGUAUUAAGGGUACAACAUAAGAACAUGGAAGGUAACGUAAUCUGAGAUGAAGCAAGCCAAACAGAGUUAACCAGCACAAAGGUUCCAUCAACCAUUUUGAUGACAGAGAAUGCUAAUUAUGCUUCCUCUUGGUUGCCGUUUAGAAAAAGUUAACUACUGAUUGGCGCUUGCACAGCCUAUUUAGUAAGUACAAUGCUGAAGUAGGAUGAAUAAACUAGAUAGCAGUAAAAUAUCCGUAACUAACCAUUACUUAAGAGGCAUGUACACAUUUCUGAAAAAGGAUCGCGCCUAUGCCUCACGUAAUUACACUUAGAUUUAAUGCUCAUCCUAGUACACACAUCAAGCACCAAUUGCCAACGUAACCUCACAGUUAAGGGGCCUCGUGCCAAAGCAAAAAGAAACAGGGGGGGAAACCACAUAUAAAGCACUGCAAGUACAAGCUGAAUCUACAGAACACAUAUAAUCAGUUUCCAGUAGGUGAAUAUUGUCGCAAGGUGCUAAUUAUGAGCUAUGUUGAUUGUUUACAAAUGACUAAUAGUGCCAGUCAGAAGCACUAGCUGUACUAGAGAGCCAUAUAGACAUUCCUAUGGAAUAUGGAUAAUACCUAGUCCCGAAUUUGUUGCCCUUUCAUUUUAUAUAGUUAUCACAACUCACACAUGGCACAUCACAACAAAAUGGGAAAAUCCAUAUAAUUGCUGCCAAAUAAGAGUAGGCUCAUUGGACCGAAUAAUCAUCCCUCGCAUCCUACCACAUCCCAUUGCGCUGCCUGCUGAACACAAUAAACGUAAAUACCACAACUGGUGAUCACCUUCCUGUAGAAUCUCUUAAACCAUGGUAAACCCAUCCAGCAAACUACAUAAACCAAAAGCUCGACGGACCUACCGCCGACGUAACUAACCCAGAAGAGAAAUGGACUAAACGGAUAUUAAGCACACGAUACAUCCGUAGGGGAAUUUUCGCCGGGCUAUGAGUAGGAUCGGUGGGCGGGAGGAACCCUAACCUGAUCUCGAGGGCGCGGCUGAGGCAGUCGACGGCUUCGACGAAGUCCCCCUCCUCGAUGGCCUUGGAUCCCUUGUCAAACAGCUCCUCCGCCCGCUCUAGGGUUUUCUCCUCCUCCCCCUCUUUCUUCUCGCCGCCCGCCUCCUCCUCGCUAGGGUUCGGGGGUGGCGGGUCCUGGCGCUCGUCUACCGGCGCCACGAAGUUAUCCGAGGUGNGAAAGUGUAUGUUAGGGACCGGUUGGGCCUCCACACAUCUUGGGCUCAGCGGAGGGCUGCGAGGCAGGCCCAUUCGGUGGAUGAGCAAAUACAAAUAUCUUUCCUACUUAUAAAAAUUUAAGCUGAUGGUAAGUUCACUCACACAUUCACACUCCUCGUACAUGUAGAACACAUCGAAUUAAAAUAAAAUACAAACUGUAGGACUGGAACUAGCAGUGGAGUCGAUCUGUGCCCAAUCACCAUCCUCCGGCGCGCUGCCAAUAGCCAUACUCGUUUCAAAUUUUGAAACUUUCAUGUGCACAUGAGUUAUCACACCACGACUGCACCCCACAACAAGUCCACAGGUCAAGCUAAACAUGAACCGGAGUAUAGGACUGAGCCAACCAAAAGCUUGCCGAUGAUGAGCCUGGCCGGUGUUGAACAUGGUCCUCCGGCGAGCCCCAAUACAAACUGAUGUUAAAAAAUUUGUGUAGGUUUUGGUCACCCUUUAGUGCAGCUUCUUGCACUUUCAAAGUGCAAAAUAGCUCAAUAAGCUGGUAUCCAAUGCAAAUAACAUAUCUACUAACUUGAUCCUUAUUCAAAAUUUUAGUUUGUUCAUAACUCGUUAAAUUUAAUCAAAAAAAUAUGAAAAUAAAUUGAUUCUAUAGAUGAAGCAAGAAAUGAAAUUAAAUGCUAGAUUGUGUGAAACGGCAAUGAUGGAUUCAUUGUUGUAGUUGAUGUGAAGUUCAUCAAGUGGUAGUCUAAUGUGAUUUAUCCUCCAUAUACAUGUCAACUAACCCUCCUAUUUCAUAGCAUGGUCAUUCUCCUAUAUACUCCAGUAUAUUGCUUCUGUCAAACUGAAAAACAAAUAGGCUUUAAUAAAAAAUAUUUUUCCGUGAGUCGAGUAUCAUGUGAAAUAUUGAUUCCAUAUUUGGUUGUGUCUUCGAAACACAUACAUGAAUAUCGGUAUAUUUACUAUUGGAAAGAGUACAAUGGAUUAUACAUUUCCUCAAGCUAUAGUACGGCAGCUACUUUUCAUCGGAAUUCCUGCUGGAAGCAUAAAGUUUAGUACUCGUGAAAAGGUUUCUCGAUGCUGAUCUGAGUGUUUUUUUUGCAGUUUUUUAGGCGUGGUGUAUGAAGCUUGAAGGAUUCUUCACAAGAUUGUGGAAGGGGAUGAAUUUGUUAAUGACAGAAAUGAAAUGCUCCCAUAAUUGUUCAAGGAUUCCUCCGUAUUAUCAUUGUUCUUAGAGGUAAGAACCUUACUUUGUUAUUGAAGUGAGAUUUUUUUUAGCUGUUGAAUUCAUGUCGAUGAAGAAUUGUAAUUCUGAUAUUAUUUAGAAAUGCAUUCUAAGAUUAUUUAUAAAUGAAAUUGGUGGACUUCUGCUUCUUGAAUUGUUUUCAUGCAGUGAUGGACUGUAUCAGUUGGUGACUUCUUGGUUGUCAUAACUUCUUAGUUAUCACUUCUUGAAAAUAUUCAAGCGAUACAUUUGUCACAAUGAAUAAAAAGCAUGUACAAAGGCUUGCAUCCAACCAAAAAAUACUACACGAGGAGAUAAAAGAAAUAAUUGGUCAAACAAAACUAUCAUUCCCACUCCAACGAAUCAAACAGGCUUUCUUACGGGUGCGGCGUGCCGCCAUGCUUUUUCGGUACUAGUAGCUGGACUAAAGCACCAAGAAGAUCAUCCGGGCUUGGAUCACGAAACGGCAACGGUGGUUUCCUCUUCUCCUACCUCUGGCUCCCUCGUUCCAUCUCCUAGUUAGUAGCGAUUUGUAUCUCAAAUUAGCUACUCAAACUGUGUAAUCCAUCCUUAUUGAUAGAUUUAUCAGUUGGGACGCGAGAUGCUAACAUCUCGCGUCACAGCCUUCUCAUCAUCCCUCCAAAUUCGCCUAAAGCUCUGUCUAUUUUUUUUCAGCACACCAUUCUCUCCACCACCAUUUUUUCAGCACACCAUUCUCUCCACCACCAUGCAUCCUGAGAUGACAGCUUACCCUGAUGAGUUCGAGGCGAAGGCAAAGGCAUGGUACGACACGCAGUCUGCACUAUAGGACGCGGUGCUCUCCAAGCUCCUCGCGGGCGUCUCGACCCGCAACCUACGCGCUCCCUUGUCACGAGGGCCGAUGGUGGCCUCACCGAUGCCACCUCUGUCCCGUCAGUUGUGUCUGACAUCUUCAUUGCCAACAACCAAGCCGAGGAGGCUCACGCGGUUUCUCAUGAUCCACCUCCUUGAAAGUACAAUCAUGCCUUUAAUUAUAUUUUGAUGUUUUUAACAACAUACACAUAUGGAACUAAUCACCUUCGUCAAGUGUGUUUCAGGUUUAGUUCUCAUGAGAUUGUCGGGUUGCAUCAUAACUGACAUAUCCAUGAUAUUCAAGUACGGAGAAACAAAACAAAAUAGCUCUAUAUCGUCCCUCCCUCCUCAUUUCAACCAAAGCAAUUCCUGGUUUGAGCAAGUUUUGAGCGGUUCCCUUGAUCUUGUUACUCUUGGAGGUUGGAGAUUCCUAGGCGGUAGGAGUUCUUCGGAGAGGAAUCAAACAUUUGUGAUUUCCCCCAGAAAGUUUGUGAGGGUUUGGAGGCCACCUUGAGGCCUACCACCAGUGGUUGAGAAACGCCUUCGUGGUGUUGUCUCAAGGAGAUAAUAGGGCGAGACUUCGUGGCGUUGGUGUGCCUUAGUGGUAACAUCCGCCUCUCUAGACGGUGACGUAGCUUCCCUCCAAGGAAGUGAACAUCGGAAUACAUCCUCGUCUCUCGGAGUUGCGGUUAUUCCUAACCCUAGCUCCUUACUUGUAUUUACUUGUCUCCUUACAUGUAUAAUAUGUUUUCAUAUUAAGGUUGUUUAUCUAUUUAAGUGCUUAACUUGUAUAUCAUACUUGUCACCUUAUCUCGGGAGCAAUUGUUAGGCUAAAGUUCAUAUUCCGCAUUAUAGCCUAAAACUGGUAAGUAACAAUUAAAAUUUGUAAUUGCACCUAUUCACCCCCCCUCUAGGUCCAUCUUGAUCCUUUUCAAUUGGUAUGAGAUCCUCGUGCUCUAAUUAUGUGGCUUAACCGCCUUAGAGCGAGAUGGAUAAGAAUGGGAACCCUCUGACUGCUCCUCCCCUUGAGGGAGGAGCUUCAUCCGCAGAUGAAAGGAGAUGCUUCACUUCCGAAGAUCUUGAACGGGCCCUUGCUAAGCAGAAGAGGAGCAUCAUGCUUCUAUUGACGCUUUGGUCAAAAUGAGGUUGGAUGCAUUAGGUGCAAAAAUUACACCACCAGAGAACCCAAUGGGUGUGAUAAAACAAUCAAAUGCAUCUCUCCCUAAAUUGGGCCAACAACCUCAAACUGAUAACAACACCGGUGUUCCAUGGCUAUAUGCAAAACCUAGAGUGGAGAAACAUAAGUAUAAUGUUGGGGGAAACCCUCCUUUACUUGAUGACACUGCCGAUUUUUCUUUGUGGGGAGUUGGUAUGCAUGAUCAUCUUUGGUUUGCCAAUGUUGAGAUGCUGGAGAUCUUGGAGAAAGGUUACAACCCCGUGAACCCCCAAGGACCUCACACUAGGUUAAGUAUAUGACAAGCACCUCAAUGACAACGUGAUCAUGCUCAUAAGAAAGGGCAUGUCUGACAAGGAGAAAAGACACUACAUUCACCUAUCAAAUGCAAAAGAACUUUGGGAUAGCAUUGUGAUGACCAAGACAGGAACGUCCUCUCUUUGUCUUGCACAAUAUGAGAUUGCAAAAGGGGCAUUACAAUAUUUCUACAUGGAGAAAGGAGAGAAUCCCAAGCAUCUUCUUGAGAGAUUGAUGACACUUGUUGUCAAUAAAGAAUCAUAUGAUUGUGAAAAGAGUCAAGACAGAUUCAACUUGACCAAACGAUUCUUGUGUAUAAACUUCUAAAUGCUCUUAUUACAUACCACCAUCAAAUGGUAUGUGACAUAAGGAGAGAACAUGGCUUUAAGGACAUGUCUCCCGAUGAUGUCAUCUCAACCUUCCAAUUAUUCGAAGAAUCAAAGGCCAAUGAUACAAGACAUCUUGCCAUGCAUGGCUCCUCAUCACUCAAGACAAAUCUUGCCUUGAAGGCCAAGCAUGUGAGGGAUGACGAUGUUAAUAAAGAAAAACAGGAAGAUGAAGAAGAAGGUUAUGAAGAUGAAUCAGAUGACGGGCUCUCGUAUGAAUACAUGGAUCUCUUUGUCAAGAAGUUUAGUGCAGGAAGAUUCAAGGGAAGAUUCCAAAAUAAGAAAGUAAGGACCUGCUAGAAUUGUGAAGAAACCAACCACUUCUCAAACGAGUGUCCCUAUGAGAAGGGAGAAGACAAACCAAUAUUUCGGAAGACUUUUGUAAAUAAGAAGUUGCCCAACCCAUUAAACUACAAGUUCAAGAAGAGAUAUGGGAAGGCAAUGGUUUCUCAAGAUGAAUCUGAUACCAAUGAUGUUGGGGGUGUUGCAGGCGUAGCCCAAGACACUCAAACCACAUUGAGACUGAUCAACAAAGGUGGUGAUGUUGUCACAUACAACUACAUGAAAGACUACAAGGGUAAUGCACACAAAUGUCUCAUGGAAAAAGGUGUGGUAUAAUAUGAUGAGGCACAAACAUCUUCACACAAAGUAAAGGUAACUCCAUGACCUAACCCUCCUCUAUUUUCCUCUACCACAUCUAGUGAUGAAUAUAUUGAUGCUCGGGAUCAUGAUCAUGAAUCUGAAAUAAGUGAUGCCAUGUUUGCUAAAAUGAAGAAAGUCAUGCGCUCUCUCAAAGGAAAGAAACUCAUUAUGUUUCGUAUGCUUAUGGAUAUGGUGAGUAAGCACACCACCUCCAUUAAGAAACUAGAAACCCUCGUCCCUGAGGAAAAGGAGAAAUGUGAAAUCCUUGAACAAAAAGUCCUAUAUGAGUAAGCACGUAAUGACGAAUUGUGCUUAAAAAUAGAUGCAAACGUUGAUAAGCACACUAAAUAACUUACCUCUUUGACUAGGACCGAAAGCACUUAUUGAAAUGUUAAAAAGUGACAAGUGUAAACUUGAUGAGUCUCAUGCCACUCUUUCUAAGGACCGUGAGCUCUUACAUUUGUCUCUCAAGACAAAGGAAGAGGAGCUCGCUACUCUUACAAAGAAGUUUGACAAACUCAAGCUUACAUACCUUAACAUUUUAGGCAAAGUUUACUCCUCUCCUAUUAUAAAUGUUGAUGCUUGUGCUACUAACCCAAUUGUGACCUAGCUAGUGUACUUGAGGAGAACCGGUCGCUAAAGGCUCAAAUUGAAAAAGGGCUCAUGUCAUGUGCCCAAGGACAAAAUAACCUUAGUGAAGCAUUGAGUCAACACAAGGAGGUAGUAGCUAAGGAAUGGCUUGGAUUUGAUCCAAGCAUAAACAUGAAUACAAUGACGACACAUAAGUCCACAACUCCCCUCAAGGAGAUAUUUGUGCAAGAAGGGUGAUACGUCUCCANNNNNNNNNNNNNNNNNNNNNNNNNNNNNNNNNNNNNNNNNNNNNNNNNNNNNNNNNNNNNNNNNNNNNNNNNNNNNNNNNNNNNNNNNNNNNNNNNNNNCGGAGGAAAAUGACCCUCCAAAAACGUGAGGCAUCUCUGACAUAUUUUGAGCCAAGAAAGCCAAAGUUUUGUCGUGAAAAUAAUUGCAAAAAGAAAAUAUAGCAUAAGGGAUUUUUUUCUAAAAAAACAUUUUUUAAAGUUUUUAUUUUUGCCUUGGAAAAAUGUUAAUCGGGUAGAGGAUAUGUUUCUGAUCAUUUUGGUAUAUAAUACCCUAUAUUAAUUAUUUUAUUCGUUUCCUUUUAUUUUCGUUUUAGUUUCUGUUAAAAAAAAGAAAAAAAAUGGGAGAUAUUCUCGGGCUAGAUCCCAUCGCCAGGAUCUCUCGCAACCGCAGCGCCUCCCCUGGCAAACCGCACGCCACCCCCUUUCCUUUUUUUUUCUUUCCCACUUUUCUUUUCGCUCUCUUCCCUUCCCUCUUCUUCUUCCUUCCUUUUUUCUGUCUACCGUGACCUUCCAGCGAGCUUGCCUUCCAUGGCUGGCUUGAUUUCUUUCCUCCUCGGCCACCCCCUCCCCCUAUAAAAACCGAACCCCCACGCCGCCCUCACCUGGUUCCACCCCCACGCCGCCCUGACCGAGCCCCACGCCGCCCCCUCGACGUCGCCGGAGCUCCGCCCUGCUCGACCAGCAGAAGUUCUGCUGCCUCNNNNNNNNNNNNNNNNNNNNNNNNNNNNNNNNNNNNNNNNNNNNNNNNNNNNNNNNNNNNNNNNNNNNNNNNNNNNNNNNNNNNNNNNNNNNNNNNNNNNGCUUUCUUGGGUCGCCGGUUCUGUACAGGAGGCACUACUGGUGACGGGGAUCUAGUUCGGGCUAAAUCUCUGGCCGACCAUGGCCGGCCGCAUCGACGGCGACGCCUGAGGGCGCCGUUCCCCUCCUUGGAGGCGUCGGUAUGGAUUGAUCCCCUCACUUCCCCUUCCCCCAGGUAUCCCGGGCGAAAGCCCUAACUUUGUUGGGCGGCGGCGGCGCUCACGACGUCGUUCCCUUCUUGAAGGCGCCGCUUUGGGAACCUUUGGGCUGGGUGGUGCUUGUGAGUGGUGGGCGACGGCGGUGGUGCUACGUCCGCUGCUUGGAGAUGGACUCACGUAGGUGGAGCUCGUCGUUUGGCGUCAUGGUGGCGUCAAUGGCGAAGGCACCUGCCAAGGCUGGUACCUCAAUCUGCUCUGAAGAUGAACCAGUGAAAGAUGAUGGCGGCGACACAUGUAAGUGCGUCAGACCGGUGUGUGCCCCUGACCCGGGAUGUGGCUCGAUCGAGGCCUCCGGCUUUAGAUGGUAGGCUUAGGUGAGAGGUCUGGGUAUUUGGCUCAGCUUGCACCCCUUCAUCAUAUGGAUAGAAGUAGCGGGAAAUGUCGCCAAGAUGACGGAUUUAGACAUAUUGUUGUACUACUUUGUAAAGUCCUCGAAAAUAAUCGAUAAAAUGGUCGCAUGUAUCUCCUAGAUGCAGAGACCGGGGGUCAUCCUCCUUUUUUUUUUAAAAAAANNNNNNNNNNNNNNNNNNNNNNNNNNNNNNNNNNNNNNNNNNNNNNNNNNNNNNNNNNNNNNNNNNNNNNNNNNNNNNNNNNNNNNNNNNNNNNNNNNNNACCCCGUGAGGAGAUUAGAGUUGAACCUAGUGUUGCUAUUAUCAAAGAUCUCUUAGCCGAAGACAUAGAUGGGCAUGUUAUCAAAUUUUGUGAGGACUCCGCUAGAAUUGCUAAACCUCAAGCGAAAGACAAACACGGACCUGUAGUUGGCCUGCCCGUUGUUUCUGUUAAGAUAGGAGAUCACUGUUACCAUGGUUUAUGUGAUAUGGGAGCUAGUGUUAGUGCAAUACCCCGUUCUCUAUAUGAUGAAAUCAAAGAUGAGAUUGCACCUGCUGAGUUAGAACCCAUUGAUGUCACUAUCACGCUAGCUAAUAGAGACGCUAUCUACCCUCUGGGAAUUGUGAGAGACGUAGAAGUCAUGUGUUGUAAGACGAAGUAUCCUACUGAUUUCCUCGUCCUUGGUACUGCACAAGAUAGCUUUUGUCCCAUCAUAUUCGGUAGACCCUUUCUCAACACUGUCAAUGCUCACAUUGAUUGCAUUAAGCAGACUAUCAAAGUAAGUUUCGAGGGUGUGUCUCAUGAAUUUAACUUCUCCAAGUUUGGAAGACAAACCCAUGAAAGAGAGUCGUCUGGUAGGGAUGAAAUCAUUGCUCUUGCCUCUAUUGUCGUACCUCCUACGGAUCCUUUAGAGCAAUAUCUGCUUGAGCAUGAAAAUGAUAUGCAUAUGGAGGAGAGAGAUGAGAUAGAUAGAAUUGUCUUAGAAUAUCAUCCUAUUCUCAAGAAUAAUCUGCAUGUUGAACUGCUUGGGGAUCCUCCCCCACCAAAGGGUGAUCCUGUGUUCGAGCUUAAACAGUUGCCUGAUACUCUUAAGUAUGCCUAUCUUGAUGAGAAGGAGAUAUGUAUUGUCAUUAUUAGUGCUCUCCUCUCAGAGCGCGAAGAGAAGAAGUUACUAUAAACUCCGAGGAAGCACCGCGCUGCUAUUGGAUAUACUCUUGAUGAUCUUAAGGGUAUUAGUCCUACUCUAUGUCAGCACAAGAUUAAAACCGAUCCUGAAUUUAAACCAAGUGCUGAUCAUCAAAGGAGAUUAAAUCCUAAGAUGAAAGAGGUCGUUAGAAAAGAAAUAUUAAAGCUUUUGGAAGCAGGAAUCAUUUAUCAUGUCGCUCAUAGUUAUUGGGUAAGUCCAGUACAUUGCGUUCCUAAGAAGGGAGGUAUCACCGUCGUUCCUAAUGAUAAGGAUGAACUAAUCCCACAAAGGAUUAUUACCGGCUAUAGAAUGGUGAUAGACUUCCGGAAACUGAACAAGGCAACCAGGAAAGAUCAUUAUCCAUUGUCGUUCAUCGACCAAAUGCUAGAAAGGCUAUCAAAACACACACACUUCUGCUUUCUAGACGGUUAUUCAGGUUUCUCACAGAUACCUGUUGCACAAUCUGAUCAAGAGAAAACCACUUUCACCUGCCCUUUCGGUACCUUUGCCUAUAGACGUAUGCCUUUUGGCUUAUGUAAUGCACCUGCCACCUUCCAAAGAUGUAUGAUGGCUAUAUUCUCUGACUUAUGUGAAAAGAUUGUCGAGGUUUUCAUGGAUGACUUCUCCGUUUACGGGUCUUCCUUUGAUGAUUGCCUCAGCAACCUUGAUCGAGUCUUAUAGAGAUGCGAAGAAACCAACCUCGUCUUGAAUUGGGAGAAGUGUCACUUUAUUGUUAAUGAAGGUAUCGUCUUAGGACACAAAAUAUCUGAAAGAGGCAUUGAAGUUGAUAAGGCUAAGGUUGAUGCAAUUGAGAAAAUGCCUUGCCCCACAGAUAUCAGAGAUAUACGAACUUGACUAGGUCAUGCUGGUUUCUAUAGAAGGUUCAUUAAAGACUUCUCUAAGAUUUCUAGGCCUCUUACCAACCUCUUGGAGAAGAAUGUUCCUUUUGUUUUUGAUGAGGAUUAUGAGGAAGCCUUCGAAAUACUUAAGAAGGCUUUGAUAACCGCACCUAUUGUUCAACCACCUGACUGGAACUUGCCCUUUGAAAUCAUGUGCGACGCUAGUGAUUAUGAUGUUGGUGCUGUUCUAGGACAAAGAGUUGACAAGAAGUUGAAUGUCAUUCACUACGCUAGUAAAACUCUAGACAGUGCCCAAAGAAACUAUGCCACUACGGAGAAGGAAUUUUUAGCACUCGUGUUUGCAUGUGAAAAGUUCAGAUCUUACAUAGUUGACUCCAAAGUCACUAUUCACUCUGAUCAUGCUGCUAUUAAGUACCUUAUGCAGAAGAAGGACGCUAAGCCUAGGCUGAUCAGAUGGGUUCUCCUGCUACAGGAAUUUGAUUUGCACGUCGUUGACCGAAAGGGUGCUGACAACCCUGUAGCAGAUAACUUGUAUAGGCUAGAGAAUGUCCUUGAUGACCCACUACCUAUUGAUGACAGCUUUCCUGAUGAGCAACUAAAUGUCAUCCGCACUUGUCAUAGUGCACCGUGGUAUGCCGAUUAUGCAAACUAUAUCGUAGCCAAAUACAUACCACCCAGUUUCACCUAUCAACAAAAGAAGAAAUUCUUCUUUGAUUUGAGACACUACUUUUGGGAUGAUCCUCACCUUUAUAAGGAAGGAGUAGAUGGUGUUAUUAGACGUUGUGUGCCUGAACAUGAACAGGGACAGAUCCUGCAGAAGUGGCAUUCCGAAGCCUACGGAGGACACCAUGCUGGAGAUAGAACUGCCCAUAAGGUAUUGCAAUCAGGUUUCUAUUGGCCCACUCUCUUCAAGGAUGCCCGUAAGUUUGUCUUGUCUUGUGACGAAUGCCAAAGGAUAUGGAACAUCAGUAAGCGUCAAGAGAUGCCUAUGAACUAUUCACUUGUCAUUGAAUCAUUUGAUGUCUGGGGCUUUGAUUAUAUGGGACCCUUCCCGAGUUCCAAUGGGUACACUCACAUCUUAGUUGCUGUGGAUUACGUUACUAAGUGGGUAGAAGCUAUCCCCACUAAAAAUGUUGAUCACCACACCUCUAUUAAGAUGCUUAAAGAAGUCAUAUUCCCAAGAUUUGGAUUCCCUAGAUACUUGAUGGCUGAUGGCGGUUCACACUUCAUUAUGGUGUUUUCCGCAAGAUGCUAGCUAAGUAUGAUGUCAACCAUAGAGUUGCAUCUCCUUAUCAUCCUCAGUCUAGUGGUCAAGUGGAGUCGAGUAAUAGGGAGAUCAAGUUGAUCCUACAAAGACCGUCAAUAGAUCUCGAAAGAACUGGUCUAGCAAACUUGACGAUGCACUAUGGGCUUAUAGGACUACUUAUAAGAAUCCCAUGGGCAUGUCACCGUAUAAAAUGGUUUACGAUAAGGCCUGUCAUUUACCUCUUGAGCUGGAACACAAAGCUUAUUGGGCAAUCAAAGAGCUCAACUUUGAUUUCAAACUUGCCGGUGAGAAGCGGUUGUUUGAUAUCAGCUUGUUAGAUGAAUGGAGAGCCUAGGCAUAUGAGAAUGCUAGGUUGUUCAAGGAAAAGGUUAAGAGAUGGCACGACAAACGAAUACAGAAAUGAGAGUUCAACGUAGGUGAUUAUGUCUUGCUAUACAAUUCUCGUUUGAGAUUCUUUGCAGGCAAGCUUCUCUCUAAAUGGGAAGGUCCCUAUGUUGUCGAGGAAGUAUAUCAUUCCGGUGCCAUCAAAAUCAAUAACACGGAAGGAAAUUUUCCUAGAGUGGUAAAUGGGCAAAGAAUCAAGCAUUACAUCUCUGGUACUCCCAUAAAUGUUGAGACCAAUAUCAUCAAUGUCAUAACUCUAGAGGAGUACAUAAGGGAUGUCUAUCAGCCUAUUUCAGACCUUGAAAACGAAGACGUAUCUGUUUCGGCAAGCAAUUGGACUCCGAUACUUUUCCAAUAGGAAAUUUCCUUAGUUUUGGAUUUUUUGGGAAAUUAGAAAAAUAAAAAGCAGUCCGGAGAGCGAACGAGGCAGCCACAAGGGCCCACUCCGCCACCACCCCCUGGUGGCGGUGGGCAAGCUUGUGGGCACCUCAUGUGCCUCCCGGACUCCGUUUUCUUGCGGAGGACUCCUUCUGGCCCAGAAAAAAUCAAUAUAUAGGUGCCCGAAGGUUUUGAUCUCUUUAUCGCGCAGUUUUCCUCUGUUUUCGUUUCGAGCUUGUUCUGACGCAGAUCUAGGUCAAGAUGUCUUCUCAAGAUUGAGAGGGAGAGAGCUAUGUGGCUGACUACCUUGCUAACCCCAAGGUCUAUGGGGACUUGGAACCAUAUGGCUGGACCACUGAGGAGGAAGAGGACUAUGAGCCCAAACGGAAGGAGCAAACGAGUUCCGAUGAAGAGGAGGCUCCUCUACCUCAACCUGCAAACACCCAUGUGGAGUUCAAGAAGUCAAGCCUCCCUGACCAUAGGAAGAGGCCUAAGACCUUGUUUAUCCCUUCUCGUUUCUUGCAGGAGAGUAAGCAGGAGCUUUGCCAUAGAGUUUUGAAACUUGAGGAGGAAAAUUACGAUCUAAGGGAGCAGAACUUUUUGCUCAAGUGGAAAUUAGACAAGCUCAAGACUACUCCGACAACAACACCACCAUCACCACCAAAAGGAAGACAACUAAGCAUUGGUAUGGCAAUCCCCUUGGCUUCUGCCAAGCUUGGGGGAGUUGCCCCGGUAUCGUAUCACCUUUAUAUCUUUUGCUUUUACCUUUGUUUUAGUUCUUUCCUUUUCAGUUUUUAUUUCUUCUUUUAGAGGAACAAGUCUUUAGUUUUUAGUUCGAGUCUUUUGCUUUUGUCUCUCCCCCGAUGUAUUCGAGCUUACGAGCUAUAUAAUAAAGAGUGUCAUAGUCAAGGGCUUUGCUUUGUGCCAUGAUCAAAAGUAUGAAAAGAACGAUAGCAUGAAAGAUCAUGAGACGAUCUUAUGGAAAGUGAUAACUUCACUUAUGACACGUAUGAUUAUUGAAACUUGUUGAGAAUAAAUCAACAUAGACCUCAGAUAGUGGUGCAAUUAAUAAUAAGUAAUAAGGAAAGAGAGGUUCACAUAUAAAUAUAUCAUCUUAGACACUUUUUGCAAUUGUGAGCACUCACCAAACUAUUACAUGCCUAGGAGUAGAUGUUGGUCAAGGAAGACAACAUAAUGAAUUGUGUUUGCUUGGUUCCAAACAAUGUUAUAUGAUUAGAGAACCCUUAGCAUGUGACGAUUGCUUCCACCUCAUAUUAGCCAAAACUCCCGCACUAAGUAGAGAUACUACUUGUGCAUCCAUAAACCUCCAACCAGUUUUGCCAUGAGAGUCCACCAUACCUACCUAUGGAUUGAAUAAGAUCCUUCAAGUAAGUUGUCAUCGGUGCAAGCAAUAAAAAUUGCUCCCUAAUAUGUAUGAUCUAUUAGUGUGUGGAAAAUAAGCUUUGUACGAACCUGUGAUGAGGAAGACAUAAAAUCGACAGACUGCAUAAUAAAGUUCUUUGUCACAGGAGGCAAUAUAAAGUGACGUUCCUCCGCACUAAGAGGACACGCAUUCAAACCUCAAAAGCGCAUGACAACUUCUGCUUCCCUCUGCGAAGGGCCUAUCUUGUACCUUUACUUUUUGCCCUUGAAAGAGUCAUGGUGAUCAUCACCAAUUCUCUUUUUGCCUUUGUCUUGGCUACCGUCACAUGCUUGGGAAAGAUCUAUAUUCAUAUAUCAACUUAGAGUUGAGUACUCAUGCUUUAUUGUUGUUGACUUUACCCUUGAGGUAAAUGGUUGGGAGGCAAAACUAUAAGCCCCUAUCUUCCUCUGUGUCGAGCUGAAACUUUGACACGAUGAGUACCACGUGAGUUGUAACAAUUGUGGAAAACAAAAGAGAUGAUUGAGUAUGUGGGUUUGCCUUACAAGCUCUUAUUUGACUCUUUCUGAUGUUGUGAUAAAUUGCAAUUGCUUCAAUGACUAUGGACUAUUGUUGGUUACUUCUCAGUAAGGUUUUUGCUUCAUGCUUUGCUUUGUGAAGGAAUUGUUACAUUCCCAUAAGAAUCUUUAUGAUGUAUUGCUAUUCUAUGUGUGAUCAUGAUGCCCUCAUGUCCGUAUUAUGUUUUAUCGACACCUUCGUCCCCAAACAUGUGGACAUGUUUAUGGAACUUGGUUUUCGCUUGAGGACAAGUGAGGUCUAAGCUUGGCGGAGUUGAUACGUCCAUUUUGCAUCAUGCUUUCAUGUUGAUAUUUAUUGCUUUUUGGGCUGUUAUAUUACUUGUGGUACCAUAUUUAUGCCUUUUCUCUCUUAUUUUGCAAGGUUUAUUUGAAGAGGGAGAAUUCAGGCAGCUGGAAUUCUGGACUGGAAGAGGAGCAAAUCCUAGUCCACUAUUCUGCACAUCUCCAAAUGCCCUGAAAAUUUACGUGGAUUUUUUCUGGAAUAUAUUAAAAAUAUUGGGCGAAAGAACUACCGGAGGGGGGCCACCAGGGCCCCACAAGCCCCCACUCCGCCACCACCCCCUGGUGGCGGUGGGCAAGCUUGUGGGCUGCCUGAAGGCCCACUAGCCCCCCUCUUUUGCUAUAUGAAGUGUCCUGGUCUGGAAAAAAUCAUACGGGAGAUUUUUCGUGGUUUCGCUGCCGCCGCGAGGCGUAACUUGAGCAGAUCCAAUCUAGAGCUCCGGCAGGACGAUUCUGCCGGGGAAACUUCCCUCCCGGAGGGGGAAAUCGUCGCCAUCGUCAUCACCAACACUCCUCUCGUCGGAGGGGAGGCAUCUUAAUCAACAUCUUCAUCAGCACCAUCUCCUCUCCAAUCCCUAGUUCAUCUCUUGUAAUCAAUCUUCGUCUCGCGACUCCGAUUGGUACUUGUAAGGUUGCUAGUAGUGUUGAUUACUCUUUGUAGUUGAUGCUAGUUGGAUUAUUUGGUGGAAGAGUUUAUGUUCAGAUCCUUGAUGCUAUUCAUUACACCUCUGGUCAUGAUUAUGAUUAUGUCUUGUGAGUAGUCACUUUUGUUCCUGAGGACAUGGGAUAAGUCAUGCUGAUAAUAGUCAUGUGAAUUUGAUAUUCGUUCGGUAUUUUGAUAUGAUGUAUGUUGUCUUUUCCUCUAGUGGUGUUAUGUGUCGACUACAUAACACUUCACCAUGUUUGGGCCUAGAGGAAGGCAUUGGGAAGUAGUAAGUAGAUGAUGGGUUGCUGGAGUGACAGAAGCUUAAACCCCAGUCUAUGCGUUGCUUCGUGAGGGGCUGAUUUGGAUCCACUAGUUUAAUGCUAUGGUUAGACUUUGUCUUAAUUCUUCUUUUGUAGUUGCGGAUGCUUGCGAUAGAGGUUAAUCAUAAGUGGGAUGCUUGUCCAAGUAAGGGUAGUACCCAAGCGCCGGUCCACCCACAUAUCAAACUAUCAAAGUAACGAACGCGAAUCAUAUGAACAUGAUGAAACUAGCAUGACAGAAAUUCCCUUGUGUCCUCGGGAGCGUUUUUACUCCUAUAAGACUUUGUUCAGGCUUGUCCCUUGCUACAAAAGGGAUUGGGCCACUUGCUGCACCGUUCCUACUACUUGUUACUUGUUACUCUUCGCUUGCUACGUUUCACCUCGCUACACAAUCACUUGUUACCGCUACUUUCAGUGCUUGCAGUUAUUACCUUGUUGAAAUCCGUUUAUCAGGGCCUUCUGCUCCUCGUUGGGUUCGUAACUCUUACUUAUUGAAAGGACUACGAUUGAUCCCCUAUACUUGUGGGUCAUCAGUCCUAAGACUGAGAUACGCGGCUCUUAUCAGGGUCGUCGACACAUCGGGAGGUCCUGCUAGUCUUGUCUUACCUUAGCGAUAUAUCUUGCGUAUACGAAUUCCGGUGAAGCGUUGGUUCUCCCCAGAGUUGAGGUCUUCCUCUAAGGAAUCCGACGAGAUGACGAGAUUCGUGAUAGAGGACUACUUUGCGGCCCGUGUACGUUUGUGAUGGACUAGUUGGAGCACCCCUGCAGGGUUUAAUCUUUCGGAAAGCCGUGCCCGCGGUUAUGUGGCAACUUGGAAUACUUUGUUAACUUCCGGUAAUAGAUAACUUAAACAUAAGCUAAUAAAAUUGCCAACUGUGUGCGUAACCGUGACUGUGCCCCUCGAAGAUCUCUCUUCGAUCGAGAACACGAUGGGGUUAUGAUUGACGCAGUAGGUGUUCAGGGUCACUUAGUGGUCAUCUAUUUUCGACCGCUAGAAUAGACCACCUUCAUAUAUGUUCUACGUAAGAUAGCCACCAUAUAAAGCUUAGGAUGCUGCAGCCUAAAUACUCCACCUUACCAACCUAAUAACUUGACUAGUUCUGGCACCGAGGUCAUAGAUUGCUGAGUCCCGUGGCUCACAGAUUCCUUCACAACACCAACAGGUUCAGGUACCCCCGAGACAGGUGAUCCCGACGGCACGCAGCUGGCGUGGCAGUACGAUGAGGAGAACGACCGCCUGGACGUGAACUAUCCAGAAGAUUGAGGCAUGGUCGUAAUCGUGGGCCAGCAGGCAGGGUAGCAUAGUCAUUUCCCAUGUUUUGUAGUCCGUAGCGGAACUACCUUGAUUGUAUGCGAGAUGUACUCUGAUAUAUUUAUGAGAUGGCAAUUGAAUCCCUUAUUGUCAUUCUGUUGAUAUUAUGUAUGUGCUAUGUUACCAUGUUUGCGAAACGCUUAGAUGCGCUCCUUUCCAAUUCGGGGCCUCGAUCCCCAGAUCAGAAAGGACCGCAUCUUAGUCGUUACAAGUUGGUAAUCAGAGCCUUACGACCAUAGGAGACUUUGUGUGAUCGUACUUGGUCGAGUAAAGUCUAGUUAAAUGUUUUGAGUCUUAGUUAUGCCGGAGAGUAGGAUUCUUUUUUCUCCUCUUCCAUGCUCUGGUGAGGUUCCCGUCUUAGGAAAUCUUAAUUCUACUCCUCUUCUCACUAAAAAAAAUAGGAUCACGCGGGUAUUUGUGAAAUCUAUAUGAUUUCGAUGUGAUGGAGUUCUGUCUUGGUGCCUCCUAUCUGCCUUGAUUUCUUCCGGGGAGUUGAGUUCCAGGGGAUUCUUGCGCACAUCACCAUCAUUCAGAUUUCUGAGUAUAAUUUCUCGAGAACGAGAUGCUCGAGAAUAAUUUCAUUUCAUUCAUUCAUUUCUCGAGAACGAGAUGCUCGAGUAUCAUUUCAUUUCAUUCAUUCAUUUCUCGAGAACGAGAUGCUCGAGUAUCAUUUCAUUCAGUUCUGUCUUGGAGAACGAGAUGCUCGAGAAUAAUUUCUCGGAAGAGGAAAUUAAGGGAUCCAUUUUUGGCUCAUACGCACAUGGGUCACCUAGACUAGAUGGUCUCUCCUUCUUGUUUUAUCAAGUCUUUUGGGACUUGAUUAAAAAGAUUUUAUGGCUAUGGUGAGGGAUUUUGAAGUAGGUAAAUUAGACAUCCAUAGACUUAACUUUACAUUGAUUGUUUUGAUUCUUAGGGAGGCUCAUGCUAAAGAUAUGAAAAAAUUCAGGCCGAUUAGUCUCGUAAUUGUGAAGUUCAAAUCAUGUCUAAAGCUAUGACUAAUAGGGUGUCCCCUAUUGGGAACAAACUAAUUUCUCCUAUCCAGGCAUGUUUUAUUAAGCGUAGAUUCAUCCUUGAGAGUGUGGUCCUAGCCCAUGAGAUUGUCCAUGAAGUUAAGAAGUCCAAUACCCAGGGGCUUAUUCUUAAGCUAGACUAGGUAAAGGCUUACGACAAAGUUAGUUGGGAAUUCCUUUUUUAAAUGUUAGCAUCUAGGGGUUUUGGUAGCAAGUGGAUAUCCUAGACCAGGAAGAUUCUUGAACAGAGGACCUUUAGUGUGAAGAUCAAUGACACUAUUGGACCAUAUUUCCUGGGUGGAAAAGGCCUUAAGAAAGGGGAUUCAAGCUCCCCCUCGUUGUUUAAUUUGGUUGCGGGCGUUUUUUCUAAAAUGCUCAGUAAAGCGUCUCGACGGGGAUUGAUUUCGGGGCUUCUGCCUCAUAUUAUUCCAGGGGAUCACUAGCUUGCAAUAUGCGGAUGACAUUCAAUUGAUUUACACAGGUUUAAUAUGCUUUAUUCCUGUUCAGAUAUUCCUGUCAUUUUGAUUCAGCUAUAUCUUCAAUUUAUUCUGUGGGCUAAUGUGUUGUCCGUCUUCAGGAUGGCUCCACCAACUCGUGAGAACCCAGGGCGUGAGGAUGUGCCGCCACCACCUCCUCCUCCGGAGAAUCCUCCGCUGCCGCCGCCUCCUCCUGCAGAGGCCUCGCAAGCGAUGAUGGCUGCUACUAAUGCAAUCACCCAGAUGCUGCUACAGUUGUUGCAAGAGAGAGCUAAUCAGCAGCAAGGCAAUUUCCAGCAUGGUGGCAAUCAAUUUGCUAGUCUGAGUCAGUUCCUAUCGAAUCAGCCAAAGACUUUCACUUCGUGUGACCAGCCAUUUGAUGCAGAGGAUUGGAUCCGUGAUAUGAACAAGCAUUUCUAGUGUAGCAAUGUUCGUCCUGAGGAUUUCGUCAAAUUUGCUACUUUCCAGCUGAAGGGGCAAGCAUCUAUCUGGUAGCAACAGUUGUAGGACUCCAGAGGCGCUAGAGUGAUCUCUUGGGAUGAGUUCUGUCGUGACUUCAGGUCCCACUACAUUUCUUCCAGCUUUGUGGAGGAGAUGCGUGAGAAGUUCAGGCAUUUGAAGCAGGGUGGCAAUUCCGUGUACAAGUACAGCGUUGAGUUCGAUGAGCUAGCCCAAUACGCGUUGCAGGAUAUCCCUGAUCAGAAGAGCAAGAUUUAUCAGUUUAGAGGUGGCUUGAAAGAAGAUUUACAGUUAGCUCUUGCUUUGCACGAUCGUGAGGAGUUCGACAAGUUCUACAACUUAGCUCUCAAGGCAGAGGUAUCCUUGCUCAGGGUGGAGAAUUCUAAGAAGCGCUUCAGAGAUUCCAGCUCUUCCUCGACUCAGGUGGUUCAGAAGCAACAAAAGUUUUGGGUGUCUCCUCCUCCUCCUCGGCACUCGCAGCAGCUCAAACACUCAGGUGGCCGUGGUUCUUCCCACCCUCCCAACCCUGUCUUCCAGCACAGAUUCCAGCAUCAGAAGCAAGGGCCUUCUCAGUCCCAGUACCGGCAGCCAGCAGAGGUUACUUGUCACAAGUGUGGUCAGAAGGGUCAUUAUGCCAACAAGUGUACUUCUCAGCUCCGACUGCCGCCUCCUCCUCCGGGAAAACCUCCAAGCAAUGCUCUUGUCAAGUUCAACCCCAGAUCAGCUCGAGUCAACAUGGUGAAUGCAGCUGAGGCAGAAAACUCGUCAGAUGUGAUCAUGGGUAACCUCCUCGUCAAUGAUAUUCCUACUAAAGUGUUAUUUGAUUCUGGUGCAUCACAUUGCUUCAUGUCCCGUCCAUUCUUUGCAAAGCAUGAGUUUGUUUGUCAAGAUUUGGUUAAGCCUAUCUCAGUAGUUUCUCCUGGGAGAUUGAUGAAUUCCAAUUGUCGGGUCCCGGAUGUUUCUGUCAAGAUGGGUGCUUAUGCUUUUCUGGCAUCACCUAUUGUCUUGGGCAAUUCCGACAUCGACUUGAUCCUUGGCAUGGACUGGCUGGCCAUGAACAAGGCAUCAAUUGAUUGUGAAGCUAAAGAAGUGAAGCUUACCCACUCUUCGGAGGACGUGAUUAUAUUCGCGGCAAGCGAUGAUACAAUUCGUCUGUUCUCUUUGAAUGGAAAGGGUGAGAUUAAUCCUAUUUCGCAAGUCCCAGUGGUCUGCGAAUAUGAAGAUGUGUUUCCUGAAGAGCUGCCAGGCAUGCCUCCGCACAGAGAAGUUGAGUUUGUGAUUGAGCUUGAGCCAGGCACCGAGCCCGUGUGCAAACGGCCGUACAAAUUGGGUCCAGAAGAAUUGAAGGAACUUAAAAGGCAACUCGAUGAGCAGGAGCGUUUGGGUCUGAUCAGACCGAGCUCGUCUCCGUGGGGUUGUGGAGUUCUGUUUGUCAUGAAGAAGGAUGGCACGGAUCGGCUGUGUGUCGAUUACCGUCCAUUGAACAAGAAGACAAUCAGGAACAAAUAUCCACUUCCGAACAUAACUGAGUUGUUCGAACAGUUGAAAGGUGCUAAGGUGUUCUCCAAGCUUGAUCUCAGAAUGGGCUAUCAUCAAAUUCGCAUUCGCGAGGAAGAUAUUCUGAAGACUGCCUUCAGGACUAGUUUUGGUUCAUAUGAGUAUAUGGUCAUGUAUUUUGGUCUGGCUAAUGCUCCUCCGACAUUCUGUCGAUUGAUGAACUACAUAUCUCUCCGUUCAAGAAUGACUUUGUCUUGCUCUAUCUCGAUGUCAUUCUGGUCUUUUCUGAAACUGAGGAAGAACAUGAAGAACAUCUCAGAUUGGUGCUUGAUAAGCUGAGAGAGUACAAGCUGUAUGCCAAGUUUUCCAAGUGUGAGUUCUGGUUGAAAGAAGUCGUCUAUCUUGGUCACAUUAUCUCUGCGGAGGGCAUUAAAGUUGAUCCGUCCAAGGUUGAGGCCAUUGUGGAAUGGGAGCCUCCGCAGAAUGUGAAGCAGCUUCGAAGCUUUCUCGGGCUUGCAGGCUAUUACAGAAGGUUCGUUGAGAACUUCUCCAAGAUCGCCAAGCCGCUCUCAAGUCUUCUUCAGAAAGGUGUGAAAUAUGCUUGGUCUCCAGAGUGUCAGUUGGCCUUCGACACACUCAAAGAGAAUCUUACCUCCACUCCAGUCUUGGUUCCUCCGGAUGAUUCCAAGUCUUACCAGGUGUUCUGCGACACUUCUCUCCAGGGUCUUGGUGCAGUUCUGGUGCAAGACAAGAAGGUGGUUGCUUAUACCUCCAGGCAGUUGAAGCCGGCGGAGAAGAACUAUCAUGUGCAUGAUCUUGAGCUAGCAGCUGUGGUACACACUCUGAUGACUUGGAGACACCUCUUGUUGGAACGUAAGGUUGAAGUUUUCACCGAUCACAAGAGUCUCAAGUACAUCUUCACUCAGGCUAACUUGAAUCUUCGGCAAACACGUUGGGUGGAAAUGCUCCAAGAUUUUAAUCCAAGUGUUGAGUACACGCCAGCAAAGCUAAUGUCGUGGCGGAUGCAUUGAGCAGGAAGGCGUACUGCAACAGUCUGAUUCUGCAACCUCUCCAGCCUGGUCUUUGUGAGUCUUUCAGGAAGCUCAACCUUCAGUUAGUACCUCAGGGAUUUCUUGCAAACCUUCAGAUCUCUCCUACCUUGGAAGAUCAGAUCCGAGCAGCACAACUUCUUGACGCUAUGGUGAAGAAAGUCAAGAUUGGUGUGGCAAAGAGUCUUCCCAAGUAUAAGUGCUUCACUGUUGAUGCCAGGGACACGUUGUUCUUCGAGGAUCGUCUUGUCGUCCCGAAAGGUGAUCUCAGAAAGGUAAUCAUGGAGGAAGCUCAUAACUCUCUGCUCUCUAUUCAUCCUGGAAGAUCCAAGAUGUACCACAACUUGAAACAGACCUUCUGGUGGACUCGUAUGAAGCGUGAGAUUGCUUAGUUCGUAAAUGAAUGUGAUGUAUGUCGAAGGGUGAAAGCAGAGCAUCAACGUCCAGCAUGUCUUUUGCAGCCUUUGCCGAUUCCCGAGUGGAAGUUCGAUCACAUUGAGAUGGAUUUCGUCACCGGGUUUCCGAAGUCCAAGAAGGGUAAUGAUGCCAUCUUCGUCGUCAUCAACAAGUUGAGUAAAGUGGCUCAUUUUCUUCCAGUCAAGGAAUCCAUUUCAGCAGCGCAGCUUGCAGAGUUGUACACCUCCACGAUUGUGCCCUUGCACUGUGUGCCUAUGAUGAUCUCUUUGGAAUGCAGAAGUAUCUUCACCUCCAAGUUCUGGGACUCCUUUCAGUUUGCUAUGGGCACGAAGAUCCGCUUCAGCACAGCGUUGCAUCCUCAGACUAGUGGUCAAGUGGAGCGAGUGAAGCAAGUUCUUGAGGAUAUGCCGAGAGCCUGUUUUAUCUCUUUUGGCAUGAAGUGGGAGGAUUGUCUGCCUUUUGCGGAGUUCUCGUAUAACAACAGUUAUAAAGCUAGUUCUGGCAAGGCUCCGUUUGAAAUUCUCUAUGGCAGGAAGUGUCGUACCCCGCUCAACUGGUCCGAGACCGGCGAGCGUCAUAUCCUUGGGAAUGAUUUCAUAGAAGAAGCUGAGGAGAUGUGUCGGGUCAUUCGCGACAACCUUAGAGCAGCUCAGUCCCGUCAAAAGAGCUAUUAUGAUAGCAAGCACCGUGACAUGUCUUAUGAGCUUGAUGACUUCGUCUAUCUCAAGGUGUCGCCUAUGAAGGGUAUGCAGCGCUUCGGCAUCAAAGGCAAUCUUGCGCCUCGUUUCGUUGGUCCGUUCAUAGUGGUUGGCAAGAGAGGCGACCUUGCGUACCAGCUUGAGCUUCCGUCAAACUUUGCAAAUGUCCAUGAUGUGUUCCAUGUUUCUCAGCUUCGGAGGUGCUUCAAGACCCCCGAGCGCACUGUUCAUCUUCAAGACAUCGACCUUCAGCCUGACCUAUCUUAUCGUGAGCAUCCAGUUGCGGUUCUCGAGGCGAGUGCGCGCAAGACCCGCAACAAGACCGUCAAAUUUCUGAUGCAAUUGAAUGGCAUUUUCUAUAAAAAUAAGGAGUGGCCUUGGCAGAUUAGAGAGCUCGAGAGCAAGAAAUUCCUUCUUUGAUUUCCCCCUUGGAAAAAGGUUGAAGAUCUUAUUGAUGUUCCUCCUUUUGACUUACCCAUGGAGUUUUUGUUAAAGUUGUUGAGUGGAAGGGGAUGUUAGAUCCUUUUGGGGAGCUUACCAAGGCUUGGGUUCAGAUUGAAGGUAUUCCUCCUAAAUGGUGUGCUUGGAAAGUCUUUGCCCAAAUCACUUCUCUUUUGGUAUCCUUGUGAUUGUAGACUGGAAUGGAAUUUUCAAGAGCUUUUGUGAAGUGGCCGGGUGAAAGUGACAUGUAGAGACCCUGCCAAAAUCCCUUUUGAGAGAUUAGUUGAGAUGAAAAAGAAGCUAUACGUGCUUUUCUUCUCUAUGGAAGGCUUUGAUCAAAUUGGUGAUGAAGAAGGUGGUGAUGGGGAUGACCUAGAAGAUGAAGAUCCUGGUAAUAAGAAGUUGAAUGAAAAAGAUGAUGAUAUAGACCUUGACGUGACAGAUAAAGACAACAUGGAAGAUGAGGAGAGGAACCCAUUUGAUGAACUAGAUAGAUCUAAUUUUCUUGAGAAGAAUUUUGUUGCUUAUGCUUCUGGUACUAAAUUCAAUAGGGUAGCUGAUGUUUGUACCUCGGAUUUAAAUGCUCUAGAUGGGAUGUUGUACUACAGCAAUGGAAGUUCAGGUGGAGAAAGUCUAGUUGCUUAUGCAACUGAGUUCCAUCCUUCCAUUCUCCACAACAACAUACAUGAGGAUUUUAUCCAUCAAGUUAGGUCUGGGCAAAAACAUGUGGCUUCCUGUAAUGCCCCAAGGGUGUAACCUUCCCUAUUUGGAAACCUCCUUAUGUGGGACCACCUUGUCAAUGCUAUGAGAGAGUUCAUGCUCAUGAUUUCAUGUGAUGUCCCUUGUAUUUCUUCCUUGCAUGCAUGCAAAACAUUUCAUAUCAUUUCCUUGUCCUUGUGAUGUUGCAUUGUGUUCUUAUGAUUUCAUGUGAUGCUUAUGUUCUUAUGUGGUGAAGUGAAAUGUGUAGAUUGUGUGGAGUGAUGCUUGUGAUAGUAAUUUGCUUAGGUUUCAAACCAUCCUCCCUCCCCCCCCCCCUUUCUUCUAUGUCUAGAUUCUCUUCUUCCUUUCCUGUUUUAGAAAUGCCCAUGAAUUAGAUUGAUUUGACUUAAGUUUGAAAGGUGCAAAAUAAUUACAGAAUAGACCAUAUGUUGCUAUUUUGUAAAUAUUUUUUUGCCCCUAAUAUUUGUUUUCUAUUUUAUUCAAAGGGGCCUUAUUUGUCCAUGACCAGGGGUUAAUUUUGAUUGAUUUUAUCCCCACUAUUUUCUUCUGUGCUUUUCAUCUUCUCUAGUUAUUCCUGUAAAUAGUACAGGCACCUCGGAUUUAUUUUCCCUUAUUUGUCGCCCCUGUGGGCUCCCUCCCACAUGGCCAGCCCACUUCACCCCCUCUCACGCACAGGAGCCCACGCGCGCGUCCCUCCUUCUCUUACCUAAUGCCGUCCGCACCCCUAUGCUCCUUUCCGUCAGUAGCCGAGAGAGAGAGAGUGAUGCCGCCGUGUGCACAAACAUCGAGGACCAACCCCAUAAAGCAUGGGCGUCCGUGCCCAUCUACCCUAGGGUUUCCCUCUCUCCCCAUCCGCCGCCGCCACCUCUCUCCAUCCCCAUCUCUCCUUCUUCCUCGGUGGUAAGACUCUGUAGUUAGGAUCAGAGAGAGGAGAGAAGGUC